CCACAACAACCUAAGAGAUGUUAGGUUGCUCCCACAAUUAUCCUCCUCUUUCUCUCCUAAACUCACCAAAUUUGAACAAUAACGUACCUCCAACCUCCUUAAAUUCGCAAGAAGCUUACCUGCCUCUGCUUCAGAUUCCCACAAGUAUCUUAUUUCACUACACCUUUCUAUCGUUACUUCUUCAACUUCCCCAAGAUACUUCAUAACACCUCCCCACACCUCAUGAGUAAGACCUGAAAUAUCAUGUAAUAUCAACUUGGUGACUGAUGAAGCGACAUGAACCAGGCUUGUCAACACACCAUGACCACAUCCUUUUACUGUCAUAACUCUGAGUAAAGGUAGUUUUUCAAGUGAGACUUCAACCAGAUUAGGACAAAAUAAAAUAAGAAGCUUUUUAAGGCAUGGAAACACUGCUGCAUCUACAACCCCAUUGUUAUUGGUUGACCAUACCUCCCAUGAUGGCAUACUAUCAAAAGCUAGAAUUUCAAGGGAAAGGAAUGCAACACCUGUUCCAAGCAACUCCCAACCUACAAUUUUCACGUUACUCAUCUUCCCAAUAUACAAGUCCUUAAGUGAUGGUAGUUGCCCAAGUUCUGGUAGAGAUGUACAUUCUUCACACCCAUAUAUCGACACGUGAGUCAACCCAAGAAACGAAGGAUCUCCAACCCAAUUUGGAAACUUUAUACCUGCAUAUGACACAAUUUCAAGCUUCUUCAAACUAUCGGUUUGAGGCUUCAACUCUGUAAGGACCUCCUUAUCAUGUGUCUCCUUUCGAAAAACGUUUAACCCGGUAUCACUAUGACACAACCUAAGCCUCUUUUGCAAUAAUCCAUAACCCCAAUCCAACUCCAACUCACUAAGCCUUUUUUGUGUUAAGUGUGCAUCGCAUGCCUCCAUUGCAUUUUGUACAUUGCCCAGCCCCCAAAUGGAAAUUUUCCCAUGGAGAUUUUGCAAGUUCUUAAGCUCGGUUAUUGCAAAUCCGUUUUCACCUCCAAUUAUGAUCUUGGAGAGAGUUUGUAGGCCUUUCAACUCACCAAUCCCUAAGGGCAUCUUCUUCAAACCUGGAGUAUCCCUAAUGUCCAAAUGCCUCAAAUUUUUAAGCUUUAAGAAGCUGUUGGGCAAGUUAAUUAAACUUUUACAGCCAAAAAGGAUCAAUGUCUGGAGAUUAUAAAGAUUGCAGACAUUUUCUGGUAAAAGCUUGAUAUCAGUUCGAGAUAAAUUCAGAUACCGCAAGUGCUUUAGACUGCCAAUGAAUUCGGGUACCUCGCUUAUGCUAAGAUUACUCAAACUUAGGACCCUUAACAAUGGUAACUCCUGAAGUAAGUUCUCCAGGACCUUGUUUGAUAAGUAGAAUCUUUGCCAACUGUCUAUCACCCCAACAGAUACCGCUAUCAACGUUCUCAAACUUUUAGCUCCUUUGAGUGGCUCGAACCUUCCGGAAACCAUGUAUUCCUCACGAACAAAUGACAGAUGGCGGUACUUUUCGAAUGAUUCAUUCCUAUGUUCUUUCUCCGUCCCAAUGUCUACCCUUGAAAAAAACUCCCCAGCAACAGAUGUGGCCAAGUCACUCAUGAGAUCAUGCAUCACAAACAACGAUCUGUCAUUUGGUGCAGGUUGAAAAAAUGACCUUGACCACAACGCAUUAAAAUACUCGAGACCCAAGCGUUCCAUUGUCUUGUUUGUCGUUGAUUGCAAAAAACCUUCUGCCAUCCACAACAAAAUCAACUUCUCCUUGUCAAACUCAAAGUCCUUGGGGAACAAGGAGCAGUAUGCAAACAACUGCUUCAAACAUGGAGAGAGAUCAUGGUAGCUUAAUUUGAGAGCCGGAACAAUCCCAUCUCCCUUUUCUAGACUCCAUAUCUCACUAUUCAGCACUUCUUUCCAGUCUUCCUCAUCUAUUUUUGUCCUUAAUAACCUUCCAAGUGCUUUCAAAGCCAACGGCAACCCAUUACAUUUUCUAACAAUACCUUCACCAUGUGGUUUAAGUAGCGGAUGUGAAUCAAAGUUUUUUUCUCCCAAUGCAUGCUGACAAAAUAAGGAUAAAGCACUUUCAUCUGAUAGAAUAGGCAAAUGAUAAGGUUCAUUGUUACCAAGUUGGGUUAACAACGACAUCUUCCUGGUUGUCAUGAUAACUUUACUUCCGGGUGCCCCUGCAAGAAAUGGCCCUGCUAGGAUUUCCCAAUCCGUAUAGCUUUCACUCCACACAUCAUCUAAAACAAGCAGAAAUCGCUUAUUUGAGAUCUUCUCUCUUAAAGCUACUUGCAGCAGAUUUAAAUCCUUAAAUACUUGGUUUCCCCCACCUAUUGAUUGAAAAAUAAUACUGCUUAUAUUGAAAAUAUCAAACUCAUCAGAAACACAGACCCACGCCAUGAGUUCAAAACGAUCCUUCCCUUGCAUCUCAUCAUACAAAAGUCUAGCGAGAGUGGUCUUACCUACCCCACCCAUACCAACUAUUGGCACGAUGCUAACGUUUCUAUCACAUGGUUCAUAUAGCUUGAGAAGCAACGCUUCCUUAUCAUCUUUGCGCCCAACAAUACUAGAUGGAUCUACCAAAGAGGUCUCUAACCUUCUAUUUCUAUGUUUUGGGCUUUCACCUAUCACACUUAAGCCAAGCUUAUAUUUUUCCUCAAACAGUUCUUGUAACUUGAUGGUGAUAUUUUCAAACUUGUCAUGCAUCCUAGCACUUGGUAACAGCUUUCUUACCUUGCUUGAGGUUCCAGAUUCCUCUGUGAACUCACGAUGCAUAGCUUCUGUUGACAAUUCGUCAAGUAGAUCGUCUAUGUCGUAAGCCAAAUGUUGGAGACUAUUCAGCCAUUCUUUAACAGCUUCCUGACGUAUUUCCUUCUGAGAAGCAUCAUUAAGCAGAUCUUUGAUCUUGAUUAAUGACAUCUUUAAUUUUUCCACGUCAUCGUCAUCGAUUUUCUUGAAACGAGCAAACUGCCUGAAGGCUUCGGAGGCCAGCUUGUCACAGAACAAAGAGUACAGGGCAGAAAUGAUUCCAGCCAUUGCUAUUGUGAAGACGUAGGCCGGGAGCACUUGAAAUGUAUGAAACUAUGAAAGAUAGGAUGAAGGUGUAAUGAGUGGAUGGAAAUGGACGAUUCGAAACCCUUGUUUAUAGAGAUAAAGUCGUCUAUUGUUUUGGUAAACGUCUUUUUGUAAAUGUCUUUCUGUAAAUGUCUUUUUACUCAUGUAUUCCUUUUUCAUUUUCAAUUGAAAAAGUAAAGCAAAAUAAAUAAAUAAGUAAAUAAAUAUAAUUGGAAAAACAAUUGAUUUUGUAUUUAUUUUUUUCACAUAAACUAUUUAUGUUGAAAAAAGCUAUGGAAUUAAAUUGUUUUAACAUUGAAUAACAAGAAAUAAAUUUAGGUUUAGAACUAAAUAUUAAAAAGAGAAAUUAUGAAUGUUCCAUAGAUACUAAAAUAAUGGGUUGUCUUCUCGAGAUAAUUAUAUAUAUAAUAAAAGCACAUGAUGUAUGCGUAUGAUAGGUACCCGAGUUGGGUACUCUUCAAAAUUUGGCUGGCUCGGUUUUUGGAUUCCAACGAGGUUAACCCAUCCACGAAUCCAUCGCCUCUUUACUUCACGUGUUCAAUCUAUUUCUCUCACAACUGAUGAUUUGGGUCUGUAACUGCUCCACCACCUCGCCACCGCUUUAAUAUCUUUUAUGAACGGACCACUUUCCUGCUUCGUUCUCUAUUUAGGAUUAGAAGCGGCUUGGUUGCUGGAAUUCAGUCACCCCAAUCCCCCUUUAAACAAGAUAUUGCAACGGCUUCUCACAUUCGAUUUAGAAGUCAUCGCCUCCUGCGUUUCACCUAUAUCAACCGUCAACUUUGAAUUUCGUCUGUCGUCAUCGGUCAAUAAACCCCAUCUUUAGUUGUCAUUCUCCGCCCUAAUCCACCUCAACCCAUCGUCGACUCUGAUCUUACUUUUGAUCAGGUUAGAAGUUGUUAAAUGACUGAAGAAGUCGACAACGGAAGUCUUCAUGAAAUCCAAGGUUUAAUUUUUUUUCAAUAAUUGAAUCCAUGGCGGACAAUCGAAUAGAAAUUUGAAGGCAGGUUAUGGGGUUUGUAAAAUUUUAACUAAAAGAUUAAAUUUUACAAGUACUGCCUACAAGAAGAACCUGUUUAUCCUGAGAACUCAAGGUCGAGAUCCUCUCGAGGGGAAAUGAUGUGAAGCACAUAGAUGAUUAGAGAGAAACAUUUAUGGACAAGUAGGAGAAAGACAAAUGGGGUCAAAAGAGGCCCAACUUAAAACCGGCAUAACUUUUCAUCUAUUUUGUGUUACCAGAAAAAAGAACCCUAUGAUGCUAACCAUGAAGUUCACUCCAAAGUUGAAAAGCAAGAAAAUUAUGAAAAGUCCUACGCAAGUGUGUUGAAAGGAAGUUAUUAUGCUGCAAAGGAUACGGAAGAUAUGGUGGAUGUCAUGGAAAUCGCUUCUGGUGAUUUUAUUGUAGAAAAAAGAAAACUAGCAUGUCUGGUAAAGGCUAGAUACUUUCAUAAAUGGGAGAAUUUCAUAUAUGCCCUUCUUAAACAUCAAAAUAUCAUAUUUACCCAACUUAAUUUCUAAAUAUCAUAUUUACCCUUCAUAAAAUUUCUAAAUAUCAUAUUUACCAUUCAUAAAAUUUCAAAAUAUCAUAUAUGUCCUUUUUAAACAUCAUAAUAUCAUAUAUACCCUUCUUAAAUAUCAAAAUAUCGUAUAUGCACUUUUAAACAUCAAAAUAUCAAUGAUAAUAUCUAAAAUAUUCUUCAUCUACAACAUUAUCAACAAAAAAAACUAAACAAUCAAAAUAUACAUUCUAUAGAGAGAGUUGAAGAUGAAUAUUUUUGUUUGUGAAGAGGACGACAAUCCAACAAUUUAGAAGUUUACAUUCCAUUAUCAUAGACGUAAGGAUAAUAUCGUUAAAAUUUUUAAUUAUUAUAGUAAUUUUAAGUUAUAAAAAAUGAUUAUAAAAUAUUAAAAACAUUAUAAAAAAGGAUUUGGGCAAAUAUGAUAUUUUGAAGGUUUAUGAAGGAUAAAUAUGAUAUUAAGAAAAUAAGCUGGGCAAAUAUGAUAUUUUGAGGUUUAAGAAGGGUAUAUAUAUAAUUCUCCCUUCAUAAAUUGCCUAACCUCUGUAUACCAUGUUUUGAUGAGGGCUUUGAUGAUUUUCAUAUUCGCUAUGUCGGGAGUUUGUGGGUGAUGUUGGAGUUCAAGACAAAGGAAGCAUGUAAAAACUUUAUGUCAAAUGAUGCAAUUGAUCAUUGGAUCAUUGAGAAGCAUGCAUGAGAUAGGAAUUUUAUUCUUACGGAUCGAAUUGUAUGCGUAGAUAUUGAAGUUCCUAUACGUGCUUGGAGUAAGUCGACAUUUAGGAAGAUUGUGGCCAAAUGGGGAACUAUUUGUUCAUCUUGAUGAUUGGUUAGGUGAAGACAUUUACAAGAAUCGUGUUAGUAUUUUGACUAGUUUUUUUUGGAAUCAUUUCGGAGUUAAUGUAUAUUAGAGUGGAUGGUGUGGUGUUUCCAAUAAGGUUCAAAGAAGCUCCUGGCUGGAAUCCUUCGUUCUCAUCUGGUCUUAGCAAAAAUGAAAUGGGUGUAGAUAAGGAUCAAAUUUUAAUUGAAGAGGGUGAAAGUAAUUUUUCACUGCAUGACAAAGAUGAAUGUUCAGAUGACCCUUUUGGUGUUUAUGAAACGUUAGAAAAAUGGAAAAUGAAGAUUUAAUUGCUGAGAAAUUAGAAAAACCAAAAAAAAAAAUUCUGUCAGGGGGCAUUUUCGGAAUAUUGAGGCAGAAGAACCUGAUGCAUCUGUUCAGGUUUCGAUUUAGCAAAAUGCUGUCAAAAAUUCUACAUUGGUUCAGCAGAAUUUUGCUCGUCCAAAUGCAACUUCACCAGAACUUGAAGCUUCGUUGCCAUCAGCAUUUGUACAACAUACAAAUGUUGUUUUUCCUACGGUAGUUUCUGUUCUACCUCUUCCAUCGAAAGUCUAUUCGGAACCGAUUUCUGUCUGUACACCUGUGAAUGAUCUGAAACAGCAUAGACCUGAAAAUAGUGAAGCACCAUUGGGUUUUUCAGGGGGUUUCGGAAAAUUAUCGAGAGUGCAAGAUUCAGAGGAGGAUCUUUCACAUCCUCCAGGUUUUUCUGAUCCAUGCCACUCUAAUUUUGGUGGUAAUCAAAAUAUUUCAGAUGCUUCUUUUAAUAAUCAAUCAUUUCUAAUUGAAUUGAAAAAAACCAUGGACAUGGGUGAAUCAAUGGGCUAUGUUAUGGAAGGGUGUUUUGAAAGGGUGAAAGAAAUUAUUGAAGGUCACGGGAUGUGUAUUAAUAAUCCAUGAAUUGUCUUUCAUUAAACAUUCAAGGAGCCGUUUAUGUAGAUAAGCGAGGGCGGGUUAGAAAUUUAUGUCAUCUUCAUAAAGUAAAUUUUCUAGCCAUUCAAGAAACAAAAAUGGAAGUUAUGGAUUUAUUGUCGGUUCGGUCGUUUUGGUGGAGUGAUUCUUUUAUGCAUGCUUUUUCUCCAUCUCGUGUAGGUUCGGGUGGUAUUCUAGCUGUUUGGAACCCGCAUUUUAUUUCUCAGAAACAGAUGAUUAUUGGUGAUUGGUUUGUUGUUGUUGAGGCUGUUUGGACGCGGUUGGGUUUGGAUGUUAUGUUUUUUGUUAUUUAUGCGCCCCAAGGGGCUGUUUGUAAAAGGAAUCUGUGGGCUAACAUUUUAGAGAUGGUUGUUUCUUUUCUGGGAGAGUGUAUUCUUAUGGGCGAUUUUAAUGAAGUUCGGGAUGAGUUGGAGCGAUUGGGGUCUCGUUUUAAUUCGAUGAAUGCUAGAUAUUUUAAUGAUUUUAUAGAAUACGCUGAUUUGGUGGAUGUUCCUUUAGGAGGGCCGAAAUUUACUUGGAGCGAUAGAUGGGGUUCGAAAUUUAGCAAACUCAAUAGAUUUCUUAUCACGGAGGGUUUAUUGCAUAAUUUUCCUCAUAUGACGGGCUUGGUUUUGGAAAAGAAUUUACUAGAUCAUCGUCCCAUUAUUUUGAUAGAGCAACCUGUUGAUUACGGUCCUACUCCUUUUCGGAAUUUUCACUCUUGGUUUGAAUUAGAUGAUUUUGAUGGGAUAGUACGUGGCUCUUGGUUGCAAUUGGUGGUUGGGUUGGUGGAUAUGAACCCUUGGUGUAACAUCCCCCUCUGACACGUAUCACAAUAUUCUCCACUUUAGGCUCCCUACACGAAAACUUCCUAGGGGGGAUGUUACAAAUGGUAUCAGAGAUGGUGCACGGGUCGAUGUGUUCGAUGAGGAAGUCGAACCCUAUAAUGGGCGGUGAAGGUGGGUUAUACCUGAUCCCAGAUUGGCUUGGAAGGAGAACGAAACAUUUCCUUAGAAGGGGUGUGGAUAUCUUCCUUGUCACAACACGUUUUAAAGCUGUGAGGGCAGCAGAUCCCAUAAGAACUCUAAAGUUAAGUGUGCCCGAGCAAGAGCAAUCCAGGGAUAGGUGACCCCCUGUGAAGUUUUCGUGUCGGGAGCCCAAAGCGGACAAUAUUGUGAUACGUGCUAGAGGGGGAUGUUACACUCGGGUUAUUUUUAAGAAGAAACUUCAGCUUCUUAAGUCUAAUCUGAGGGUGUGGAAUUCUAGUUCUCGACUCCAGCUAUCUACCAAGAGGAAAGAGUUACAAGUUAAGAUCGAGGCCCUAGAUGGGAGUCUUAUGAAUGAUGUUGGUUCGGCUCGUUUGAGAGAGCAACAGAUCACUCUUUUAAAGGAGUUGGUGAAUAUGAAUCAUCUUUCUCAUAUUAACCUUGUGCAAAAAGCUAAGAUCAAGUAGAGCAUAGAGGAAGAUGAGAAUUCAAGUUUUUUUCAUGGUAUCCUCAAUCGUAAGCGACGACAACUUACAAUUUGGGGUUUGUUGAUUGAUGGGGUGUGGGUGGUUGAGCCAAAGCGAGUGAAGGAGGAAUUUCGUAGUUAUUUUGAGUCAAUGUUCUCAAAGCAGAGUGGGUGGCGACCUAAGAAUGAAGCCCAUUUGUUUAGAACUCUUUAUUUUAUGCAAGUUCAUCAUAUUGAGGCUCCUUUUACUCAUGAGGAAAUCAAAAGGGCUGCUUGGGAUUGUGGUUCGUCUAAAGCUCAAGGACGUGAUGGUUUUACAUUUAGUUUCCUUAAGUGAUAUUGGAAUCUGGUAGAAGAUGAUGUGGUGGCUUUCGUGUUCCAUUUUUACCAACACUCUUCCAUUCCGAAGGGGUGUAAUGCUUCUUUUUUUAUUGUGAUCCCAAAAAUUAGAGACCCGAAAACAACCUUGGAUUUUAGACCUAUUAGUCUCAUUUGGUGCCAAUAUAAAAUUAUUGGUAAAAUUUUGGCUAAUAGGUUAGGGAUGUGAUUGAUAGUCUUGUUAGUUCGGAGUAGUCAACCUUUAUUAGAGGAAGACAUAUUCUUGAUGUUCGGUUUCUCCUCAAUGAGGUGGUGGCUUGGAGAAAGGCUUAAAGAAAUCCAUUAAUGAUGCUCAAGGUUGAUUUUCAGAAGGCUUAUGAUUCUCUUUCUUGGGAGUAUCUUCUUGAGAUUAUGCAACUUAUGUUGGAUUAGGUGUCUAAGCCCAUAACUAUAAUUGGGAUGUACUUGACUCGAUAGUAGCAUGGUCCUUUUGGGUUGCCUUCACCAUAGCAACUGAUAGGAUGAAUUAUAGAGAAAGAGGUUAAUUAAUGAUUUAUUAAUAUAUUAUAAGAGUAAUAUAUUAAUUGAGAAAUUAUAUUAUUUAAUUAGUAUUGAUCAGAAAUUAAUUUGGUGAUCAAAAGAGACUGAUUAAAUAUAAGGGGACUGAUAAUGCAAUUAUCUAAUAGUUGCAUGUUGGGCUUGUGGUUGCCUUGUGGAAGGGGGUGGAUGAAUUCUAUGUGUAGCCCACAUAGAUUUCUUCUAUAGGAGUCCUUCUGGAAGGAUUUACUGGACUGCUUAAGGCUUAAACAGUCAUAUUAGGGUUUUACCUGAAACCCUAGCAGCUUAGCUAUAAAUACACCCCAUGGCUUCAUGAAAUCGGCCCUAUGCUUUCUUAGAGAACCCUAGCCGACUUCUAGAGCUACCCUUCUCUCUUUUGUUCUUCCUUGUUGCUAGUGGUGUUUGUGACUCCAGUAGAGGUGCAACAAUUGAGGCACUAAGCUCUUAAAGGUCAAGAUCAACAAGCUACAAGAAAGAGUAUUCUUCUUACUUUGUUUAAGUCAUCAAUUUCAAAAAUUUUAUGCUAGAUUAGGGUUUAGGCUUUAGAUAAUUUAUUGCAUGUAUAACUUGAGAAAAACCUAGAUCCAAAGCAUUAGGGUUGCAUGUACACCAUAGGAAUGUUUUAGUGCUUAAAAUCGAUCAGUGGUAUCAGAGCUUAAGUGUUUUUUGGUUAUAUUUGAUGGCAUGGUUAAUUGUUCAAAGCUGAAAGCAAUCGAACUCUGGACUCUGCCAAAUGAACUCAACGAGUCUAAUGUGGAACUCGACGAGUUCAGGCAACUCAACGAGUCCAGGGCUGACUCGAUGAGUUGAGUCGUCUGUUGGUAGAUUUUUCAGAUUUCAAGCUUAAAUUAGAUUUUUCUGAUAUGGUAAUGAAUAUGCUCAUCUAAUUGAAAGAUAAAUGUCAAAUUUUAAGAUAAUUUUAAGAUUAUAUGAUAAAUUAAUUAUUUGUAAAAUUUGAUUGAAUUUAUCUUACCAAAUAAAAUUGGAUUAGGUCAAAUUUUGAUAAAGAUAAAAUUAUAUGAUUAUUUUAAUUAUUUUAAAAUUUGAACUAGAAGUUCUGAAAAGUUUAAAUACUUGUCCUUAAGUUUUGGAAUUUAAAAUUUGAUUAAAAGGUUUUAAUUAUGAAAUAUUAUAUUCUAAAACCCUAGUGUUUUAAAAGUUUAAAAUACAACUCUUAUACUAUUAUAAUAUUAAAAGCUUAAUACUUAUGUAUAUGUAUAAGAUGAGUCAGUCUUACCGUUAGUAGGCCUCAUUCACGAAGCCAAUCUAUAAGGGGUAUAAGGAAACUGCCUAUAAAAUGGCUGUUGAAUGGGUGUCCACUCUCACACACCGCUUCCUUGAUUGGUGAAGGGUCGUUAGCCGAACGGGUAGGAUAGGACAACUAAUUCUUCAUUAAUAAAUUAAUAAGUAUAAUGAAUAUUAUAAAGUAACUUAAUGUUUUUAUAAAUUCUCAAUCUUAGUUAAUUUAGGAAAAUGUGAAAAUGAUGCUAUUCUAUGAAAUUACACAUUGCACCAUGCCAAGUCGUUAAUGGAGCGUGUGUGGCUAAUCGGCACACUAACUUGGACUAACAAGGGUGGCAAAGGGUAGCUCGAGAAUUAUCAUAGAUCAAGGGAGCGUGUGUGGUUAACUAACACAUUGAUUAGGUGACAAAUGACUCGAGAGUGCCAAGCUAAUUUGCAUGGUUAUUCACACCUUGUUUGUGAUCCUCGGUAUCCCAGUCACAAACUUGAAGGGCAUAAUCGAGAUUAAACAUGUCAUUGAACAGUUCAAUGAAUCUCAAAAGAAUAUAGGAAUUUCAUUUCAUUUAAAACCUAAUUCUUAAUUUCGUUUUUUGUGGUGGAAUUGGUAAAUCGUCAUUUACCUACCUUCAAAUAUUUGCAAUUGGAUUUCGGCAUCCCUCUUCCAAAUUGUGAAAUAUUGUGUUGGGUACGAGCCUUAAUAUUUCAUUUGGGUGUUAUAUUAAGGAUUCUUUAUCUAAUUUAAACUUUGUUCUUUUUCUUUUCAAUGUUUGGACCAAACAACACUUCUAGCUUAAACUCCAACUCAUCUAGCUCAUUUUCUCUCAUGAACAUUUAUGCGAGGGUCACCUUUGAUGGAUCCAACUUCAAUGACUGGAUUCGCAACAUUCGAAUGGCAUUACGCUAUGAAGAAAAGGAAUAUAUUCUCGACAACCAACUCAACGAGAUCAAUGAAACUAAAUCUACUCCUAAACUGAUAACUGAGUAUAAGACCCAUGAGAAGGACGCAACAAAGGUGUCGUGUAUCAUGGUCACCACUAUGACUCCUGCGCUCUAGCGGUUUUACGAGGACUACUGGCCUUAUGAGAUGUUGCAAGAACUGAUGGAAAGGUACCAUCAAAGUGCACGUCAAGAGAGGUACUGAAACAUCCCAAAAACACAGUCUGAAAAUUUCGUUUUAAAUCGGUAAUAAAACCAUAUUCAUCAAACGUCAUAUAAGAAUCAUAAACUACAUAUCUCAAAAUAUCAUAACAACUGUCAAAUAUAUCAGAGUAUAAACACCCCAGGCUGAACAAAUGGUGUGUGCACUGCAAUCUUCCCGAGCUCCUCUUUUGAAAACUGAGUACCUGAAACCAAAACUAAAACUGUAAGCAUGAAGCUUAGUGAGCUCCCCCAAACUACCACAUACCAUACAAUAACAUAUAAAGCACAUACUGGGCCUUGCCCACUGCAUCGGACCGAAGUCCGGAAACUGCAUCAGACCGAGGUCCGGAACUGACCGGGUCCUUGUCCCCUGCGUCGGACCGAAGUCCAGAACUAACUGCAUCGGACCGAAGUCCGGAACUGACUGGGACCUUGUCCCCUGCAUCAGACAGAAUUGUGCGGAACUAACUGCAUCGGACCGAAGUCCGGAAACUGCAUUGGACCGAAGUCCGGAACUAACCAGGGCCUUGCCCUCUGCAUCGAACCGAAGUCCGGAACUGACUGAACAUAGCAUAUCGUAACUUAUCAACUAGCAUGAAUACAUACACUGCAUACUGCAUCAGAACAGAGUCUGGGAUACAUAACACAAAACAUGCUUGAAUCACAAAGACAUCAAGCACUCUAACUACUGCAUCGGACGGAGGUCCGCAACUAACUGAACAUAGCAUAACAUAAUCAUAAAGUAUAAUAUAAACACAUAUACCUCAUACUGCAUCGGACCAUAGUCCAGAACACAUAACUCAUACCAUGUAUGUAUCACAAAGACACCAAGCAUACUGAACUACUGCAUCGGACUGUAGUCUGAAACUACUGCUAACUAAACGGGUCGGCAUUGUGGUCGUAGACCCGUUCCUACUGGAAGGAAACUCACCUCACACUACUGAAGUCCUGUAGACACAACCCCACACUGCUGAAGUUCCGCAGACUCAACCCCAGCUGCUAGAUGAUAGAUUCCUAGAUUACUACAUUACCCUUAGAUUGGCUUACCCAAGCCCAAGGCCCAAUCCAAAAGCCCAAAGUCAACUAGGGAUCAAAGCCUAACAUAUGGCCCAACUUUCCAAAUUAGGCCCAAACCUCUACAUGGACUUCCCUUAAGGCCCAAUUGUUCAGUCCAGUCCAACAUGUCUCAUUCUAAGGGCCCAAUAUCAUACAACCAUCUAGGCCCAAACUAUGGCCCAAUUUUCCAAAUUGUGCCCAAUCCUUCAUAUGGGCCUUACUCUAAAGCCCAACUAAUUACUCUAGUCCAUUUGAUUAUUCUUGGAUGGCCCAACACAAACCCCAAGUGAAAUUAGGGUUUCACAUAAAAUGACGAUUAAGGUUAAGUGUUUCUUACUUAACCCGUUAAGGACUUAAUCCGUUAAGUCCUUUACUCUACUAGAUAAAUGAUAUGGAGAAAUUGGACUUAAUACACAUGUAAAUUCAGCCAUUUCCGUACAUUAUAUUAACUUGAUAUCCUCAUGCAUAAUUUGAUAUCUGCUUUAAUUCCCAUAUCGAUUCAAGUAUCAAAAGAUACUUCAACUUCAUGUUUAUAUAACAACACUUGAGGUUACCUAAGGGAAACCCAAGUACCCCGAAACAAAUUUGGGCCACCUGAAAAUUUUUUGGGAUACCCCUUUACUUUAACUCUGGCUCUGCCACUGCAUCCAUAUACUUAGAAUUACUAUGUAUAUAUAAUAGGUGUGUUGUGAUAGUAUCUAUAUAUGUAUUAACUUUGGAUGGUUAAAUCCAAAGAUAUGCAAUAUACCAUAUAACGGGUAUGUUAUGGUAGUAUCUAUGUAUGUAGUAACUUUGGAUGAUAUAAAUCGAAUGUGGUGAAAUAUACCAUAAAACAAUGUCUUAUGGUAGUAUUUACUAUUUAUGUAUACGGUGCAAUAGAGAUUUAGUAUCAUUAGGUGUAAGGUGACAUAUAGUGUACUACAUAAUGCCUAUUUUGUGACAUUAAUCGGAGUAUUGAUGAUCCUUAUAAUGGCUCUCAAGGCAAUAUCCAUUCGAUGUAAAAUGCCAUUGGUGUUGAUAAAUAUUUAAUAUUAUGGUGGAUAUUAUUAGGGGACGUUGUAGUGAACCUUCAUGGCAAAAUACAUUAUUGAUAAUUGUGGAGUUACUUUGAAAGAUAUUGGGAGGUGGGACUUGUAUAUUAUUAGUUAAUUUCGUGUAAUUAACCAUUGCAGAUAUUUGAGGAAAUUAUGUAGUAAUAUUUAAUGAGUAUUUACUGAAUAGUUUGAAAGGCGCUUUGGAGUUUUAUUGAGUUGUUGAAUAAACUGAUAUAAUCGAUAUAUGGAGUUAUUAUAUGUAAUGUUGUCGAUGUUGCUUACUAAGCUCUUUGUAGCUUACAUUUUUAGUUAUUGUAUACCUAUAAGGAAACUCAUUAAAGAAAUGAUGAAUUAUAGAAGAGAGGUAGUAAUAUCUGGCUCGUAUCAUUGUAUUUGUAAUUCUUUUAUGCGAUCUUUUUGAUAACUAAUUGUAUUGAAUUGUUAUUAAAAUAUACACCAAGACGAUUUAUAAAUUGAAAUUUUUUAGGGGUUUUAUACUAAACUCUUUGUAUAAGAUGCUCUCUUUGUGCACCUCGAGACUCUAGUAGAGUCGGCUACAAUUUAAAACACACACACACACACACACCUUGCACCCAUCGACUUCAUCAAGUUCUUAAGGUUUUCUGUAUACCAGAUUCAAAUAUGGUUUUACUAAGAUGAUUCAACUAGCAUCUAAAAUGUGUAGAUAUUUUUAAAAUCAAUUUCUGUGCUACCUGGGAUAGAUUUAACUAAUAUUCUCAGUUGUGUUAUUGGUUCAUCGUUUAAGUAACAUGAUUUAGUGAACCAACACAGAGUUACUAGAAUCCCUAAUUCUCAGAGUUAAUUUACAAGUUUGUUUCAAUAUAUUCUCCAAGCGAAGUGAUUGCAGAUUCCCACUCCUUUAGCAUGGAUGAAGAGCAGUUGCCUAACCAUAAAUUCAUAAACAAGAUGGAACUAUAUGACUGUUAAAAAGAUUUGCUUCUUAAUGUUCACAUCAUAAUCUGUUCCUAUAACUGAUGUCUACUUGGAUCUGAGCCCAUUUAUUUCAACUGUUGUCAAAAUGUAUGUUUAGUCAUACACAUGUCAUAUAAUACAAAAUUUCUGUAGUGAGCUAUAUGUUCUAAGUAGCCCACAAAGAUUAGCAUUAUACAGAACUUGUGUUGUGUAUGCUAGAAAACACGUUUAAAAUGUACAAAACUGUGGUUAACAAUGCAGAAAAGUGAUAGCAGUGCAAAGAGGUGCAACAUGUGCAGAGAAUUGCUAAUGCUAUCAUGUCAAAUGGAUACGUAACAAUGUAAGUAUUUGUAUCGACUCUUCGUACAAACAUCUCCAAGACACAUCUGAUUAGAGCAUUUUGAAACUAUUUCUACCAUCAGAGCAGUACUAAUUUUCACACAAGCAAAACCACAAACACCUUGCGUGCAAAUUUAUCAACCAUUUUCCAUACUCUUCAAAGUCACGUGUUUGAGCCAGCAGUUGGCAACUCACAAACAGGUCGAGGUGGAGAUGGAGGCGGAGGCUAGUGUCUAUGUUUAUCAUAAGCCCACUGUUAAAAGAUCCAUGUUAAGGAUAAUUCUAUAACAGGAAUGAUACCGAGUAAAUUGGCAGAUAGUAGGGGGUGUUUGGCUAAGCUUUUGAAAGGCAAAAGUCCUUUUAGGAAAAGUUGCAAAAAAUCAGGAUUCUGUAACUUUUCCAAAAAGUACAUUUUUCCUUAUAUAAAAAAGUAACUUUUACAACAUUGCCAAAUAUCUUUUGCCUUUUUAUCUUUUCCUAAAAACUAAAAGUUAUUUUUAAAGAUAAAACAAGCACCCCGUAGUAGAGCUUACCCUUGGUUUCUUCUUCUGUUUUUCUUCAUCUGUUUUUUUUACCUUCAUUUCUUCUUGUAUCAAUGCAAAUGCUUCAUCAAUUAUUUCUUCUUCUGUUUUUAUGAUAUUAUCAGAAUUGAGAAACAAUUUAAGUGACAUAGUAUUGAAUGAAAUGACAUAACCAUAGAUGGAAAUGUUUUAAGUAAAAUUAAGAAGAAAUUGAUGUAUCUGUUUUGUUUGAAAAUGAAAAAUUACGUUCAUUCUUGUAUCAAUGCGAAUUCAUUCAUCAAUUAUAGCUCCUAAUGCCAUUGGUAUGAAUUCAACUUUGGAAUUAUGAAAACUACUCGCACUAUCAAUACUUACACCAAUCAUUUACGAACAAGUUAAAAAGUAAAUUACUAAAAUCGUUCCUAUGGUUUUGUCAAAAUUUCAUGUUUGGUCCCUAACUUUUUCUUUGCACUCGGACCAUCCCUAUGGUUUGAUUUCGUUGCGUUUUUCGUCCCUAUGGUUUGGUCAAAAUUGCACGUUUGGUCCUUAAUUUUAUGUAUGUAAGGGACGAAAAACGCAACAAAAUCAAACCAUAGGGACGAUCCGAGUGCAAAAAAAAAAGUUAGGGACCAAACGUGAAAUUCUAACCAAACCAUAGGGACGAUUUUAGUAAUUUACUCAAGUUAAAAUUAAAAAAAGAAUUAAACUAUAAGGAUCUGUGACUCUGCAGAUAGCAUAAAAGAAACCAACCUUACACACCCGAUGGCAUAUGCAUUAGCAUUGAAUGCUACAAUUGUGAAUCAUAAGGGUGGGUCAUGAAUCCUGCAAAAAUAAAUCAACAUAAGUUUUUCAUUCCAAAAUGACUACCGGAUACAUCAUGUCAAAUUAAUUAUGUGAGCAAAAUUCAUCAAUUAUUUUACCAAAUAACAAAAGAACACAUAAUUGAACAAUGAAUCAUAAACAGUAACACGCAUAUCAUGGUCACUCCAAAGUACACUAAAUAGAAAUACCAAAUAUUCUCUAAAAGGGAAAAACCAUGGAGCUAGUAAAUAGAUGGCAGUGAAGAUAAAUAGCAUUUUUGUUCACAAUUUCACAAAUAUAGAAUCAUAUUUAGCUGUGUCAAAAUCGAUCCACUUAAUAAAAAUUCCAUCCACUUAACCAUAAUGCCUUAAUGGGUUUAAUCAGUGUGUUAAUCGGCAUUGUCAUAUGGGUACAAUAGUAGGUUGAUAUUAGGCAGUACAUAAUCAUAAUGAUUCAUUAUUUGAACGUAUUUAGCCUGUUUGUUUGUUCACCGUUAAUUUUCGAUAUUUUACAACGUAAUAAUGUACUCAUUUCUAGAUGUUUGGUUUGGUAAACAGUUUAAUUCAGUAAGCACGCCAUGUUAACAAACAAAUAUUGAGAAACAAAUAAAACUUUUGUUGUAAAAAUACAUAGGUACUUGGAUUGAGAUAAUAUUUAAAAAAUUUGUUCGAUUUACAGUUAUUUAAUUUUAUACAUUACGAAACAAAAACAAGUUAAAAGACAUAGAGAAGGCCGGACCUUCACAAUAAGAUAUAGUCAUCCUCGUAGAUGCAGGGGAAUUAGGGGAACGACGCGCCAAUAGGAGACUCCUAUACUAGUCUUUUUUUUUUCAGAUUCGGGCAUUCAUUAAUUCCCAAACUCAAAAGCGAAGGCAACAGCUUUUCUGGUAGAUCCAUCAUCUUUCGGCACUUGACAAUGAAGAGAUGCUGGAGAAAGGUGAGGUGUUGGAGUCCCGUUGAAAUUGAUUCCAAUUUCUCAAAUCAUUCUAUGCGAAGAGAAGUAAGAGAUGAAGGAAAAAGACCGGACAACCGACUAAAAUCAGUCACUUCUUCAUAUGGUCCGCCAUAUAGAUGUAGGUUAAAAAGUGAGGUUGGAAAACUCUAUGGGCCCCACUCUGACAUGGGCUUCUUCAAUCCUCCUAUGGUAAGAGGACCCAGUUUUGGAGGCCAAAGCCCACCAGGAAAGAAAGCAUCCAUACUUGUACAGUUUUUUAUUUGCAAAUGUGUUAACCAAUAUUUUAAAACCCGGGUUGACCCGACCGGUUCAACUGGUUGGACCGUGAUCCGGGGUAGAAAGCGGGUUAAUUGAGAACGGUUUUUUGUAAAAAUACGGACUUGAUCGAACCGGCCGGGUUUCCCCUAAACCGCGGUUCGACCGGUUAUGUUGAACCGGUUAAAACCGGAUUGACCCGUUUUAAUAGAACUUUGAUAGUUGGAUACAAGUAGCGGACGCCAAAACAACGAAUUGUUUGCGGUUUCUUUAAUGUUUUUCAAUGUUUAAACUUUGUGGACAUCAAAUUAUUGGUUUUAUAUGUUUAUGCAUUAUGUAGGAAAGUAAAAAUAUAUAAAAAUAAAAAAAGACCAUAAACAGGGUUGACCCGACGGUUCAACUGGUUGAACCGGUUAACCCGUGAACCGGUUAUUACACCGGGUCAACAAAAAACCCGGGCUUUAAAACAUUGGUGUUAAAGAGGCAAGAUGCGGCAACUCAUGGUCAGGAAAUGGAAGUGAAUCCAGACUUGGACACUCUUCUAUUCUGAAUACGGUCAAAUGGAUGAAGUACUUUAAUUCAUUCAUCGAUUUAAGUUUCUUGCAGUUCCAGAUGGAAAGUGACUUGACGUUCUGCCCUCCUCCUGUUGGGAAAGACACAAACGUAAUUGAUUUGAAUCACAGGUAAAAAUAAGCAAUGACUCAAGGCUAUCUGGACAACUGGAAUGUUGUAAGGGAAUGGUGUAGCGUUGGGCGAGCACCAUGGUACUUGUUUUAGUGACAAGGCGGCCAAGUAGAUUUCCUUGGAUAAGGAAAGGGAAAAGUAUGUAGCUCCGAGAGGGAGUGUAAGUUCACGGAAGCGAAAGCAGUAGCGCGGAGGUAUGAUUGAGGUGUUCCAAUCAUGGUUAUUGAGCAGAGUGUUUGCGGCGGUGGUAUGGAAUCACAUCCGGGUUGGAUAUCUGCGGAGGUCACGGAAGGAGUUCCGCGAGUGUAGAGCCAAAGAGGCUCUGAAGGGAUGCAAGGAUGGAGCCUUGGAUUCCUAGUUUGGUGUGAACAAGGAAUUAUGCUUGUAGCGGUAAUUCAUCCUGGGGGGAUGUUUGGAGGUGUCGUCAGUGCGUCGGGUUUUCCCAACCCGAGAAUGCUAGAGCUAGUUCAGCAUGUGUAUGUGAUGGCAGAGAAGAACUCAUGGGAGUUGCUCUAAAGCUGAAGGAUGUGUUGUCCUGUCAACAUGGAAGGGAUAGAGUUGGACUCAGUAAGGGAGCAGGUUAAGUCUUAGUAGUGAAUUCGGCGAAGGAUAUAUCUGACGAGGAAAAUGAUAGCAGUGUGGUACCGGGUCGGGAUCCUGGUGGUUCAAGGUUAUAUCUAGCUCGUAAGAGUCAAGUGAUUGUUGUGAUCUGGAACGAGUGAAGUACCAUGGAGUGGUACUCGGUUGAUAAAUGUGGUUAUCAGAGGAUGAAACCGGUGGCUGGCUUGAGGCGGUGGUCAGGACAUCGCAGGGGAAGAGUUGGGUUUCGGGUUUCGAUGGUAGUGUUUUGAGGAACCUGAUUUGGUUAAUGCUAGGUGGUGGAUUGCGAGAAUAAUUAUUGGAAUUGUGUGUUGCAGCAGGCUUCGGGGACGAAGCCUAAUUUAAGUGGGGGAGAAUUGCAACAUCCUGAAAAUUCAAAAAUAAAGUUGAAGGGCUAAAAGUGUAAAUAAGAAGGUCGACUCGGCGAGUCGAGUCACGUUUCAAGUCGCGUGAUAAGUGACCAACUCGGUGAGUCGCAUGUGUAGACUCGGCGAGUUGGUGCUGUAUGGAGAAAACCCUAAUCCCGGGGGUUGAGCCCUAUAUAAAGAACAUAAUACCCACUCCCCAGCCUCUUUACAUUCCCUUUGAGUUCCAGAGGCCCUAAAUUCGUGUGAGCUUUCCUUUGUGAGUAAUUAGAGCCUUGGAGGAAAUCUUGGAAGGGAAUUGAAGAGCAAGAAGAUUUGGAGCAAGGGGCUUUGCAGAGAUUUGGUUCAUUCUCCAGUAGGAGCUUGCAUUGGAGGUAAGAGAUCUGUUCUUGAGCUUUUGUGCAUCUAUAUUUAUCAAUUAUGGGAUUUUUUGGAGCAUAAAUGAGGUUCAUCUCGAGUUUAGUGUAAGAUCUGAGGUUGCUACCUCAGAUCUAGGAUUGUAGUGGUCCAGGAAGCCAUAAAGUUCAUGCCCAAGAGUUGUUAGUGAAGCCUUCUUGUCCCAAACCCUAGCCUAAGAGUGUUCUAUGCUUAGAUCUCUUUGGAUUUACGUAAAGUUUGCAACUUUACGUGAGGAAUAGCUUGUGGAAGGGUAGAUCUAUGAAUUGGAGCCCCUGCAUGGCUUGGAAAGCCACUUAAUGGAUUAAGAGCUAGUGGUACUUGGCGAGUUGCAUGAAGAUAGGCACGAACUCGGUGAGUUUGAAGAACAACUCGGCGAGUUGGAAGAACAACUCGGCGAGUUGGUUGAAGAUAGCCUUGGACUCGGUGAGUCUGUUCGUGAGGUCCUAACCUUUCCUGGUUUAGUUGUGAAUCGGUGAGUCAAGGGACGACUCGGUGAGUUGAGCAGGAAGUGACUCAGAGUUCGUGGGACUCAGCGAGGCUUAGGGCGACUCGGUGAGUCUUGGGGCGACUCGGCGAGUUGGGUCACGAUAUGGGAGUUUUCAGAGUUGAGGGACUCGACGAGUCAGCAGGCUGACUCGGCGAGUAGUGUCAGUCAGGAAGUUUGACUUUGACUGAGGACUUUGACUUUAACCAAGAGUUGACCAGUUGUCUUCCAAGGGUAAUUUGAUAGUUUUUGGUAUUUAUUGAGUUCGGUCUUUUGGUAUUGUUAGUGGUGGAGUUUGUGUCAGAGGUUGGAGCAGCGUGAUCUUAUCUUUUCAGUCAGCAGUUGCAAGGUGAGUUAUCCUCACUAUAUCGAUAGGGUCUAAGGCACCAAUGUCGGCCCUUUAUUGGAUUGUAAUCUGGGUAUCGUUGUUAUGUUGUUGCUUUGCUAUGUUUGCAUCCUGGUAGUUAGGAUGGUAUAUGUUAGAGACCUAGUUAAGGUCGGUAUCUUGGUAUAUAGGAUGAUGCUAUGCUAGUGACCGGUUAGGUCGGUAUCCUGUUUGGAGUAUGUUAUGUUAUUUGAUCUGCUAGAUCGGUUUGAUUGGAUGUGAAUUGUUAUAUGAUUGUAUGUUUAUGUGCACAUGGUUGUCGGACUGGGGUUGGGUUGAUGCGGGUCCUGCUUUGUGCUGUAGGCCAACACACCCAGGGCGGACCGGUUAUCCCGAAGGCCAGCCAGCGGUCCGGAUAGGCUGUAGGCCCCACAACGCUGGAACAGACGUGCAGAGGCUCGGAGAGUGGACCAGGCCGACUGAAGGCCCGGUGCGGGCGGACCAGUCAUACUGUAGACUUAUAGAGUGGACCAGGUGGGUGGAAGUGCCGGUGUGGGCGGACCAACCACACUGCAGACUCGAUGGAUAUCGAUAGACUCGGAGGGUGGACCAGGUGGACUGAAGGCCCGGUAGGGCGGACCAGUCACACAGUAAACCCGAAGUGCAUGGCUGUUCUGUUCGGUUAUGUUAUGUUAUGCAUGGUAUAUGUGGUUGGUAUUUUAGGGGCAUCUCACUAAGCUUCCGGGCUUACAGUUGUGGUUUAAUGUUUUUCAGGUACUUCAUGAGACCGUGGCAAGGCGAAGGCGUAAUCGUACCGCUCCUCAUGUUUAUGUUUUACGAUAUGGUUCUGGGAAGACUCUGAUAAUAAUUGUAUUGAAAACCUUUUUGUAAUGACUUAACGAAACUGAGUUGCUUUUGAAAUAUUUAAAUUGGCUUGAAUUUUUAGAGUGUUACAAGAACAUUUGUUCACCAAGGAAUGUGGAAACAUAUGAACAGUGCCGCUGGAUAAAAGAAGUUCACGAAGAGGCAUUUGCAAUAAAAAAUUUCAUCAUGAACCAUAACAUGAGGCUCUCGAUUUUCACCAAGUUUACUCCUCUUAGGCUGCUUUGUAUUGCUGACACUCGCUUUGCCAUCAUCAUUGUGAUGCUUAAGAGAUUGAAACUUAUCAAAAGGGGUCUUCAAGCUAUGGUCAUAAGCGAAGAAUGGUCUUCUUAUAGAUUAGAUGACACUGAGAAAGCAAACGCUGUGAAAGAAUAUAUUUUAAAUGAUGAUUGGUGGGAUAAAGUAACAUAUAUUCUUAGUUUCACUGGAGCUAUAUAUGAGAUGAUUAUAGCUUGUGACACUGACAAGCCAUGUUUACACUUGGUCUAUGAGAUGUGGGAUUCUAUGAUUGAGAAAGUGAAGAUUGAGAUCUACAAGAAAGAAAAACGUCCGACAUCUCAAAUAAGUUCUUUUUACGACGUUGUGCGACGUAUUUUAGUGGCUCGAUGGGCGAAGAAUAACACUCCCCUACAUUGUUUAGCUCACUCUUUACAUCCAAGGUUUAAGAUUUUAAAUUAUACACUUGAUUUGUAUUAUAUAUUUAUGUUUUAACUUUUGGAUGUUUGUAGAUAUUAUAGUGAUGCAUGGUUAAUGGAGGAUUCUACAAGAUGCGCUCCACAUAGGGAUGGAGAUGGGAUAAGGGAGAUGUGGGGCCAAUAGGAGCUUCUUCUAAUGCUCCUUUCUUUUAAAUUUGGGCAUCUAUCGAUUUUCAAAGAAAAAAAGUGAAGGAAACACCUUUUCUGGUAGAUGUAACGUUUUUGGGGAGUUGGAAACAGAGAGAUGUUGGAGAGAGGUGAGGUGUUGGAGUCUCCCUUUGAUUUUCAAAUUCCUUUUUUCCUUUAUGGAAACAGAAGCAAGAGAUGAAGGAAGAAGAUGUGACAAUUGAUUACAGUUUUUCACAUCAUUAUAUAGUCCGCGAUAGAGUAAAUUACACGAAUGGUCCCUAUGGUUUAGGGUAAUUUGCGCGUUUGGUCCCUAACUUAUUUUUUUAACUCGGAAGGGCCUUACUGUUUGUUUUUGUUACGCGCUUGGUCCCUAUCUUACCUAAAAAGACUAUUAUGCCCUUGAUUUUUUUAAUUUAUUUAAAUAAACACACCCCUAAUCCCACCCUCUCACCUUACCUCACCUACCCCCAUCAUUUUUUCCUUUUGAAAUAAUAGUCAUUUUAGAUAAUACAGGGACCAAACACAUAACAAAAAUAAACAGUAGGGAUCAAACGCGUAACAAAAACAAACCAUAGGGACCUUCCGAGUUAAAAAAAUAAAUCAGGGACCAAACAUGCAAAUUACCCCAAACCACAGGGACCAUUCGUGUAAUUUACUCGUCCGCGAUAUAAUAUUAAGUUAUCUAGUGUAGGGGUGUUCAAAACCGAAUAUCCGAAAAUUUGGAUAUCCGAAUUUCAGAUAUCCGAAAAUUCAAAUAGUGUAUUAUUGGUAUCCGAAUCCAUAUCCGAAAUUUCAGAUAUCCGAAUUUUCGGAUACGAAUUCGGAUAUCAAUACGGAUAUCCAAAUUUUUUUGGCUUUUUUGUUAUUAUCAAAUAUCGAUUAACUUAAAAUAACCUAUUUUAAAAUAUAUUAAGUUGUUAAUUGUCUAUAAGAUGCAACUCAACCCAACAGUUACAAACCACUUGCAAUUCAAAAGAAAAAAGACGUUGAACCAUCUUAUAACAAAAAUAUAAAUCAUACAUUCCAUAUUAAAAGUAAACCUAUUAAUUAUAUAAAAGCAUUUAGUUUACCUUGUGAAUAAUAAAUAAAAUAUUAUAAAAAUAAUAAAAAAUAAAUUUUUGGAUAUCGGAUAUCCGAAAUAUUCAAAAUUUUAGAAAACGAGUAUUUGUAUCCGAAAGUGAUAGCAGUACAAAGAGGUGCAACAUGUGCAGAGAAUUGCUAAUGCUAUCCUGUCACUUGGAUACGUAGCAAUGUAAGUAUCUGUAUGACUUUUCGUACAAACAUCUCCAAAACACUUCUGAUUAGAGCAUUUUAAAACUAUUUCUACUGUCAAAGCAGUACUAAUUUUCUCACAAGCAAAACCACAAACACCUUGUGUGCAAACUUAUCAACCACUUUCCAUAGUCUUCAACGUCCCUGUGUUUGAACCAGCAGUUGGCAACUCACAGACAGGUCGAGGUGGAGAUGGAGGCGGAGGCUAGUUUCUAUGUUUUAUCAUAAGUCCACUGUUAAAAGAUACAUGUUAAGGAUAAUUUUAUAACAGGAAUGAUACAGAGUAAAUUGGCACAUAGUAGUAGAGAGCUUACCCUUUGCAAUUUUUCCCCCAUUAUUUCUGUUGUUUGAUCAUUACAAAUUGUCCAAAAAGAUCAUGCUUAUAAAUUUAUAAUCCAUCUCUAAGAUUUGAUCCCAGCUAUUCCCUUGACACCACUGCCAAUCCACUUUGCUGUGGAUUUUUGCAGAUAUGUGGUUGAAGGUGUGAUUCUUCUAAUGGCAAUCUUGUCCACACCAAUGAAAGUGCCAAGCACCAUUAACCCAGCGAUUGGUGUUUAUAUGGCAUUUAGCUAUUAAGAUUCAUAAAUUCCAAGCUCCUACAUCUCCAAAUUUAUGAAAAACAAACAGAAGUCAGAAAGUCUAUAAUGAGAAGUUGUUUAUUCGGAAAUGACUACCGGAUACAUUAUGUCAAAUAAAUUAUACGAGCACAAUUCAGCAAUUAGUUCACCAAAUAACAAAAGAAAACAUAAUUGAACAAUGAAUCAUAAACAAUAAAACACAUAUCAUGGUCCCUCCAAAGAAGUACGCUAAAUAGAAAUAUCAAAUAUGCUCUGAAGGAAAAAACGUGGAGCUAAUAAAUAUAUGGCAGUGAAAGAUAAAUAGCCUUUCUGUUCACCAUACUUCACAAAUGGAAAGUGAUUCGUACACAACAAUUUUUUUAUCAUACACAAUAAUUUAUGCAUUAUAUAGUUGUACAAUACAACAUUUUAAAACAUUAAUUGUUGUGUAUGGAAAAAAAAAUUGUUGUGAACGGAUGAAAAUUACAUCAACUUAAUGAAAAUUAAGUCAACUUAACCUUGAUGGGUUUAAUUAGUAUUAAUGCCGGUCAGAAGUCAUGCAUAAGACUACAUUAAAUUAGGCGGUAUAUUAUCAAAAUGACUCUGUGAUUUGAAAGUAUUUAACUUGUUUGUUUGUACUACAUUAAGUUAUUAUUAUUAUUAUUAUUAUUAUUAUUAUUAUUAUUAUUAUUAUUAUGCUUGUGAUUUCAUAUUGAAGCUGUACAACUUUAAAAGACAAUGAUAACUUUACAACCAAUCCUAGUCCACCAUACACCAACUUAAUUCAUUUUGCAAUCUAUUGUGGCACUCUCACGUUUUAAAGCCCUAAUUAUAUUAAAUCAGUAAACAUACCAUGUCAACAAACGAAUAUCCAGACAUAAAUAGAACUUUUAUUGAAAUACAUCCUUGGAUAUUUAAAAUGUUGGUUGAUUGGCAGUUAUUUAAUUUAUACAUUAUGGAACUAAAAGAAGUCAAAAGACAAAAGGCAUAGAUAAUGGCGCACCUUCACAAAAAAAAUAUACUCAUCCUCGUGGAGGUGUGGGGUUAGAGAGACGAUGGGCCAAUAGGAGCCUCCUAUACUAGUCUUUUUUUUCAGAAUUGAGCAUUCACUAAUUCCCAAACUCAAAAGUGAAGACAACUUUUCAGGUAGAUCCAGCAUCUUUUGGCACUUGACAAUGCUGAGAUGCUGGAGGGAGGUGAGGUGUUGGAGUUCCGUUGAAACUGAUUCCAAUUUCUCAAAUCUUUCAAUUCGAAGCGUAGUAAGAGAUGAAGGAAAAAGACCGGACAACCGACUAAAAUCAGUCACAUCUUCAUAUGGUCCGCCAUAUAGAUUUAGGUCAAAAAGUGAGGUUGGAAAACUCUGUAGGCCCCACUCUGACAUGGGCUUCUUCAACCCUCCUAUUCCAAGGGAACACAAUUUCGGAGGCCAAAGCCCACGAAGAAAGGAAGCAUCCAUACUUGUACAGUUUUUUACUUCCAAAAAUCUUAACGAGGCAAGAUCCAGCAACUCUUGGUCAGGAAAUGGAAAUGACUCCAGACUUGGACACUCUUCUAUUCUGAAUGUGAUCAGAUGGACGAAGUACUUCAAUUCAUUCAUCGAUUUAAGUUUCUUGCAGUCCCGGAUGAAAACUGACUUGAGAUUCUGCCCUCCUCCUGUUCGGAAAGACACAGAUGUAACUGAAUCACAACGACUAAUAAACAAUGACUCAAGGGUAUCUGGACAGCUGCAAUGCUGUAAGCUGGCACAAAGAGAUACCGACAACCACCUAAGAGAUGUUAGGUUGCUCCCACAAUUAUCCUCCUCUUUCUCUCCUAAACUCACCAAAUUUGAACAAUAACGUACCUCCAACCUCCUUAAAUUCGCAAGAAGCUUACCUGCCUCUGCUUCAGAUUCCCACAGGUAUCUUAUUUCACUACACCUUUCUAUCGUUACUUCUUCAACUUCCCCAAGAUACUUCAUAACACCUCCCCACACCUCAUGAGUAAGACCUGAAAUAUCAUGUAAUAUCAACUUGGUGACUGAUGAAGCGACAUGAACCAGGCUUGUCAACACACCAUGACCACAUCCUUUUACUGUCAUAACUCUGAGUAAAGGUAGUUUUUCAAGUGAGACUUCAACCAGAUUAGGACAAAAUAGAAUAAUAAGCUCUUUAAGGCAUGGAAACACUGCUGCAUCUACAACCCCAUUGUUAUUGAUUGACCAUUCCUUCCAUGAUGGCAUAGUAUCAAAAGUUAGAAUUUCAAGGGAAGGGAAUGCAACACCUGUUCCAAGCAACUCCCAACCCACAACUUUCACCUUACUCAUCUUCCCAAUAUACAACUCCUUAAGUGAUGGUAGUUGCCCAAGUUCUGGUAGAGAUGUACAUUCUUCGCACCCAUAUAUUGACACGUGAGUCAACCCAAGAAACGAAGGAUCCCCAACCCAAUUAGGAAACUCUAUAACCGCAUAUGACACAAUUUUAAGCUUCUUCAAACUAUCAGUUUGAGGCUUCAACUCUGUAAGGACCUCCUUAUCAUGUGUCUCCUUUCGAAAAACGUUUAACCCGGUAUCACUAUGACACAACCUAAGCCCCUUUUGCAAUAAUCCAUAACCCCAAUCCAACUCCAACUCACUAAGCCUUUUUUGUGAUAAGUGUGCAUUGCAUGCCUCCAUUGCAUUUUGUACAUUGCCCAGCCCCCAAAUGGAAAUUUUCCCAUGGAGAUUUUGCAAGUUCUUAAGCUCGGUUAUUGCAAAUCCGUUUUCACCUCCAAUUAUGAUCUUGGAGAGAGUUUGUAGGCCUUUCAACUCACCAAUCCCUAAGGGCAUCUUCUUCAAACCUGGAGUAUCCCUAAUGUCCAAAUGCCUCAAAUUUUUAAGCUUUAAGAAGCUGUUGGGCAAGUUAAUUAAACUUUUACAGCCAAAAAGGAUCAAUGUCUGGAGAUUAUAAAGAUUGCAGACAUUUUCUGGUAAAAGCUUGAUAUCAGUUCGAGAUAAAUUCAGAUACCGCAAGUGCUUUAGACUGCCAAUGAAUUCGGGUACCUCGCUUAUGCUAAGAUUACUCAAACUUAGGACCCUUAACAAUGGUAACUCCUGAAGUAAGUUCUCCAGGACCUUGUUUGAUAAGUAGAAUCUUUGCCAACUGUCUAUCACCCCAACAGAUACCGCUAUCAACGUUCUCAAACUUUUAGCUCCUUUGAGUGGCUCGAACCUUCCGGAAACCAUGUAUUCCUCACGAACAAAUGACAGAUGGCGGUACUUUUCGAAUGAUUCAUUCCUAUGUUCUUUCUCCGUCCCAAUGUCUACCCUUGAAAAAAACUCCCCAGCAACAGAUGUGGCCAAGUCACUCAUGAGAUCAUGCAUCACAAACAACGAUCUGUCAUUUGGUGCAGGUUGAAAAAAUGACCUUGACCACAACGCAUUAAAAUACUCGAGACCCAAGCGUUCCAUUGUCUUGUUUGUCGUUGAUUGCAAAAAACCUUCUGCCAUCCACAACAAAAUCAACUUCUCCUUGUCAAACUCAAAGUCCUUGGGGAACAAGGAGCAGUAUGCAAACAACUGCUUCAAACAUGGAGAGAGAUCAUGGUAGCUUAAUUUGAGAGCCGGAACAAUCCCAUCUCCCUUUUCUAGACUCCAUAUCUCACUAUUCAGCACUUCUUUCCAGUCUUCCUCAUCUAUUUUUGUCCUUAAUAACCUUCCAAGUGCUUUCAAAGCCAACGGCAACCCAUUACAUUUUCUAACAAUACCUUCACCAUGUGGUUUAAGUAGCGGAUGUGAAUCAAAGUUUUUUUCUCCCAAUGCAUGCUGACAAAAUAAGGAUAAAGCACUUUCAUCUGAUAGAAUAGGCAAAUGAUAAGGUUCAUUGUUACCAAGUUGGGUUAACAACGACAUCUUCCUGGUUGUCAUGAUAACUUUACUUCCGGGUGCCCCUGCAAGAAAUGGCCCUGCUAGGAUUUCCCAAUCCGUAUAGCUUUCACUCCACACAUCAUCUAAAACAAGCAGAAAUCGCUUAUUUGAGAUCUUCUCUCUUAAAGCUACUUGCAGCAGAUUUAAAUCCUUAAAUACUUGGUUUCCCCCACCUAUUGAUUGAAAAAUAAUACUGCUUAUAUUGAAAAUAUCAAACUCAUCAGAAACACAGACCCACGCCAUGAGUUCAAAACGAUCCUUCCCUUGCAUCUCAUCAUACAAAAGUCUAGCGAGAGUGGUCUUACCUACCCCACCCAUACCAACUAUUGGCACGAUGCUAACGUUUCUAUCACAUGGUUCAUAUAGCUUGAGAAGCAACGCUUCCUUAUCAUCUUUGCGCCCAACAAUACUAGAUGGAUCUACCAAAGAGGUCUCUAACCUUCUAUUUCUAUGUUUUGGGCUUUCACCUAUCACACUUAAGCCAAGCUUAUAUUUUUCCUCAAACAGUUCUUGUAACUUGAUGGUGAUAUUUUCAAACUUGUCAUGCAUCCUAGCACUUGGUAACAGCUUUCUUACCUUGCUUGAGGUUCCAGAUUCCUCUGUGAACUCACGAUGCAUAGCUUCUGUUGACAAUUCGUCAAGUAGAUCGUCUAUGUCGUAAGCCAAAUGUUGGAGACUAUUCAGCCAUUCUUUAACAGCUUCCUGACGUAUUUCCUUCUGAGAAGCAUCAUUAAGCAGAUCUUUGAUCUUGAUUAAUGACAUCUUUAAUUUUUCCACGUCAUCGUCAUCGAUUUUCUUGAAACGAGCAAACUGCCUGAAGGCUUCGGAGGCCAGCUUGUCACAGAACAAAGAGUACAGGGCAGAAAUGAUUCCAGCCAUUGCUUACGGUGAAGGCGUAGGUAUGAAUGAUAGAGAUGAAGAUGAAGUGAGCGUGACUUUUGAUUGAAAAGAACGAUCCAAGCCCUAGUUGUCCAUUGUUUUUUGGUCAACGCCUUUUUGCCACCGCUUUACUUUUAAAUAGUCCAGCGGAUCAUCAAGGACAAGUUUAUGUUAUUUUUGAUUGGUCCUCCUAAAUACACGAAUGAAUUCGUGUAGUGCAUAAAAUUUAGUAGUUUUACUUGACUUACGUCAAAUCAAUUUCAUUUGUCAAUUAUUUUUAUUUAAAACCUUAUAACUUAAAGCAAUAACAUAUUUGGCCCUUUAACUUUAUAAUCCUUCGUUCCAAUCCAUUUUAGUUGUAAAUCACUUUUAUUUGAAAUCUUAUAUGGCCCAUUAACUUUUAAAUAUUGUCAUUUUAUCUUUAUAAUAAUAAUAAUAAUAAUAAUAAUACAAGAAAAUUUCUGAAUAGCUACGGAAAAUAUUUACGGAAUCAAAAUCCGUAGCAAUUUUAGUAUGGAAUAUGUUGCGGAAUGGCUUGUCGUAGCUAUAAUGCUACGGAAACGGUUACGAAAUUGUAUUGUAUAGCUAAAUCCUAAAUAGCUACGUAAAGUUUCUACGGAAUCAUGAUCCGUAGCUAUUCUACUAUAAAAUAUGCUACAAAAUGAUUGGUCGUAGCUAAUUUGCUACAAAAAUAACUACGGAAUUGCAGUCCGUAGCUAAAUCAUGAAUAGUUGUUACGAAAUCGAAACCCGUAGCUAUUUUACUAUAAAAUAUGCUAUAUAAUUUUUUGUUGUAACUAGUUCGUUAUGGAACUUAUUGUGGAACUCAAAUUGUAACGAAUAGAUGUCGUAGAAACUAUCAUAGCAAAAUUGCUAUGAAAUUAUAAUUUCGUAGCUAAACAGUUUGCUACAAGAAAUAAAACUACGGAGUCUAAUUGAAAUUUUAUGUAGCGAAUUCCAUAGUUAUUUGGCUUUAGCUACGAAAUUUCAUGUUUUUGCUAUGGAAUUUUUCCAUAUUUAAAUCGUUUACAAAUAAUUAAAUAUAUAGGAUUAUUGACUCGGUUUCCCUGUAAAACAAAAGUAUGAGGAAAAAAAUUAACUUGAUGGGAAACUGUUUAUGCUGCUUUGGCGUCACAACAGAUCAUUACGGUCUGAUGGAUGGAAAACUGUUUAUGUUGCUCGUGUGAAUUCAUACAUUUCUCCAUUUGCAACACACAGUAAUUGUAACAAUUCUACAGUUAUAAUAUCUGAUAAUUAAUAAAAUCAAGUUUAUGUUUUGUUGUUUAUAAUUAUUAAGAUCUUUAACAAAAUUGUUUUUUUUUUCCAUUGAUAAAUUUUAGAAAGAUUCUUUUCAUCUCGCUUUUAAAAUUAUACAAAUAUUAAACAUAAUUGGUUUCUAAUAACGGUCAAACCAUAUGGUUAAAUGGCUAUCUGAUUAAAUAGUCGACCAUUUGAGUUAUCAAUUUAUAAUAGUUAAUAAUUGAAUAAUGAGUUAUCAAAAUCUUUUUUGGUAACUAAUCCAUAAGUUUAAAUAUAAAAUGUUUAUUUAUAGAUAUAAAUUAUAAAAAAUAUAUAUUAACUAAAUAGUUUAUUCAGUUUUAUUAGUUUAACCAAAUAAGGUAUCUUUAUUUGGUUAAUCAAACCGAAUAAACCAAAUAUCCGAGUAACUCGAGCCAAAUCAACCAACCAUCAUUUGGUUUUGUUCAGUUAUUCAAUUUAAGCUAUUUUUAUCACACCCUUUUAUUUUAUGAUCAUGAUACAAAAAUUUUAAAAUAUCUUUUUAUUUGUUUAAUACAAAUAAAAUGACUAUUUUGUUAACGUCUAUAGUAUACAUACUAAUUCUUAGAGGUUUUCAUUGAAAAAAAAAAUAAAAGUAACAACCAUCAUUAGUAAUUAGCAUAUACAUCAUGUGAAAUUAAAAAAAAAACAUUUGGAAAAUGAUAAGAAAAUUAGGACUAUACAAAAACAUAAUAAAAUAAAUUAAAAACCUAAACUAGUAACUUAAUUAUUAUUUGAGUUUAAUUUUAUUAAAAAAAAUUAAAAAUUUUAUUAAGUUAAUAUUAUAUCAUUUAGAAGUUAUCUUUUGCAAUUUAAUAUAUUAAUUUAAACUAAAAUAAUAAUAUAAAAUAUAGUAUAGAGAUUGAAAUGGUAAAAACAACAUAUUGAAAGUUUAAUAAAAAUGGAAGGAUAAGAACUGCAAAUUGAUAUUGAUUGAAAUAGUAAAACAAACCUGUUGAAAACUUAAUAAAAGGAUCCUCCUAUUCGCACGAAACAAAUCGUGUAAUUGUUUUGGUAUUUGUGCCUGAAGUUUGAAAACUGACAAUUUGUCACAACGNCCUAUACUUUUUCGACUUUUAAAAAUUCCCUAUAUUAAUCUAUUCUAUUAGAAAUAUGUUCAUAUGUGUAUGAUAAUAUUUAAAAAUAUAUAUACAUAAUUUUUAACCUAUAGUAUGAGUCUAAUUCAUUUGUAAACUCAAUCAACAUUUAAAAAUUAGUUUUUAAAAACUCAAUUAGUAUUUAAAAUUAAUUGAUGUUUUAAAAAAUUAGCAUUUAGAGUUGGUGUUUAAAAGCUCAAGUAGUGUUUAAAAUUAACAUUUACAAACUCAAUUAACGUAUUAGAACUCAAUUGGCGUUUAAAAACUCAAUUAGUGUUAAUUAGAAAAUUACACUUUCAUAAGUUUAAAAUUAUACAACUAUUGAAGCAUCAUAAACCGUUAUUAAAUUAGUGUUUUUUUUUAACAUGGGAAAUCCAUCGGCAUUUUGUUUUUUUAAUAUGUAUAUAAAUAAAAAAGAAAGCUAUAAAUAAAAUGGGAAAAAUACAAAUCUAGCAAUUUUUGUUAAUUACUUAUCAAAAAAUAGCAAAAGAAAAUAAUACUUAGCCAAAAAUAGCCCUUAAAAAGGUUGUCAACUUUUGGUUGACUACGGUCAACAUUGUUGACUAUUAUUUUAUGCCUUAAAGUAGUGUUUCGUGCUAAUAGGCUACUGUUUCACAGACUCAUUUACUUUUUCAUGGCUCAUUAGCCCAAAGUAGUGUUUCGGUUAAGCUACGGUAUCCCAAACCGUAGGUUUUUUCACAAAAAAGUAGAGGAAACCCCAAAAACAGUAGAUUUAAAAAAAAACGUAUUUUCCCCCCAAAACCGUAACCUACGGUUUGGGAUACCGAGCUUAACCGAGAGGAAACUAUAGGUUUCCCUAAACCUACGGUUUUGUAUGUUACAAAUGAAAAAAACAAUUCUUUUAUACAAAACACGAAAUAGUAGACGAUAUGGCGAAACAGUAGACGAUUUUAGAAACCUAUAGUUUCAUGGGCUAUAUUCGGACAUACUAAUUUUUGGCUAAAAAUUGAUAAUCACUUCCUUAAUUUGGUUAGAUUAGUAAUUACCCCUAAAUAAAAGUAUAUUUUGUUGAAAUAAUGGAUGUGUGGAAUAUAUUUUAAACAAGUAAAAGGUGAAUUUUGAAAUACAUAGUUAAGUAGAAGGGUGACAAAUGAAAAUUCCUAUUAUGUAAACAGUUUGUUUAAAUUUAAAAAUAAAAUUUGACUGAAUAAACAGAAUCAAUCAAAUCAUCGUGCAUUUAGACUUUUGUUCGUGUAUAUAGAAUUACCCUUUUGAUUAAGUAUUAAACAUAAAAUUUUAUGAAAACUAGAUGAAAUCUCAUAAAUGAUUCCUUAGUUUGUCAAAGACUAUAAUUUUAGUUCAAAUUUUUUAUUUGUAUCAAUUGGGUCAUUGUGGUUUUCAGUUUCGCAAAAUCAAUCCAUCUUUCGUUCAGUCUGGUCUAUAGUUAGACUUUUCUUUAUGACAUUGUACCCUUGAACCAAAUUUGCAAUUGAUUAUUUAUUAGAGUAAAUUACAUGAAUCGUCUUUUAUUCAAGUGUCAAAAGAUAUGUUCAGUCUCUCUUUCAAAAAUUAACUCGGAUUAUCAUUGUAUUUUUUUUUUCAAUCGGGUCGUCCCGGCGGACAUAAAAUGACUAAAACAUGCUAGUCUUCAUUUGUAUUAAGUUGUUCUUAAGCUAUUAAGACAUAUACUAAAAUAUGCUUAAGUAGAAGCAGCUUAUAAGACCUUAAACUCUACACUACUCAAAGCAAGAGAGGAGAAGGAAAAGCACCAUGGUGCUCUCGGUUUUUCAAGAAGAAAAAGAAAAAAAAAAUACUAAAUAGUUCAAGCCUCAUCUCUCCUUUAAUACUCAUGUACUUAGAUGAAAGCCCAUUCUUUCAUUUAAUGAGAUCAUGAUUUACAGGCAACUCAUGAAGUAUAAGAACAUAAAAGUCAAAGAAACAACCACCAUAUCUCCCUAAACAUGUAGUAGGAAAGAGUAUGAGUGGAAUCCACAUCAUCACUCUUAUAAAUAUAAAUCAUAUAUAAAAUGGUCUUUUAUAAGUCCAAUAUUAUAUACAUGACAUUUUAAUCAUACCAUAUGUAACGUCUUAAACACCAAGGUAAACGUUUUUCAAAUUUUAAAAGGAAUUAAAAGUCAUUUCAUAAAAGUUAAACACCAUAAAUUCAUUCUUUUACAACAUGGAGUCAAAAUCAGAGUAUCAAAUCAUAAAGUCUAUUGGAUUUUGUGUAUUGUCACGCCUUCGCUGUCACAAUUGGAAAUUUCAAGUCCAAAAGCUAAGCUAAAGGAGUCCUGUAUAUGUAAUCGUUAUAGUUAUACUAUUAUUGCGUUCUUGGUAAUGUAAUCUUUGAUAAUUAGACUACCCUGAAGCCUCCUAAGUCAAUGCAAACCAAUAAGAAAUUAAGUUAUGUCAAGACAUUAGCCAUAUUACAUAAAGCAAAUACAUUAAAGUUCAUAUGCACUUCAGGACUAUGAACUUUUCCCUAGAAACAAACAUGAUCGUGAACCACCAUAAACUUCAAAAGAAUGGCCAUGAACACCUAAGGAGAAGGAAUCUAGGCCGUGAACAACUUUCGAGGGGCCACUUUGGCCGUGAAUUACUUAGCUAAUCAAAACCUUGACCAUGAACACAUUCCUAGGCAUCAUAUUGAGCGUAAAAUCCUCCCCAUGAGCACCUUUAGGCCGUAAACCCCUCCACAUGAGCAUAUUAGGUUGUAAACUCAAAAGAGAAAAGGAAUAUGGAACCGUGAACUCCUUUUCAAUUCAAGGUGUUUAGGGAUUGUGAGCUGUAAUUGAUUAUUUCCAAUACAAAUCUCAGUAACCUAUGCAUUGCCUACCAGCAAACCAAGCACAUACCAAAUCAAUUUCCUUAUUCUCGUAUAAAGGGGGCGUAAACCCCAUUUCUCAUUCCACAAACAUAUUUCACAUUCUGUGAGAUCUCAGUAAACCAUCCCAAUGAUUCAACCACGAACUCCAGAAGCCAUUUCUUCACAACUCCUAAUAUUUAGUAAGUAAUUCGUGCCUAGCUAGAUAUUUCAUACAUUUAGUUGUUACAACUCUUUUUAAUCACACAUAACUUCAUGUGUUAACAACAUUAGGAUACCAAAAUAUCCAAGGGAUUUGUGACAUCCCCUAAUUUCUCGGCCAGAAAAGACCGAUUUAAUUUAUGUUUUUUAAAAUAAAAUCAGAGAAAUCUUUUUAAAAGAUGUUGCGGAAUUGGUCCCCAAACAAAAUAUGAUAAAAGUUUAUCAAAACCCUUCAUUAAGAAGGUAUAUGUUUUCCAUAUAUAUAUAUAUAUAUAUAUAUANAUGUCAUGUUCCGAUACAGAUCAAAAGCAUAAACAAGACAUUAUAAGCCUUUCAACAGUUAUUUACAACUACUGGCCUAUAAUCCAAAAAUCUCUCGUUGUCCUCCGACUAUGCUCGGGGUCCACUACCUGUAACAUAAAAAGCUGAGUGGGUCAGGCUUGGGAGCCUGGUGAGCAUAUAGGGUUUUCAACCCACAAUAAUAAUAAACUUACUAAGUUCAUCGAUCAACAAUAACCCUGAUUACCCGUUCCCGUUAUCCUCACUUUACGUCCCUAAACACUUAUCACAAGGGACCUAGCCUAAAGAAUAUCAUCAGGAUGGACACUACUGCUAAGGGGUUUCCUCAGCCAUACAUGUCCUAAAGGCAACCAUGAGGGGGAUGGAGUACAGCGAAUGAACACUCUCAGUUCAUUAACACCUACAGGUUGCGGACCUGCGAAUGUUUCCCACUAAACUGUCUAGAAAGUCCAUGGUCAUCAUCCAAACUCCGCUAGAUGACUGGAUCUCAAAACACAUUGAGGCCUAUCAUCAAUUUUAUUUUAUCACACAUCACUAUCUACCCAUGUUCUACCCAACAUAUUUGUAGAUAAAAAUACUUAUGUAGUUUAAAACUUGUAUAAAACAUCAACUCAGCAGUUACCUCAAAUAAACAAUUAAUAUAUCUACACAUAGCACGUAUUAUAAGGUAAAUACUUCAUAUUUAUGUGUAAAAUGAAAGUGACUAUACACUCACUUGGUUUGAUGAUAAUCGGGCAAUAAUUCGUUUCCUAAAACGAUCGUUUCUAAUAAAACCGGGAGUUUUAUUGAGAAACCGGGCUUUGCAAAAGUCGGGCUUCGAAACCGAAAAGAUAAAUUUUCCGGGCUUCUCGGGCACUCCGUGGAGUACUCCGGGCUUUACAAUCGAUAUCGGGGCUUUGCGGGAUGUUAAGAUGAAGAAAAUAUGGGUUUAGGGGUUAAAAUUGACAAAUUUUCAAAGUUACCCGGGAGGUCUCGCACCCUUCUAUUUAUAGGGGCGAGGCUUCUAAUCGGACGGUCAGGAAGAAGACACGCCUCGUAGAUCCAAGGGUUCGCAGGGAAGGCUUGCACGAGGGUAGCAUGUGCGAAGGGCUCGGUGUCGGCCUUUGAUUGGACUGCGGUCUACUAGUCCACAUGCGAGGUUCGGAGGCUAGGCAAUGCGAGGCUCGGUCCAGCUGCGAGCUUCGGUUGGGCCUCCCUUUGGUCGAAUCAGAAGAGGACACGGGGCGACACGGGGCAGUCUCGCAUGCGAGGGAAGGCAACACGUCUUGCCAGGUGGCUCGGUGAAUCAGAAGGUUCCGGAUACGUGGCACAUGCGAAGCGAGGACACAUGGCACUUCCGGGUGAAGCUUAUCUAUGCGAAAUUUCUCGAAUUUUGUGCCAAAAUCUUCUAAAAUUCAUAACUUUCGCAUACGGGCUCCAUUUUUGACGUUCUUUAUAUGCACGCGUAGCUAAAAUUACGCUCUACAACUUCCAUUUAGACUUCGUCGGUUAAUUUUGACUUUAAAUUUUAUAUUAUUAUUUUUAACAGACCGGGACAGGAAAUUCGUUAAAAAUUCAUAACUUCUUCAUCCGACAUCCGUUUUUGUCAGACUUUUUACUGUUGUGCUCCUAAUGACGAGACCUUCAAUUCUAGUUUAGGUUGUGUCGGCUAAAAAUCGCUCGAUCUAAAUUUCGAGUUUUUAGCUGUCUACUGCUAAGAUGAAACUUCGAAAAAUCAUAACUUCCUCAUAUGAAGUCAGAUUUGGGCGUUCUUUUUAUCGAACUUCUCAGUUUGACAAAUACUACGACUUUGUUUUAGAUUACUAAGGCUAAAAAGUAGUUUAUCAAAAACUCACUUUUUACGACAUUCAGCACCAUGUCAGUUUUGUCGCGAAACUUCGACAGGUCAUAACUUCUUCGUUAUAACUUGGAUUUUAGUAUUCUUUAUAUCCUCGAAAUUCUUGUUUCGAGCACUAAAACUUUAUGUAAAGAUAUCAGGCUUAUCUCAUACUUUAAUAUUGACACUUAUUUUAUUCUUAAUUAAAUAAACGCUAAUAAUUAAGCAUAAAACACAUAAUUCACAUAAUAUUCACAUAAUUCCUUUUCAUUUCUUCAAAAUGAGUUACAAAGGUUAACCUAGACUAUCACCUCAAUAUAAAUGCCUAGGCUAGAAACACGAGUGUUACAAUUCUCUCCCCCUUAGGAUGAUUUCGUCCCCGGAAUCACAUAUCACCAAACAACUGCGGGUAGCGACUCAUCAUGUUACUCUCUGUUUCCAAAGUGAGAUUUGGUCCAUUCAUAUGUUUCCAACGCACAAGCACUAAAUCGACCAUCGUGCGUCGCAACUUCAUAGUCUUACGGUUAAUGAUUGCCUCAUGUUCUUCGAUCAACCUCUUAUUUUCAUCUAACCUUAACUCAGAAGUUGGAAUUAUGUCGGGCACAUCUCCCGUGAACUUUCUCAAGUAACACACAUGAAAGGUGUUAUGAAUACCCUCCAGUUCUUCCGGUAACUCUAGCUUGUAAGCUUGAUUCCCGAUCCUCUGAAGAACUUUAAAUGGUCCAAUAAACCUUGGACUCAACUUCCCUCUCUUACCAAAUCUUAUAAGUCCCUUCCACGGCGAGACUUUAAGUAAAACCGAAUCUCCAACAUCGAAGGAUAUCGGUUGUCUUUUCUUGUCAGCAUAACUCUUUUGUCGAUCUUGAGCAGCUAACAUCCUUUCCCUUAUCACUUUCAACUUUUCAGCAGUCUCAUGGACUAUUUCAGGUCCCAUAAACUGCUUUUCCCCAGCUUCCAGCCAACAUGAUGGCGUUCGACACUUUUCCCCAUACAAAGCGUGAUAAGGUGCCAUCUUAAUGCUUGAGUGGAAACUAUUAUUAUAGGAGAAUUCUACUAGAGGUAAGUGUUCAUCCCAGUUACCUUGGAAUUCUAGGGUACAUGCUCUCAGCAUAUCCUCCAAUGUUUGAAUUGUUCGUUUGCUAUGACCAUCGAUUUGUGGAUGAUAAGCUAUACUUAAACACAACUUGGUGCCCAAUUCCUCUUGUAGACUCCUCCAAAACCUUGAGGUAAAAUGGCUGUCACGAUCGGAUACAAUUGUUAGCGGAACACCGUGAAGCCUCACAAGUUCCUUCACGUAAGAAUUCGCAGGUUUAUCCAUAGACCAUUUCUCUUUGGCUGCUAUAAAAUGCAAACUCUUAGUGAAGCGAUCAACGACCACCCAAAUCAUGUCGUGACUGUUCCUUGUUCUGGGCAGUUUAGUCACAAAAUCCAUGGUGACGUCUUCCCAUUUACCCAUGGGUACGGGUAAAGGUUCUAAACUCCCAUACGGUUUCUGAUGUUGUGCCUUAACCCUAGCACAAGUUACACACUCGGCCACAUACUUAGCAACAUCGAGCUUCAUCGUCGGCCACUAAUAAUAGGGUUUUAGAUCCCUAUACAUUUUUGUACUGCCGAGAUGAAUCGAGUACAUGGUCUUGUGAGCUUCUUUCAUCAAAAGAUCUCUUACUCCGCCUGUCUUAGGUACCCAAAUCGUAUCUUGGAAUACCCUCAACCCUUGGUUGUUUGUACUGAAUACUAAAGUUUUGCCCAAGCGUUCUUCCUUUCGGUCAUUUGUCUCUAAAUCUCCCUCUUGAGCUUUCUUUAUACUUUCCACAAUUGUCAAGACAACUUCAAUUCUCAACGCUCUUGGCCUUUUCUUUUCAAGGUUUACCUUCCGACUGAGAGCAUCAGCAACAACAUUUGCUUUACCAGGGUGGUAAAGUAUCUCACAGUCGUAGUCCUUGAGUAACUCUAGCCAGCGUCGUUGCCUCAUGUUCAAUUCCUUCUGAUUAAAGAGAUAUUGGAGACUCUUAUGAUCAGUGAAAAGUUUACACUUUGUGCCAUAAAGAUAAUGCCUCCAUAUCUUUAGGGCGAAUACUACCGCUGCCAACUCCAAAUCGUGAGUGGGGUAGUUCUUUUCAUGCUCCUUCAAUUGCCUCGAUGCAUACGCUAUCACUUUAUCCCUUUGGGUCAGAACACAACCUAACCCAACUCCAGAUGCAUCGCUAUAAACUGCGAAGUCAUCAACUCCUUCAGGCAAUGAAAGAAUCGGUGCUUCACACAAUCUCUUCUUCAACUUCUCAAAGGCUUCCUUAUGCUUCUCAUUCCAAGCAUAAGUGGCUCCUUUGUGGGUCAAAGCUGUUAAUGGAGUAGCAAUCGAAGAAAAGCCUUGGAUAAACCUUCGGUAAUAUCCAGCUAAUCCUAAAAAGCUUCGAAUCUCCGUAGGACUUUUUGGUUGUUCCCACUUCAUUACAGCUUCAAUCUUUGCUGGGUCAACCAUUAUUCCUUCUUGGUUAACCACAUGACCUAAAAAUUGGACUUCUUGAAUCCAAAAUUCACACUUGGAGAACUUUGCAUACAACUUCUCCUUUUUCAGGACUUCUAGCACUUCACGCAGAUGCUUUUCAUGCUCCUGCUUGCUUUUCGAAUAAAUCAAGAUAUCAUCUAUGAAUACUAUCACGGAUUUAUCUAAGAAUGGUUUACAAACCCUAUUCAUCAAAUCCAUGAAAGCUGCUGGGGCAUUGGUUAGUCCGAACGACAUAACCAAAAAUUCAUAGUGUCCAUAUCUUGUUCUAAACGCAGUCUUUUCGAUAUCCUGCUCUCUCACCUUUAGUUGAUGGUAUCCCAACCUAAGAUCGAUCUUCGAGAAAUAGUUCGAACCUUGUAACUGGUCGAACAAGUCAUCGAUCCUUGGCAACGGGUACUUGUUCUUUAUCGUCACUUUGUUUAGCUCUUUGUAAUCGAUGCACAUUCUAAUGCUUCCGUCUUUCUUCUUUACAAAUAACAUAGGGGCUCCCCAGGGCAAUGAACUAGGUCGAAUGAAACCUUUGUCCAAUAACUCCUGAAGUUGUGUCAUAAGUUCUUUCAUUUUUGUUGGUNCUUUCAUUUCGGUUGGCGCUAAUCGAUAAGGUGCUUUCGCUAUCGGCGUCGUUCCUGGUAACAAGUCGAUACGAAAUUCUACUUGUCGAUCAGGGGGCAAUCCGGGAAGAUCUUCGGGAAAGACUUCCGGAUAAUCACACACCACUGGAAUAUUCUGCACCUCCUUCUUUUCCAUCUUAGCAUCGAUCACGAACGCUAGAUAUGAUGUACAUCCCUUGGCCAAACACUUUCUGGCUUUCAUUAGGGAAAUGAUUCCAGAGUUUACUCUGCGUUUGUCUCCGUACACCAUAAACGACUCUUUCCCUGGCGGGUUUACUUUUACUAUCUUCUUUCUACAUAGUAUUUCUGCAUCGUUGGCGCUAAGCCAAUCCAUUCCUAAAACUAUGUCGAAUCCAUUUAACUCGAUAGGCAAUAAUUCCUCUUGGAACUUAUUCCCAUCCAAGUCAAUGAGGAUGUUUUUCAUACGAUGGCUAACAGGUACAAACUUGCCACUAGCAAUCUCGACUAAUAAGGCAUUAACUAGCCUAUCUACGGGAAAAGCUAGCUUUCUACCAAAUUCAUGCGAUAUAAAGGAGUAAUUGGCUCCAGAAUCAAACAAAAUUUGGGCAGGCAAUUCGUUUACGAGAAAGGUACCUGAAGCGACAUCGACUUCUUCUUUUGCAGCUUCAACUGUCAUCUGAAAGGCUCUCGCCUUCGGCUUUGGUGGUAGAUUCGGCUUUGCGGCAUCCUUCCUCUUUGGACAGUCUUUAAGAACAUGCCCUACUUCGUGGCACUCAAAACAUACCCUCUUGUCGGACAGACACUGUAACACCGUAAAUUUCAAAAAUAAUUUUUCGCAUUUUUAUAAUAACAUAAUUCAUUUAAUAUUCAUAAAAACACCCAUGUUUUAAAUACAAUUCAUGUCAUACAAAAAUCCCAAGAUCUCAUAACAUAAAAUCUCGUGUGUGUGUACUGAUCAAGCCAGCGCCUUCCCACGGUCGUCACUAGUACCUGAAACAAAUAACACCAAAACACUGUAAGCACAAAGCUUAGCGAGUUCCCCAAAAUAUCACAUAUAACACAUAUUAGCCACUCGAGGCUAUAACUCUAUGGGUCGUACCCCGAAACUCUGUGAACCCUCAGGUUAUAACUCUGUAGACAUGCACAACAUAAAUCACAUAGAAUAAUGCAGCGCAACACAUAACACACGCAUAGCAUACAAGCAUUGUAUCACAUAACUCUAGUUGCCUACUCAAGGUAAAGUAUAGUGAGAAGACCCACCUCGUGUAUCUCGAUAACCCGCAAAUCCCUAAAAUCACUUGUGCUCGUUCCUCCGCACUAUAAUCUUCCUAUAAUACAAGACUAAUCCUAUCAAGUCAACAUUGGUCAACUCUAAUCAACGGUCAACUUUGACCGGACUCGACGAGUGCACCAAAGCAACUUGGCGAGUCUAACGCAUUCACUGACUCCCUCGGAUCUUUCUUGGCACGUCAAGCACUCCCCUAACUCGACGAGUUUCCACCUGGCUUGAAUCGCACGAUAACCACGACUCAACUCGCCGAGUCUCAAGAACAACUCGGCGAGUUCUGGCUUGACUCAACCCUAUAUUAACUCUUCCUGACUCACUGGGUUAUCCCCCAACCCGACGAGUCCACUCACUGAACAUAUUACAUGAAACCCCAACCCUACUCUUCGAGUCCCAAGAACAACUCGGCGAGUUCAUGCCAUGCACACACUUUUAUUGACCUUCUGAGGUCAGAUCUGCUUUCCCAAACCCUAGAUCUAUCCUUCCCAAGCAUGAAUGUCACGUAAAGUUCGAAGCUUGAUGCUUGUUUAACCCCCACAAGGCAUCAAAAGGAUAUUUUGUCCCAAAAAUAACCACCUAGGUCCAAAGACUCCAUAAUCACCCAAAAAGCUCCAAUGGUUAAGGUCUCUGGACCUCUUUGAGUCCAGAUCCAAGGCACAAACUCGAAAAAGGACUAUUUGCUUCACAUAAUCACUCUGCAAAAGGGGUAUAAAACCCUAACUCUAAAGAUCAUCCCUAUAACUGAAGGAGAUUCGAACCCUUACCUCAAAAUGAAGCCUCUGGAAUACAAAGGCCCAAAAGUGACUUCCUCUUGCCACCCUCCUCUUGCUAAAGAAGGAAUACAAAGGCCCAAAAGUGACUUCCUCUUUCCCAAAAUGAACUAGCUCUCUUAGGGUUCUCUCAAGGGACUAGUAGCCGCAAAUAGGAGGCUAUAAGUGCCUUUAAAUAGGCUCCAAACCCGGGGAAUUAGGGUUUCAUUAAACAGCGUCAACUCGCUGAGUCCAGACGCGAAUCCUUGCCCAAAUCGCGAUCCUACUCGACGAGUUUGAGCUCCAACUCGCCGAGUCUCCUCACAAAAUACUAAAAAUAUAAAAAUGAAUAAUACCUGGGAAUCCGGGCUGUUACAAUUCUCCCCCACUAGAACUAGACUUCGCCCUCGAAGUCUCGCUCUGCAAAUAGCUCCGGAUGCUGCUCGCGCAUCUCACCCUCCGGCUCCCAAGUCAUAUCGGAUCCCUUCCGAUGCUGCCACUGGACCAAAACCAAGGGUACCUCCUUGUUCCUCAGAACCUUGAUUUUCCGAUCUUUGAUUGCCACUGGUCUCUCAGCAUAAUUCAGGCUCGCAUCCACCUGAAUAUCCUCUAAUGGAACCACUACCGACUCGUCGGCUAUACAUUUCCGCAAUUGCGAAACAUGGAAAGUGUCGUGAAUCUGCCCCAACUCUGCUGGCAAUUCCAAUCGAUAGGUUACCCUGCCUAUCCUCGCGAUCACCCGAAAUGCACCAAUAUAUCGGGGCCCCAACUUGCCCCUCUUCCUGAAUCGAAUCACUCCUUUCCAAGGAGAGACCUUCAGGAGCACAAAGUCGCCGACUUGAAACUCAAGCGCAGACCGGCGUCUGUCCGCAUAGCUCUUCUGUCGACUCUGAGCGGUCAAUAACCUCUGUCUAACCUGCUGGAUCUGCUCUGUUGUCUGAAGUAUGAUCUCAGUGUUGCCCAUAACAUGCUGUCCGACUUCUCCCCAGCAAAUGGGCGUCCGACACCUCCUCCCAUACAACAGCUCAAAGGGUGGCAUACCAAUGCUCGAAUGAUGGUUGUUGUUGUAAGAAAACUCUGCUAAGGGCAAGUACGUAUCCCAACUUCCCCCGAAAUCCAAUACACAUUCCCGGAGCAUGUCCUCGAGUGUCUGAAUCGUCCGCUCACUCUGUGCUUCUGUCUGGGGGUGAUAUGCGGUACUAAAAUGCAGCCUAGUACCCAGCUCCUCAUGAAACUUCUUCCAUAAUCUGGAAGUGAAACGUACAUCUCGGUCUGAGACAAUCGAGAUCGGCACCCCAUGCCGAGAUACCACUUCCCUCACGUACAUCUCUGCUAACUUUUCUGCGGAGGAGCUCUCACUAAUAGCAAGGAAGUGAGCGCUCUUCGUCAAUCUGUCCACAAUCACCCAAAUUGCAUCAACUCCCCUCGCAGUCCUUGGCAACUUGGUGAUAAAAUCCAUGGUAAUCUGUUCCCACUUCCAUUCGGGAACCUCCAACGACUGCAACCUACCAUGCGGUCUCUGGUGCUCGGCCUUAACCCUNUCCAACGGCUGCAACUUACCGUGCGGUCUCUGGUGCUCGGCCUUAACCCUACAACAGGUUAAGCACCUCUCAGCAAACCACGUAACAUCCCUCUUCAUACAGGGCCACCAAUAUUACUUUCUCAGGUCCAAAUACAUCUUAGUGGCCCCAGGAUGGAUCGAUAAUUUCGACCGAUGAGCCUCUUCCAUCAAGAUGGUAUGUGUCCCUCCCACAAACGGUACCCAAAUCCGCCCCUGAAAUGUCAUAAGUCCCCGACCAUCGGUAACAAACUCCGAUACUAAUCCUACAACUUGCUCUUUCUUCUGGUUCUCUGAUCUCGCUGCCUCAGCCUGUGCUCCACGAAUGUUGUCCAACACCGGAGCCAUCACGGUCAAACGCAAACAGACACCUCACAACGGGGCGCUCUUCGCCCUGCGACUCAGGGCGUCGGCUACCACAUUAGCCUUGCCCGGAUGGUACAGGAUCCCAACUUCCCCCGAAAUCCAAUACACAUCCCCGGAGCAUGUCCUCAAGUGUCUGAAUCGUCCACUCACUCUGUCCGUCUGUCUGGGGGUGAUAUGCGGUACUAAAAUGCAGCCUAGUACCCAGCUCCUCAUGAAACUUCUUCCAGAAUCUGGAAGUGAAACGUACAUCCCGGGCUGAGACAAUCGAGAUUGGCACCCCAUUCCGAGAUACCACUUCCCUGACGUACAUCUCUGCUAACGUUUCUGCGGAGGAGCUCUCACUAAUAGCAAGGAAGUGAGCGCUCUUCGUCAAUCUGUCUACAAUCACCCAAAUUGCAUCGACUCCCCUCGCAGUCCUUGGCAACUUGGUGACAAAAUCCAUGGUAAUCUGUUCCCACUUCCAUUCGGGAUCCUCCAACGGCUGCAACCUACCAUGCGGUCUCUGGUGCUCGGCCUUAACCCUACGACAUGUUAAGCACCUCUCAACAAACCACGCAACAUCCCUCUUCAUACAGGGCCACCAAUACUCCUUCCUCAGAUCCAAAUACAUCUUAGUGGCCCCGGGAUGGAUCGAUAAUUUCGACCGAUAAGCCUCUUCCAUUAAGAUGGUACGUGUCCCUCCCACAAACGGUACCCAAAUCCGCCCCUGAAAUGUCAUAAGUCCCCGACCAUCGCUAACAAACUCCGAUACUAAUCCUACAACUCGCUCUUUCUUCUGGUUCUCUAAUCUUGCUGCCUCAGCCUGUGCUCCACGAAUGGUGUCCAACACCAGAGCCAUCACUGUCAAACGCAAACAGACACCUCGCAACGGGGCGCUCUUCGCCCUGCGACUCAAGGCGUCGGCUACCACAUUAGCCUUGCCCGGAUGGUACAGGAUCUCACAAUCAUAAUCCUUAACCACAUCUAACCACCUCCUCUGCCGCAUAUUUAGGUUGGGCUGAUACAUCAAAUACUUCAGACUCUUAUGGUCCGCCUAUAUUGUACAUCGAACCCCAUACAGAUAGUGAUGCCAAAUCUUGAGAGCAAACACCACUGCCCCUAACUCUAGGUCAUGGGUGAGAUACCUAAUCUCAUGUGGCUUCAGCUGCCUCGAUGCGUAUGCUAUUACAUGCCCUCUCUGCAUCAGCACCGCUCCCAUCCCCAGGAUCGAUGCAUCACAGUAUACCACAAAGUCCUCCAUUCCCUCCGGGAGGGCUAACACCGGGGCCUCGCAUAACCUUUGGCGAAGCGUCUCAAAGGAGGCCUGCUGCUCGAGGCCCCAUGAAAAAGCUACACCCUUCCGGGUCAAUCUGGUGAGUGGUACUGCGAUCUUAGAGAAAUCCUUGAUAAAUCUACGACAAUAACCGGCCAACCCUAGAAAACUCCUGAUCUCGGAGGGUGACCUCGGCACCUCCCAUCUCAUCACUGCCUCAACUUUGUCCGGGUCGACCAAUAUCCCUUUCUGGUUAACGAGAUGUCCCAGGAACUGGACCUCUCGCAACCAGAAAUCACACUUGGAGAAUUUGGCAUAAAGCCUCUCCAAUCUCAGAACUCCGAGGAUCUCCCUCAAAUGCUCCUCAUGCUGCUCCCUAGAUCUCGAAUAUACCAAGAUGUCAUCGAUGAAUACAAUCACUGACCGAUCCAGCAUCAGCCUACACACUCUGUUCAUGAGAUCCAUGAACACUGUCGGGGCAUUGGUGAGCCCGAAAGUCAUCACCACAAACUCGUAAUGCCCAUAACGUGUCCUGAAUGUUGUCUUCUGGAUGUCCUCAUCUCGCACCCUCACCUAAUGGUAUCCAGACCUCAAAUCGAUCUUGGAGACCCAAGAUGCUCCCUAUAACUGAUCGAACAAAUCGUCGAUCCUCGGCAACGGGUCACGGUUCUUGACCGUCAGGUUUUUCAANACGAUAAUCAAUGCACAUCCGGUGUGAACCAUCCUUUUUCUUGACAAAAAGGAUAGGCGCUCCCCACGGUGAGCUGCUCGGCCGAAUAAACCCCUUUCCCAACAGCUCCUGAAGCUGUGAGGACAACUCUUGCAUCUCUGAAGGUACAAGGUGAUAAGGCACCUUGACAAUAGGCGCGGCUCCCGGAACCAAGUCGAUACUGAACUCCACUUGCCUCUCAGGAGGCACACCCGACAACUCCUCAGGAAAGACAUAUGGGGACUCACGCACUAUCAGAACCUCAUCCACUGACCUCGGUCUCUCGGAAUUAACCCGCGUAUCCAUAACGUAUGCCACAAAACCCUUACAGCCCUGUUGUAGACACUGCGUCACCCUAGCUGCUGAACAAAACCCCGAUCUAGAACGUGUACCCUCGCCGUACACCGUAAGAACUCCCCCACUAGGGUCUCGUAUGGUCACCAGUUGUCGCUUGCAGUUGAUAACCGCACCGAAUUUGCUCAACCUGUCCAUGCCCACAAUGACACAGACAUCACCCAUCGCAAUAGGAACCAAAUCAAUCAGGAACUCAACACCGAAAAUCUCGAGUAUGCACCCGCAGAUCACCUCUGUGGCAUAUAUCACCCUCUCUUCAGUUAUGGAAACUCUCAGAGGCCGACUCAGCGCUGCGCGACUAGCACUAAUAUGCUGACUAAAAGCCAAAGAUACAAAAGACCGACUCGCACCUGAGUCAAAUAACACCAAGGCAGGUACAGAAUUCACAAGAAAAGUACCUACACAUAACAUAAUAUAAGCAUAAUAUCUCAAUUAUCAAAAUAAAUACACGAAAGAAUACAUACCAGCCACGACAUUGGGCGCUGCGCGGACCUCCUCCGCGGUUAACUGAAAGACUCUCCCUCGUGCCCUCGGUGCCUCGGCCUUCACUGGCCUACUAUCGGUAGCUCUGAUGGUGGCAGGGGCAGAUCCCUGAGGUGCUCCCUGAGAUGAUCCUCGCAAUUACGGACACUCUGCCUUNGCAGUCCUUGGCCAUAUGCCCCUCCUUGCCACAUUUUUAGCAAGAUCCAGCUCUACAUACUCCAUCAUGACCCUUGCCGCACUUUCCACAAGUGCGGCCCUUCUGGCUCCCAGAUUUAGGAUCAGCGGGCUUGGCCCGCUAGUCGCCGAUCCCUCACCUGAGACUCCGCCUCCUCCCUGGCCUGAGUCUCUAGCUCAAUCUCCCUCUUCCGGGAAUUUUCCUGAAGCUCGGCAAAUGUUCGGUACGAGGAGUUCGCCACGAACUCCUGAAUGUCUCGCCUCAAAAUACUCAAAUAUCGGCUCAUGCGUGCCUGCUCUGUGGACACGUGCUCAGGGCAGAACAUCGCCCUCUCGUGGAACAUCCUGGUAAUCACUGUAACAGACUCAGUACCCUGCUUGAGGGUUAGAAACUCUUGGGCCAAAUGCUCCCUCUCCACCUGGGGAACAUACUCAUCUCAGAACAUGGCAGUGAACCUUUCCCAGGUCACUGCUGCAAGCUCAGCAGGUGAAAAGUGCACUGUCACAAACUUCCACCAGUCCUUCGCUCCCAAGCGAAGCUGGUUCAGCGCGAACCGGACUCUCAAAUGCUCAGGAGAUGAGCAAGUGAAGAAACACCCAUCCAUGUCUAAAAUCCACCUCAUAGCCGCCACUGGGUCCUGGGUCCCAUCAAACUCUGGCGGUUUCGUGUUGCUGAACUCCCAGAAUAGCAACGCAUCACCACCCUGUGGCCUCGCAGCAGCAACAGCUGAAGUGGCCGCCGCAACAACAGCCUCAGAAAGAGCAGCAUAACACUCAUCGAAAGUCUCAAUCAGCAUGGUCUUAAUAGACCCGAACAUCUUUGGUAUCUCUGCCUUGAUGGCCGCAGGCACCUCCUCGUGGAUGAUCCGGCGGAUCUGCUCAUCACUAGCCCCACUGCUCUCUGGCAUAAGACGUGACCUCACCAUGAUCUACCUUUGAAAUACAACAUCCAUUCGAGCAUACUCACACUCGAUAACUCUUCCCUCCUUGAUCCUUGGCAUUCCGAAGGUUCUUACUUGAACUGUACACCGCCCCAGUGCUUUCAGUAGUACGGGCCCAAUACUACUGUCCACACCGUUUCAGUAUACACCCCAAAUCCUCCUCGUCGGAUCCCAAAUUCCAAGUACUCUAUCACUCUCUAACAUAUCUCUAAUAAGCUCCUCGCUGCUACCUAUUCACUCUCAAGCAUCUCAUAACAGCUCACCUCUCCCUAGGCUAAGGCAUCACAAAUCAGGGCACUCUAGUCCUAAUAGGAAUACCUAGCCUACUCUAGCAAGAGAAUACAUCAUAUCAAUCUCAUAAACAUAUAAUAUAAGGGUAUUUUGGGAAUUCACCGUUCGGGCGCUGACUGAUCGUACAGACGUUUCUACUCUGGGUUUCUCUAAAAUCUUAUACUUCUUUUAGAAAAUUUGGUUCUCUUUUGAAAAUAUUUUCCAAAUCCUCAGUUUGAGUUCAAAUACUCCCGAAGGUGUACCCGAAUCCCUCAAACCAAGGCUCUGAUACCAACUUGUAACACCGUAAAUUUCAAAAAUAAUUUUUUGCAUUUUUAUAAAAACAUAAUUCAUUUAAUAUUCAUAAAAACACCCAUGUUUGAAAUACAAUUCAUGUCAUACAAAAAUCCCAAGAUCUCAUAACAUAGAAUCCCGUGUGUGUGUACUGAUCAAGUCGGCACCUUCCCACGGUCGUCACUGGUACCUGAAACAAAUAACACCAAAACACUGUAAGCACAAAGCUUAGUGAGUUCCCCAAAAUACCACAUAUAACACAUAUUAGCCACUCGAGGCUAUAACUCUAUGGGUCCGUGCACCCGAACUCUAUGAACCCUCAGGUUCUAACUCUGUAAACAUGCACAACAUAAAUCACAUAGAAUAAUGCAGUGUAACACAUAACACAAGCAUAGUAUACAAGCACUGUAUCACAUAACUCUAGUUACCUACUCAAGGUAAAGUAUAGUGAGAAGACUCACCUCGUGUAUCUCGAUAACUCGCAAAUCCCUAGAAUCACUUGUGCUCGUUCCUCCGCACUAUAAUCUUCCUAUAAUACAAUAUAUCUCUAAUUAACACUUUUACAACAAAAGGUUGACUAAUCGUAUCAAGUCAACAUUGGUCAACUCUGGUCAACGGUCAACUUUUACCGGACUCGACGAGUGCACCAAAGCAACUUGGCGAGUCUAACGCAUUCACUGACUCCCUCGGAUCUUUCUUGGCACGUCAAGCACUCCCCUAACUCGACGAGUUUCCACCUGGCUUGAAUCGCACGACAACCACGACUCAACUUGCCGAAUCUCAAGAACAACUCGACAAGUUCCGGCUUGACUCAACCCCAUAUUAACUCUUCAUGACCCACUGGGUUAUCCCCUAACCCAACGAGUCCACUCACUGAACAUAUUACGUGAAACCCCAACCCUACUCUCCGAGUCCCAAGAACAACUCGGCGAGUUCAUGCCAUGCACACACUUUUAUUGACCUUCUGAGGUCAGAUCUGCUUUCCCAAACCCUAGAUCUAUCCUUCCCAAGCAUGAAUGUCACGUAAAGUUCGAAGCUUGAUGCUUGUUUAACCCCCACAAGGCAUCAAAAGGAUAUUUUGUCCCAAAAAUAACCACCUAGGUCCAAAGACUCCAUAAUCACCCAAAAAGCUCCAAUGGUUAAGGUCUCUGGACCUCUUUGAGUCCAGAUCCAAGGCACAAACUCGAAGAGGGACUAUUUGCUUCACAUAAUCACUCUCCAAAAGGGGUAUAAAACCAUAACUCUAAAGAUCAUCCCUAUAACUGAAGGAGAUUCAAACCCUUACCUCAAAAUGAAGCCUCUGGACUUUGGAUUUUCUGUAAUCUCACCUCCUCCUUGCUCUUGCCACCUUCCUCUUGCUAAACAAGGAAUACAAAGGCCCAAAAGUGACUUCCUCUUUCCCAAAACAAACUAGCUCUCUUAGGGUUCUCUCAAGGGACUAGUAGCCAUAAAUGGGAGGAUAUAAGUGCCUUUAAAUAGGCUCCAAAACCGGGGAAUUAGGGUUUCAUUAAACAGCAUGGACUCGCCGAGUCCAGAUGCGAAUCCUUGCCCAAAUCGCGAUCCUACUCGGCGAGUUUGAGCUCUAACUCGCCGAGUCUCCUCACAAAAUACUAAAAAUAUAAAAAUGAAUAAUACCUGGGAAUCUGCGUUGUUACAGACACAUGUUGGCAUAAUGCCCAGCCUUUCCACAAUUGAAGCAAGUCACCUCCUCACCAUAUCUCCCAGAGUGAUUUUUCUUGCACUUCUCACAACAUUUCACUUCACCUCCUCCUCCUCCAAACUUCUUGGACUUAGAACAUUUGCUUUUCUUGUUGGAACCUGAAGUUCCUUCAAAUUUUCUCUUUUCACCAACUUCUGGCCUCUCCAGACCCUUUUCUCCGAUCUGAACCUCGAUAUUCUUAGCAGCCAAGAUGGCGGCUUUCAAAGUGGUUGCUUGCUUAACCAUCGGACCAAAGUCUGCUGGUAAUCCGACGACAAACUUGUUGACCUUAGAGAGUUUAGUUGAAACUAGAUGAGGAACAAGCUUCAUCUUUUCCAUAAAACUAGUAGUAUAUUCAGUAACGCUCAUAUUUCCUUUCUUUAAAUUCUGGAACUCAUUGUUGAUUUCCAGAAGAUCCUGCUUAGAGCAGUACUGCAAUUUCAAUUGUACCACAAAAUCUUCCCAAGACAUCUUACUAGCCUCACCCUUGGGCAUCGAAUCAGCUAGUAACUUCCACCAGCUCAACACACCAGACUUUAACAGAGGGAUUGCAAGUGCGGUCUUUUGUUUGUUGCUGCACUCGCAACUUUCAAACAUCGUCUCCAUUUCGGAGAUCCAAUUCAUGACUUCCACCGGUGUCGGACUCCCAGAUAGACACGACGGUUUAGAUGCCAUGAAAUCUUUGUAUUUGCAUCCGCGUCCAUCAACUCCUCCAUCCUGGUUGUUUUGUCUAACUAUCGGUGGGUUGGCUUGACCAAGAGUCCCACUGUAGUUCCCUCCUACUGAUUGCCCUUCAUUCAAUACGGGCUGUUCAACAGGCAUCGUGGUCUCUUCCCUAUGCUGUUGUAGUAAUCGCCUUGUCUCCUCCAUUUGGAGAUCUAACAUCAUCUGUAUCAUUGCUUGUAUCCCAGCCAUCGUCAUUGGCUCAGGUGCAGCUCCUACAACAGGUACUUGCUCAACUACUUGAGGUUGAGGCUGUUGAUCCCUGUUUCCAUUUGCAUUUGCAGCUCCACUACGAGUUCUGGCCAUUACAAUCUAUAUAACGAAUAAGGCGAAUUUAGGUCUUUAUCCUUGUUAGACAUGUCAAUUCCCUUAUCACUACGAAACGUUUACAUGUAAGUUCUAAUCUCAUAAUCGUACUCUUAGAAUCCUACACACAUAAGGUUUCCAGAUCCGGUCGACAACAGACCAUAGAUCCGAACAAAUAAUGGCACACAUGGCAAACACAUAGCAUAUAUCACAUAAGGGCAAUUUAGGCAUCUUCCCUAACAUAAACUAGUGCUUGUGUCUAAAAUAUGGUAGACACUCAUCUCACAGUCAUCACUUAGCAUUCUAAGUUCAAGUCUAGAAAUUCUACAAUUUCUUAGUUCGCUUAAACUAAUGCUCUGAUACCAACUGUGACAUCCCCUAAUUUCUCGGCCAGAAAAGACCGAUUUAAUUUAUGCUUUUUAAAAUAAAAUCAGAGAAAUCUUUUUAAAAGAUGUUGCGGAAUUGGUCCCCAAACAAAAUAUGAUAAAAGUUUAUCAAAACCCUUCAUUAAGAAGGUAUAUGUUUUCCAUAUAUAUAUCAAAACCUCGGGAUGUCAUGUUCCGAUACAGAUCAAAAGCAUAAACAAGACAUUAUAAGCCUUUCAACAGUUAUUUACAACUACUGGCCUAUAAUCCAAAAAUCUCUCGUUGUCCUCCGACUAUGCUCGGGGUCCACUACCUGUAACAUAAAAAGCUGAGUGGGUCAGGCUUGGGAGCCUGGUGAGCAUAUAGGGUUUUCAACCCACAAUAAUAAUAAACUUACUAAGUUCAUCAAUCAACAAUAACCCUGAUUACCCGUUCCCGUUAUCCUCACUUUAUGUCCCUAAACACUUAUCACAAGGGACCUAGCCUAAAGAAUAUCAUCGGGAUGGACACUACUGCUAAGGGGUUUCCUCAGCCAUACAUGUCCUAAAGGCAACCAUGAGGGGGAUGGAGUACAGCGAAUGAACACUCUCAGUUCAUUAACACCUACAGGUUGCAGACCUGCUAAUGUUUCCCAUUGGACUGUCUAGAAAGUCCGUGGUUGUCAUCCAAACUCCGCUAGAUGACUGGAUCUCAAAACAUAUCGAGGCCUCUCAUCAAUUUUAUUUUAUCACACAUCACUAUCUACCCAUGUUCUACCCAACAUAUUUGUAGAUAAAAAUACUUAUAUAGUUUAAAACUUGUAUAAAACAUCAACUCAACAGUUACCUCAAAUAAACAAUUAAUAUAUCUACACAUAACACGUAUUAUAAGGUAAAUACUUCAUAUCUAUGUGUAAAAUGAAAGUGACUAUACACUCACUUGGUUUGAUGAUAAUCGGGCAGCAAUUCGUUUCCUAAAACGAUCGUUUCUAAUAAAACCGGGAGUUUUAUUGAGAAACCGGGCUUUGCAAAAGUCAGGCUUCGAAACCGAAAAGAUAAAUUUUCCGGGCUUCUCGGGCACUUCGUGGAGUAUUCCGGGCUUUACAAUCGAUACCGUGGCUUUGCGAGAUGUUAAGAUGAAGAAAAUAUUAUUUUUGGGGUUAAAAUUGACAAAUUUUCAAAGUUACCCGGGAGGUCUCGCACCCUUCUAUUUAUAGGGGCGAGGCUUCUGAUCGGACGGUCAGGAAGAAGACACGCGUCGCAGAUCCAAGGGUUCGCAGGGAAGGCUCGUACAAGGGUAGCAUGUGCGAAGGGCUCGGUGUGGGCCUCUGAUUGGACUGCGGUCUACUGGUCCACAUGCGAGGUUCGGAGGCUAGGCGGUGCGAGGCUCGGUCCAGCUGCGAGCUUCGGAUUGGGCAUCCCUUUGGUCGAAUCAGAAGAGGACACAGGGCGACACGGGGCAGUCUCGCAUGCGAGGGAAGGCAACACGUCUUUCCAGGUGGCUCGGUGACACAUCAGGUUCCAGAUACGUGGCACAUGCGAUGCGAGGACACGUGGCACUUCCGGGUUAAGCUUAUCUAUGCGAAAUUUCUCGAAUUUUGUGCCAAAAUCUUCUAAAAUUCAUAACUUUCGCAUACGGGCUCCAUUUUUGACGUUCUUUAUAUGCACGCGUAGCUAAAAUUACGCUCUACAGCUUCUAUUUAGACUUCGUUGGCUAAUUUUGACUUAAAAUUUUGAUAUUCUUAUUUUUAACAGACCGGGACAGGAAAUCCGUUAAAAAUUCAUAACUUCUUCAUCCGACAUCCGUUUUUGUCAGACUUUUUACCGUUGUGCUCCUGCUCCUAAUGAAGAGACCUUCAAUUCUCAUUUAGGUUGUGCUGGCUAAAAAUCGUUGAUCUAAAAUUCAAGUUUUUAGCUGUCUACUGCUUAGCUGAAACUUCGAAAAAUCAUAACUUCCUCAUACGAAGUCAGAUUUGGGCGUUCUUUUUAUCGAACUUCUAGGUUUGACAAAUACUACGACUUUUGUUUAGAUUACUAAGGCUAAAAAGUAGUUUAUCAAAAACUCACUUUUUACGACAUUCAACACCGUGUCGGUUUUGUCGCGAAACUUCGACAGGUCAUAACUUCUUCGUUAUAACUCGGAUUUUGGUAUUCUUUAUAUCCCCGAAAUCCUUGUUUCGAGCACUACAACUUUAUGUAAAGAUAUCAGGAUUAUCUCAUACUUUAAUUUUGACGCUUAUUUUAUUCUUAAUUAAAUAAAUGUUAAUAAUUAAGCAUAAAACACCUAAUUAACAUAAUAUUCACAUAAUUCCUUUUCAUUUCUUCAAAAUGAGUUACAAAGGUUAACCUAGACUAUCACCUCAAUAUAAAUUCCUAGGCUAGAAAGAUGAGUGUUACAGGAUUCAUCCAACAUUUCAAGUGUUCUAGGCUCCAAUUUCUCACCCCACCUCUUCAACCACACUUUCUCCUACCCAAGGUGAGCUUCAAAUCCCUCUUUUGAGUUUCAUUGUUUUUGGGGGAUGAUACAAGUCAAGGGUCUUGUGAAAUCAUUGCAUAUUUGCUUGUCUAUAAUUGUAUGUUGUGAUGUAUGUGUGUUAAUAUCAUGAAACUCCUUAUAGAAGUCCACAAUUCGAGAUUUUACAACAUCUAUGAACUUCUCUUGAUGAUUUAGUAUACGAGACCAUGAAUCAAAAACACUAACAUGCAAAUGGGGGUUUUUAUAAAGACUUUCAUAAUUAGCUCUAAAACCAAUAAUAUCUGUUUCCAUAAGCAAUACAAUAUCACUGUAUAUAUUUAUUUCAAUGUUAUUUAAAAUAAAAAGUUAUAAUUAUAAUUAUAAAAAUAAAAAAUUAUAUUAAAUAAUUACCCUGGAUUUCCUUGAAGAUUGAGAAGCCAUUCACAAACAACAUUUUCUACUUGUGUCAAACUAGGUUUAAAAUCUAUUAACCUUUCCUUAAAUGUUGACUUAUAAACAUAAGAAAUCUUCAUUUGUUUCUUUCCUUUGACAUCCACUACUGAUGUUGCUUCUUCAUUUAUAUCUUUAGGUUUGCCUGAAACAAGUUUUGAUGGUCCUUCUAAUGUACCCAAAGGGGGUGCAAAAGAAACUGGACUAGCAUCAAUAACAUCAACAUUUGGAAUAAUACACUCUAGACCAGCACUUGGUGUGCUUUUCCCAAAAUAACUAUAUCCUUAAUCUUUUUCUUUGUCAUCUGUUCAGAAGAAAUUUGAGUUUGAGAUGACUUCUUGGAACCUUCAGAAUCUUCACUAAAUCCAAGACUAAAACUUGGAACAAUAUCAUUUUUCAAUGAUCGAGUCUCAUUUGAAUCCUUCUUUUUAUUUGAACAAUCUUCAACAUUUUCUACCCAAUAAAAUUAUAAAAAUCAUAUGUGAAUAAACAAUAAUUAUAAACACAAUUAUAUAUAAAUAAAAAAUAAUUAUAAACAAAUUACCUCCAUCUUUAUUUUUAUUUGAACAAUCUUCAACAUCUCCACCUUCUCCAUCCUUCUUUACUACAAUAACUGUAUCAACAGUAUGAUCUGAAAUUAUUUUAUUCUUAUGAUCAUCCUCACCCAAAUUUACAGUCGCUAAAUUAUUAAAAUCAUAAAUGAAUCAUGUAUAUAACACAUACACACACACACACACACAUAUAUAUAUAUAAUGUAUUAAAAAUACAUAAAUAAAUACUUACCAUCAUCAACAUCAGUCAAAUUUAAAUUCACAUCAUCUUCAACUAGUUUCUGAUUUAGACAACCAUUAGUACCUAUAAAAUUCAAAUAUAAAAAAUUAAAACAUAGAUGAUUAAACUAUAUAUAUAAUAAUAAAAUAUGCCUACCUUAAUCCAAAGUUUUAAGAAAACUUUCAACAACUGGAUCGCUAAUAAAUUGACUAAAAGAUUCACCUUCUUGGCUAUCAAUUAGACCCACACUCUUAGUAACAUUUUCGACAACAGAAUUUAAAUUCAUGGCCUCUUCGUUAUUACAUCCACUUCCAUUUCCUUGUUCAUCAUCUUCAUCAUCAUCACCUUUACCUUCAACAUGAUUUUUACGAAUAUUUCCCUCAUGUGAACCACUUCCAUUCCCCUGACCACUAAAACAUUUCCCUUGAUCAUAAUCUUCAACAUUUUCAUCAUCAUUAAGAAAAUCAUUCCCAUAAUCUUCAUCAUUAACUUGAACAAAACCAGGUGUUAAUAUCGGUUCUUUCUAUUUUUGUGAAACAUAAUGGAAAACAAAACUUUUUGUGCUUAAAUCUUCAACAAGAAAUAAUAAUUUCGAAUUUUUCAAAUUUUGACUUUGAGGAAACUUCAACACUCCCUCAACUAUCUUUACAACAAAAUCCUUUUUCAAAUCCUCCAUCUUCUGAUACAUAUAUGAAAUUUUACUUUCAUACACCUACAUAAGAAUAAAGAUACUUACAACUAAAAUACUUAAACAUAAAAAGUCAUAAAUGAAUAAACUAAUUAAAUCAUAAAUGAAUAAAACUAUAGAAUUACCUCCACAUCACUAACUUUAUUAACUUCAAAAUCUUCUUCAUCCUCAUCACAUAAAUCCUCUUUGCCGUCAGAUUCAACCUCAUCACCACCAGAUUCCUCCUCAUUAUACUCAAAUUCUUGAAAUUCUUCUUCAACAUAUGCUUCAUUAACAUGUUCACAUCCAAAUCCUCCACUCUCUUCAAAAAUAUCUUCAAGAAACCUUAUCUUCUCUGACAUCCAAUUAAGAAAACAGUUGGACGUUUAUGUGUGAUUUGCAAAUGAUCAAACUUGAAAGUAUCCACAUACAACAACUGCAAAAACAUAUAUAUCAUCAUAACAUAUAUAACAUCAUAUACGAUUUUGAUGUGUAAUAUAUAAUUAAACAAAAAUUAUACAACAUAAUCAUAUGUAGUAAAAUCAUAUAUGAUUUAUUACAAAAACAAACAUAUUUUUACAACUAAAAAGAAUAAUUAAUAUCAAAAAAUAGCUCACGUACCAUAAGGUAUGUUGUUGUUCCAUAAAAGAAAGAAGAUUAUUUCUCUGGAUUGUAAACCUUCUUCAUCCUUACAAAAUAAUCCACAAUGUAAUCGCACCAGUCAAUGCUACUUAAAUCAGUAUCUCUUCUGAUUAAAUACAAUGGAUUCAGAUUACAUUUACCCAUGCUUGUAGACUCACCGAAAGUAUUAAUAAAAAGAACCAAAAAAUUGAUUAUGUAGUUGUCAUCUGUAGCCCUAGUUUGAACAAGUUGAUUCUUUAGUUGUUUCAAUCUCAAUUUAUCAAUAUUCUCAUAUUGUUUCUUCCACUCAAACACACAACUCUCUUCAUUAUUCUCCGAAAUGUAAUCCAUGUUUGAAAGUAAUGAGCCACCAGAUGGUAAUCCUAGCAUCUCUUGAAUAGACUUACUAUCAACACUAUCUUCACAAUUAUCAAACUCCACCUUCAAAGAUUCAAAAUUAAAACGGUCAAGAACAUAAUAAACAAUCUUCAACGGUACGUCAAUCAUCUCCAUACCUAAGAUACUCCCAAUCCCAUAGCCCUAACACAAUCCUUCUGCUCUCUAUUUAAACCUUGAAUAACACCCAACAAUGACCCGGGUGAACAUCUAUUCUUUAGUGAAGGAAAUUCUUUUAUAACAGCAACUUUUUUUUAUCUUUCUUCAAAACUUUAGUUUCUCUCUUUGGUUUCUUUGAAGAUCCAGGACGACUCUGAAAAUCUAAAUCAUCUUUAUCGGAUAGUUCACGUUUCUUACUUACAGGUUUGACCUUAACCCCCAGUUCACUUUUAGUUGUUCAAUAACUGUUUUUUUGGAUGUCUUUGAACGUGUUUGCAACACCUCAUUCGCUUUUUCUCUUUUGGAAGAUGAUCGUGUCUUCCUUGAGCUAUCCACAUUCCCUUUUUAACUACAAUUUUCAUUACAAACAUAGUGUUAUUAAAAAAUAAAACAUAUAUUUAUCAUUACUAUUCACUAAUGAUUAUAAACAGACAUAUAAAAUCAUUUAUGAUUAGAACAAUAAAUAAAAAUACAACUAAAUGUUAUAUACAAUCCACUUAAAAUAACCACAAAAUCAGUUAUGAUUACAAAAAUAACUAUAUAUUCAUGUUUGAUACAUAAAAAUACAUUUAUCAUUACUAUUUAACAAUGGUUAUAAACAAACGUAUAAAAUCAUCUAUAAUUAGAAACAAAAAUAAACAUAUAACUAAAUGUUAUGUUCAGGACACUAGAAAAAUCAAAAAAUAAGUUAUGAUUACAACAAAUAACUUCCAACAUUAAGUUACAUGUUUAUUUAUACUUCUAAUCAUAGUUGAUUUUUUUUGAACUGUACCUUCGGAAAUAACACGACUUCUACCGCAUUCGAUAUUUUUUUGAUUUUUGAAUUUUUUUCGAACAUAGUUUCUCUUGAAAUCCUUAUAUGUGAAAAAAAAAUAAACAAAAACUUACAUCAGAAAACACCACAAACAAACAAACAUAAUAAAAAACAUUACGAGACAAUAAUCAAAAUCAAGUUAAAAUGACAAAAAAAACCUACUGAAUCAAAACAAAAAAAACACCAUUAUCAACAUAAAAUGACAUUUAACUAAUUAAUAAAAACAUGCAUAGUUUGUAAAAUUCAUAGCCUGCAAAAUCCAUAUCAAUCUUUUUAAAAUUACAACAAUAGCCCCACAAUCGUAAAUUAACGGCGUUAGUUUAAUAAGUUACCAAUAUAAUUACAAAUAUGUCAUCGCAUAGUUUCAGAAACAAACAUAAGGACAUCAAACGGUUAUACACAUAUCUCACAAUCUCUAAUGUUUUUUAUCUCAAGGGAACCACCAUCUAUAUAUAUAUAUAUAUAUACAGAGAGAGUUAGGUUUAAAUGUUUAUAGCAACUAUUGUGUGCAUGAAUGUACCAAUAGAAAUUAAUAAAAAAAAUAAAUAAUUAAAUAAAUAGUAAAAUGGUAUGAUAGUAAUCUAACACUAUUUAAUUAUAGUAGGAAUUUUAAAACAUUUAAUAUCUCCUAAAAAUAGGGAAAUCGGUAUUAAAAUCCUUUUACGCGUCUUUUUCAUCUUAGUAACCCUACACCAUCGGUUUUUCCUUAGCCGUACAUCACCAACACCUUCAGCCACAUGCUCAUUCAAUCGUCGUCUAAAGAAACUCGAUGACCCUCUUCACAGCCAGUGCUACACCACCCGCUGUCAUUCCCCUGUUAUUACGGUGUGGAUCUUGUUCAAAAAUUAAUCAUCUUAUUUCUACCGGUGUGAUUAACUUUUGAUCUUCAUUUUUUGAUUUUAUAAAAACUGGUUUUGGAUGAUUAGCUGCCACCAAUACCAUUGAGGGUUUAUCGAUCAAUACAAUAGCUUUCAUGGUUUUUCACUUUCAUCUUUUUUUUUUUUGGUUUUUCUUCCCUUUUCUAAUCCGGAAUUGUUCACCUUGGUAGCAGGGGCCAUCGUAUCCUUCAAUCAGGUAAUCGUCUCAUUUCUUUUAAUUUUAAAAUAUCGUUCAGUUGCACCCUAUAACUACUUCUCCUUUAAUUUGGGAUUCCUUUGUUUUUAGGUGGGGCCAAUUGGAAUUAUACAAUAGAUGAAUUAGGCUACAUGGGAUUGUAAGUUUCAUUUAAUCCAUUUUUUUAAUGUAUUUCUUGAUAUGUGAAUUGGAACUUGAAUAUCUUGGAACAUACACGACAUAUAUAACAUAUUGUUCACCAUUCUUUAAAAAUUUGGUUAUAUUGUUCAAAAAAUAAUGUGUCAAUUGCAUUGUUUAAGAAUUCUUCAAACUGUAGUGGUACAUGUCAUUUGUCUUUGAUGAAAAGGGUUAAGCUAGCAUUCUGUCAAAAUUUGCAAACACAUGGAACACUUUCUAUUGCUAUAAUUUACACAAGUUGUAGGUGCAAACAAAGGUGGUUUUUUACACCUGGUGGAAUAGAUACUAUCUAUUUGGACCUUUUUACCCUUGCAGGGCUUUCUUCCUACAUAUUGCCCCCUUAUUGUGUUCCAUGUGGUUUGGAUACUUGUUUUUUUUCUUGUAACAGGAUUUAUUAUACGUAAAGAGAAACUGGAUAGGAAUAUAAUGCAUUUGGAAUACAUACAGGGAGUCUUCAUCCUGGUGCUUUCAUAGAUCAUCAUUUUUCACAACAAAAAACUUGUGAGCCGAAGAUGGUUUAUAUAUUCCAAUUGUUUUUUUUUCUUAGUCACCUUUUGUGUUAACAUGAUCUUUUCAUGCAUUUAUAUUUCAAAUGUUUUUGUUCGUUGGGUCUAUUCUUAAUAAUACAAAUUCUUUUAAUAAUAUACAAAACCACUCUGCAAGAAUAGUUUAUUGUGUAAGAAUAUUAUUGUUGUAUUCUAAUAGAAUAGUAGUUAAUUAUUUAUAUGUUUAAUGUGCAGUUGUUACAAGUGUAUCACUACAAAAUAUUUGGUAAUGAAUUUUUCAUAGAAAUGGUUUGAAGAAUGGCUUGAAAACCUGAUGUAAAAGGCUUGAAGAAUGAAUUAAAGAAUGAUCACACUCAUUGUUUAAUAAUGUUGUUACUUUUUAAAAAUUACACUUGUUAUUCUUUCACAAUAUUGUUAUUAUUCAAUGAAUCAGAAUCAUACAAUGUAAUUAUUUGGUAUAUUAUUAGUUCAAGAAUCGAUUUUGUGUAUUCUUUCAUAAUGUAUUUACUAGUUUAUGGUUGGGAUUCUGUCAUUCUGAUAGAAUAAAAUCGAAAAUAUAUUUACUAGUUUAUGGUUGGCAUGCUGUCAUUCUGACAGAAUAAAAUCGGAUUUUUAAAUUUGAAUUAAUUUAAAAUAUUCAGAUUUUUAAAAAUAAAGGAAUUAAUUAUCCAAAAAAUUCGAAAAUUUCCUUUUUUAAUAUAACCUAAUUGACUAAAAUACCCUUAUGCUGAAAAUUGUUUAAUAAUAUGGUACAUGUUAUCCUAUUCUAAUAUCAUAGACCCUUAGAUCAUGACAUUUGAUUAUAUUCCAUCCGGUGAUCCAGAUCUGUGCAAUCUGGAACACAAUAGUUAAUAAAUACAUAAUAACCUAAGCCUAUAUAUAUAUAUAUAUAUAUAUNAACAUGAAAUGAUGAUUUUUCCCACAUAAUGAGAUUUUUAUGUUAAAAAAGACAUUUAGGACCCUAUAAAAAAAUUCCAAAAAUUAUAAGAUUUUUCUUAGAUAUCCUUUGUAUAGAAAAGUAGGAUGUUACAGUUUUAGCGGUACGUCUUAACAUUUUUUUUAAUCAAAUUGGUUAUCCCUUCGUUUAAAAAACAAGGAACUUUUGAGUUGAUACAUGGUGUAAUAUAUAAAAAUCUUUGAAAAAGUGGGAGUUUUAGGUACGUCAUGACAUUUUUUUAAUGGUUCUUCCUUAGUGUAGAAAAAAAAAUGAAAAUUUUAAGUUGGUACAUGUUUUAAUAUAUAAAAAUCUUUGAGUUAUGUAAAACGAGCUAAAAGAUAGUCUAAUAAAUAUAUCUUUGAGUUGUGGUCUACUAAGCCUAACAUCUAUAUUAUAACCGUGUAAUAUCGCUAUAUAAAGGGACAAUGAUUUAUAUGGGUAACUAUGUUUCAAAAUUGUUCAAAAAAUACCAUUCAAGUUUGAUGUAUCCAAAAAACACCAUCCAAGUAAAGCAUUUGUACAAAAAACACCAACGAAGUACAUUUUGUGUUCAAAUUUGACCUUGUGGUAACCGGAUAUUACCGGAAAAAAUAACUAAAGGAAAAAAAGAAAGAGGAAAUGACUCAAAGGGGUAACUAUGUUUUAAAAUCAUUCAAAAAACACCAUCUAAGUAUACUUUUGUACAAAAAAACACCAACAAACUAUAUGUUUUGUUCAAAUAUUACCUACCGGUAACUAACUCUUACAGGUUAAAUGAUGACUUGGCUUUAACUAUUAUGACAUGACAUAAUAAUUGUCACAACUAGCAAUUUAGGGUUGAGAUUGUGAUUCAUGUAGAAAAUAAUUUCCUCUAUGUAACCUUGCAACAUCAAAUUAAUGAAAUUCAAACUACAAUGUUAUUUGAAUUCAUGUGAGCGUACAUAUAAAAUCCAGUAGAAAUAGCCUCUUACAAGCCCAAAAAUUGAUCCAAUAGCUAAGCCCAAUCGAUUUUGGGCCUUGGCCCAAGAAUUCUAAACCCAACACCCUAUUGGACCGAAAACCUUUCUUUGGGCCUUAUUGGGUUGGAAACUUUUCUUUGGGCCUUAUUGGGCUGAAAAUUUUUCUUUGGGACAUAUUAGGCCGAUAACCCUUUUAUUGGACCCAAUUAAACCCAAAAAGCCGAUACGUACUCCAAAACGAAAACCCUUCUAUCUUUGGGCUUUAAUAGACCGAAAACCUCUUAAUGGGCCAAGCCAAAACCAAAAACCCAUUUAAGAAUCCCAUGAAAUCCGAAAACCCAAAAAGGCCUCUUUGUCUCACUAGUGUAGCUGAUUUUGGUUGCUCUAAGUAUGCUUAUAUAGUAUGUUGCAUUAGGGUUACACCAUGUAAACCCUAAUGUAACAUGGCUCUUCAUUUCCAUAACCCAUGGGUUUGUAACUCCCAUGGAGCAUCCUAUGGAACUUAGCCCAACUAGAUAAUCCACGGAGCAUCUAGCCCCUACGAUGCUUGGAAACGCCAUACGAAUAGCCGCUCCAGUAUCUUAAACGCCUAGGAAACGGAAACGCCAGUGAAACGGUCGGGAAACGUUUCUGGCAAAUAUCAGUAAUCCCUAAAAUGUUUCUCGCACGUUUCGUUCACCUUUCCCUUUUUUAUUUUUAUUUGCAUGGGCUUUUAAUAUGUAGAAAUAGAGUAAUGGGCUUAGUCCUAUGUCGGUUGCCAAUGCUAUUACCCUACAAUUAGUCAAUCAGUCAAUUAGAAUUUAGAAGUUUGUAAACGUAAGGCUGCUGCGUACUCUUUUCAUUGGUUCUCAUCGACUUUUAUAGUUUUUUUAUUGCCUCUCUGUGUCGUCGAUCAAGAAGACAAGAACAAGAAAAAAAUUCAAAACUCAUUCACACAUUCACCACUCACCAAUUCGAUUAUUAUGGCUUCUUCUCAAGAACAAGAAACACAAGGAUCAUCUACAUCAUUAGACCAACCUCCAUUGUGGGACUUUGUGACUAAACUUGAUAAACUUGUUGGAGCAGGAGGAUGUUGGAAGUUCAAGUGUAACCUUUGCAGUGAAACCAGACAAGGAUCAUAUUCUAGAGUUAGAGCACAUUUGCUUCGCAUAAAAGGUAAUCUAUUAUUCAAAUUAGUGUGUGUGUGUCUAUGUAAUUUUCGAUUUUUGAUUUAUGUUGUUGACUUAUUGUAUUGAUUCAUGAAAAAUUGUAAAGAAAAAAAAUUAGAGGCAACGAUUUUUGUUUCGAUUCAUCAUUCAUGUAUUUGUUGUAAUUUUUUUAUUCUUGUUAUUGUAUUGAAGUAUUGAAAUAUUGAUUCAUUAAAAAAUGUAAUGAAAUAAGAGGCUGUGAUUUUUUUUUUGAUUCAUGUAUUUGUUGCACUUUUGAUUCAUGUUAUUCAAUAGAACUAUUUAUUCAUGAACAAUGGUAAAGUGAAAUAAAUAAGAGGUUUUUGAUUCACUUUCUUGUUUUGAUUAAUGUAAUGUAAUUGAAUUUAUAAUGUUAGUGAUGACCUUAUUUUUUUCAUGUUGUGUAAUUGAGAAUGUCAAUGUUAUUAUGUUGUUUAAUAUAGGUACUGGGAUUUCUAUUUGCGAGAAAGCAAUAACAGCUGACAAACUUAACAUCACACAAUUAGAAGAUGCAUAUGAAAAGAAGAAAACUGAGUCACAAGCGAAAGAAGUCCAGUUGCCAUGUGAAGCUGGUGUUGGAUUUAAGAAAAGAAAAGGUAUUCCAAGACCUAUUGAAAGAGCUUUUGGUGUAGAAAUUAGGGACCAACUGGAUCAAAAAAUAGCUAGAAUGUUUUAUACCGAAGGUUUACCUUUUAAUCUUGCAAGAAAUCCACACUAUGUCAGGGCUUUUCAGUUUGCUGCUAACAAAAAAAUUGAUGGUUAUGUACCUCUUGGUUAUAAUAAGCUAAGAACAACAUUACUACAAAAAGAAAAAGAUAUUGUUCAAAAGCUAUUGGAGCCACUUACGUCUACAUGGAAAGAAAAAAGUGUGACUAUUGUGAGUGAUGGUUGGAGUGAUCCUACAAGAAAACCUCUAAUCAACUUCAUGGCUACCUCAGGUAAUGGUCCUUUGUUUCUAAAGGCAGUAAAUUGUUUUGGGGAAGUGAAAGAUAGAUUUUUUAUUGUCGAAGUGAUGAAGGAAGUCAUACAUUGAAUUGGUCAUGAAAAUGUUGUGCAAAUAAUUACUAACAAUGCAACAAAUUGUAAGACGGAUGGAGAGAUUAUAGAGAGUCAAUUUCCUCACAUUUAUUGGACACCAUGUGUUGUUCAUAAGCAUAAUCUCGCUUUAAAGAACUGUAACAUCCCGGAAAUUUAGAAGUAAAGUUGAAGGGCUAAAAGUGUAAAUAAGAAGGUCGACUCGGAGAAUCAAGUGGUGUUUCAGGUCGCGUGAUAAGUGACCAACUCGGCGAGUCGCAUGGGUAGACUCGGCAAGUUGGUGUUGUAUGGAGAAAACCCUAAUCCCGAGGGUUGAGCCCUAUAUAAAGAACAUAAUACCCCCUCCCCAGCCUCUUUACCUUCCCUUUGAGUUCCAGAGGCCCUAAAUUCGUGUGAGCUUUCCUUUGUGAGUAAUUAGAGCCUUGGAGGAGGAAAUCUUGGAGGGGAAUUGAAGAGCAAGAAGAUUUGGAGCAAGGGUCUUUGCAGAGAUUUGGUUCAUUCUCCAGUAGGAGCUUGCAUUGGAGGUAAGAGAUCUGUUCUUGAGCUUUUGUGCAUCUAGAUCUAUCAAUUGUAGGGUUUUUGGAGCAUAAAUGAGGUUCAUCUCGAGUUUGGUGUAAGAUGUUGCUACCUUAGAUCUAGGAUUGUAGUGGUCCAGGAAGCCAUAAAGUUCAUGCCCAAGAGUUUUUAGUGAAGCCUUCUUGUCCUAAACCCUAUCCCAAGAGUGUUCGAUGCUUAGAUCUCUUUGGAUUCACGUAAAGUUUGCAACUUUACGUGAGGAAUAGCUUGUGGAAGGGUAGAUCUAUGGAUUGGAGCCCCUGCAUGGCUUGGAAAGCCACUGAAUGGAUUAAGAGCUUGUGGUACUCGGCGAGUCACAUGGGUGUACUUGGCGAGUUGCAUGAAGAUAGGCAGAAACUUGGCGAGUUGAAAGAACAACUCGGCGAGUUGGUUGAAGAUAGCCUGGGACUCGGCGAGUCUGUUCUUGGACUCGGCGAGUCUGGUCGUGAGGUCCUAACCUUUCCUGGCUGAGCUGUGAAUCGGUGAGUCAAGGGACGACUCGGUGAGUUGAGCAGGAAGUGACUCAGAGUUCGUGGGACUCGGCGAGUCUUGGGGCGACUCGGUGAGUUGGGUCACGAUAUGGGAGUUUUCAGAGUUGAGGGACUCAACGAGUUAGCGGUGUUAAUAUCGGUUCUUUCUAUUUUUGUGAAACAUAAUGGAAAACAAAACUUUUUGUGCUUAAAUCUUCAACAGGAAAUAAUAAUUUCGAAUUUUUCAAAUUUUGACUUUGAGGAAACUUCAACAUUCCCUCAACUAUCUUUACAACAAGAUCCUUUUUCAAAUCCUCCAUCUUCUGAUACAUAUAUGAAAUUUUACUUUCAUACACCUACAUAAGAAUAAAGAUACUUACAACUAAAAUACUUAAACAUAAAAAGUCAUAAAUGAAUAAACUAAUUAAAUCAUAAAUGAAUAAAACUAUAGAAUUACCUCCACAUCACUAACUUUAUUAACUUCAAAAUCUUCUUCAUCCUCAUCACAUAAAUCCUCUUUGCCGUCAGAUUCAACCUCAUCACCACCAGAUUCCUCCUCAUUAUACUCAGAUUCUUGAAAUUCUUCUUCAACAUAUGCUUCAUUAACAUGUUCACAUCCAAAUCCUCCACUCUCUUCAAAAAUAUCUUCAAGAAACCUUAUCUUCUCUGACAUCCAAUUAAGAAAACAGUUGGACGUUUAUGUGUGAUUUGCAAAUGAUCAAACUUGAAAGUAUCCACAUACAACAACUGCAAAAACAUAUAUAUCAUCAUAACAUAUAUAACAUCAUAUACGAUUUUGAUGUGUAAUAUAUAAUUAAACAAAAAUUAUACAACAUAAUCAUAUGUAGUAAAAUCAUAUAUGAUUUAUUACAAAAACAAACAUAUUUUUACAACUAAAAAGAAUAAUUAAUAUCAAAAAAUAGCUCACGUACCAUAAGGUAUGUUGUUGUUCCAUAAAAGAAAGAAGAUUAUUUCUCUGGAUUGUAAACCUUCUUCAUCCUUACAAAAUAAUCCACAAUGUAAUCGCACCAGUCAAUGCUACUUAAAUCAGUAUCUCUUCUGAUUAAAUACAAUGGAUUCAGAUUACAUUUACCCAUGCUUGUAGACUCACCGAAAGUAUUAAUAAAAAGAACCAAAAAAUUGAUUAUGUAGUUGUCAUCUGUAGCCCUAGUUUGAACAAGUUGAUUCUUUAGUUGUUUCAAUCUCAAUUUAUCAAUAUUCUCAUAUUGUUUCUUCCACUCAAACACACAACUCUCUUCAUUAUUCUCCGAAAUGUAAUCCAUGUUUGAAAGUAAUGAGCCACCAGAUGGUAAUCCUAGCAUCUCUUGAAUAGACUUACUAUCAACACUAUCUUCACAAUUAUCAAACUCCACCUUCAAAGAUUCAAAAUUAAAACGGUCAAGAACAUAAUAAACAAUCUUCAACGGUACGUCAAUCAUCUCCAUACCUAAGAUACUCCCAAUCCCAUAGCCCUAACACAAUCCUUCUGCUCUCUAUUUAAACCUUGAAUAACACCCAACAAUGACCCGGGUGAACAUCUAUUCUUUAGUGAAGGAAAUUCUUUUAUAACAGCAACUUUUUUUUAUCUUUCUUCAAAACUUUAGUUUCUCUCUUUGGUUUCUUUGAAGAUCCAGGACGACUCUGAAAAUCUAAAUCAUCUUUAUCGGAUAGUUCACGUUUCUUACUUACAGGUUUGACCUUAACCCCCAGUUCACUUUUAGUUGUUCAAUAACUGUUUUUUUGGAUGUCUUUGAACGUGUUUGCAACACCUCAUUCGCUUUUUCUCUUUUGGAAGAUGAUCGUGUCUUCCUUGAGNNNNNNNNNNNNNNNNNNNNNNNNNNNNNNNNNNNNNNNNNNNNNNNNNNNNNNNNNNNNNNNNNNNNNNNNNNNNNNNNNNNNNNNNNNNNNNNNNNNNNNNNNNNNNNNNNNNNNNNNNNNNNNNNNNNNNNNNNNNNNNNNNNNNNNNNNNNNNNNNNNNNNNNNNNNNNNNNNNNNNNNNNNNNNNNNNNNNNNNNNNNNNNNNNNNNNNNNNNNNNNNNNNNNNNNNNNNNNNNNNNNNNNNNNNNNNNNNNNNNNNNNNNNNNNNNNNNNNNNNNNNNNNNNNNNNNNNNNNNNNNNNNNNNNNNNNNNNNNNNNNNNNNNNNNNNNNNNNNNNNNNNNNNNNNNNNNNNNNNNNNNNNNNNNNNNNNNNNNNNNNNNNNNNNNNNNNNNNNNNNNNNNNNNNNNNNNNNNNNNNNNNNNNNNNNNNNNNNNNNNNNNNNNNNNNNNNNNNNNNNNNNNNNNNNNNNNNNNNNNNNNNNNNNNNNNNNNNNNNNNNNNNNNNNNNNNNNNNNNNNNNNNNNNNNNNNNNNNNNNNNNNNNNNNNNNNNNNNNNNNNNNNNNNNNNNNNNNNNNNNNNNNNNNNNNNNNNNNNNNNNNNNNNNNNNNNNNNNNNNNNNNNNNNNNNNNNNNNNNNNNNNNNNNNNNNNNNNNNNNNNNNNNNNNNNNNNNNNNNNNNNNNNNNNNNNNNNNNNNNNNNNNNNNNNNNNNNNNNNNNNNNNNNNNNNNNNNNNNNNNNNNNNNNNNNNNNNNNNNNNNNNNNNNNNNNNNNNNNNNNNNNNNNNNNNNNNNNNNNNNNNNNNNNNNNNNNNNNNNNNNNNNNNNNNNNNNNNNNNNNNNNNNNNNNNNNNNNNNNNNNNNNNNNNNNNNNNNNNNNNNNNNNNNNNNNNNNNNNNNNNNNNNNNNNNNNNNNNNNNNNNNNNNNNNNNNNNNNNNNNNNNNNNNNNNNNNNNNNNNNNNNNNNNNNNNNNNNNNNNNNNNNNNNNNNNNNNNNNNNNNNNNNNNNNNNNNNNNNNNNNNNNNNNNNNNNNNNNNNNNNNNNNNNNNNNNNNNNNNNNNNNNNNNNNNNNNNNNNNNNNNNNNNNNNNNNNNNNNNNNNNNNNNNNNNNNNNNNNNNNNNNNNNNNNNNNNNNNNNNNNNNNNNNNNNNNNNNNNNNNNNNNNNNNNNNNNNNNNNNNNNNNNNNNNNNNNNNNNNNNNNNNNNNNNNNNNNNNNNNNNNNNNNNNNNNNNNNNNNNNNNNNNNNNNNNNNNNNNNNNNNNNNNNNNNNNNNNNNNNNNNNNNNNNNNNNNNNNNNNNNNNNNNNNNNNNNNNNNNNNNNNNNNNNNNNNNNNNNNNNNNNNNNNNNNNNNNNNNNNNNNNNNNNNNNNNNNNNNNNNNNNNNNNNNNNNNNNNNNNNNNNNNNNNNNNNNNNNNNNNNNNNNNNNNNNNNNNNNNNNNNNNNNNNNNNNNNNNNNNNNNNNNNNNNNNNNNNNNNNNNNNNNNNNNNNNNNNNNNNNNNNNNNNNNNNNNNNNNNNNNNNNNNNNNNNNNNNNNNNNNNNNNNNNNNNNNNNNNNNNNNNNNNNNNNNNNNNNNNNNNNNNNNNNNNNNNNNNNNNNNNNNNNNNNNNNNNNNNNNNNNNNNNNNNNNNNNNNNNNNNNNNNNNNNNNNNNNNNNNNNNNNNNNNNNNNNNNNNNNNNNNNNNNNNNNNNNNNNNNNNNNNNNNNNNNNNNNNNNNNNNNNNNNNNNNNNNNNNNNNNNNNNNNNNNNNNNNNNNNNNNNNNNNNNNNNNNNNNNNNNNNNNNNNNNNNNNNNNNNNNNNNNNNNNNNNNNNNNNNNNNNNNNNNNNNNNNNNNNNNNNNNNNNNNNNNNNNNNNNNNNNNNNNNNNNNNNNNNNNNNNNNNNNNNNNNNNNNNNNNNNNNNNNNNNNNNNNNNNNNNNNNNNNNNNNNNNNNNNNNNNNNNNNNNNNNNNNNNNNNNNNNNNNNNNNNNNNNNNNNNNNNNNNNNNNNNNNNNNNNNNNNNNNNNNNNNNNNNNNNNNNNNNNNNNNNNNNNNNNNNNNNNNNNNNNNNNNNNNNNNNNNNNNNNNNNNNNNNNNNNNNNNNNNNNNNNNNNNNNNNNNNNNNNNNNNNNNNNNNNNNNNNNNNNNNNNNNNNNNNNNNNNNNNNNNNNNNNNNNNNNNNNNNNNNNNNNNNNNNNNNNNNNNNNNNNNNNNNNNNNNNNNNNNNNNNNNNNNNNNNNNNNNNNNNNNNNNNNNNNNNNNNNNNNNNNNNNNNNNNNNNNNNNNNNNNNNNNNNNNNNNNNNNNNNNNNNNNNNNNNNNNNNNNNNNNNNNNNNNNNNNNNNNNNNNNNNNNNNNNNNNNNNNNNNNNNNNNNNNNNNNNNNNNNNNNNNNNNNNNNNNNNNNNNNNNNNNNNNNNNNNNNNNNNNNNNNNNNNNNNNNNNNNNNNNNNNNNNNNNNNNNNNNNNNNNNNNNNNNNNNNNNNNNNNNNNNNNNNNNNNNNNNNNNNNNNNNNNNNNNNNNNNNNNNNNNNNNNNNNNNNNNNNNNNNNNNNNNNNNNNNNNNNNNNNNNNNNNNNNNNNNNNNNNNNNNNNNNNNNNNNNNNNNNNNNNNNNNNNNNNNNNNNNNNNNNNNNNNNNNNNNNNNNNNNNNNNNNNNNNNNNNNNNNNNNNNNNNNNNNNNNNNNNNNNNNNNNNNNNNNNNNNNNNNNNNNNNNNNNNNNNNNNNNNNNNNNNNNNNNNNNNNNNNNNNNNNNNNNNNNNNNNNNNNNNNNNNNNNNNNNNNNNNNNNNNNNNNNNNNNNNNNNNNNNNNNNNNNNNNNNNNNNNNNNNNNNNNNNNNNNNNNNNNNNNNNNNNNNNNNNNNNNNNNNNNNNNNNNNNNNNNNNNNNNNNNNNNNNNNNNNNNNNNNNNNNNNNNNNNNNNNNNNNNNNNNNNNNNNNNNNNNNNNNNNNNNNNNNNNNNNNNNNNNNNNNNNNNNNNNNNNNNNNNNNNNNNNNNNNNNNNNNNNNNNNNNNNNNNNNNNNNNNNNNNNNNNNNNNNNNNNNNNNNNNNNNNNNNNNNNNNNNNNNNNNNNNNNNNNNNNNNNNNNNNNNNNNNNNNNNNNNNNNNNNNNNNNNNNNNNNNNNNNNNNNNNNNNNNNNNNNNNNNNNNNNNNNNNNNNNNNNNNNNNNNNNNNNNNNNNNNNNNNNNNNNNNNNNNNNNNNNNNNNNNNNNNNNNNNNNNNNNNNNNNNNNNNNNNNNNNNNNNNNNNNNNNNNNNNNNNNNNNNNNNNNNNNNNNNNNNNNNNNNNNNNNNNNNNNNNNNNNNNNNNNNNNNNNNNNNNNNNNNNNNNNNNNNNNNNNNNNNNNNNNNNNNNNNNNNNNNNNNNNNNNNNNNNNNNNNNNNNNNNNNNNNNNNNNNNNNNNNNNNNNNNNNNNNNNNNNNNNNNNNNNNNNNNNNNNNNNNNNNNNNNNNNNNNNNNNNNNNNNNNNNNNNNNNNNNNNNNNNNNNNNNNNNNNNNNNNNNNNNNNNNNNNNNNNNNNNNNNNNNNNNNNNNNNNNNNNNNNNNNNNNNNNNNNNNNNNNNNNNNNNNNNNNNNNNNNNNNNNNNNNNNNNNNNNNNNNNNNNNNNNAAAAAAAGACAAACUUACCCAUGAACUGACUUUUUGUUAGGCUUUGAAAGUUCUGAACAAAUUGACCCAAGCACUUUAAUGUCUGAUAGAGGAAUAGAAAGUGAAAAGUGAGUGUACAAUCACAUAAAUGGAAAGUUUGACUUAUAAGUUAAAAUUUAUAAAAUAGAGUUGACCUGUGGUGAGGAAACAUUAGCAUUAAUUUUUUAUCAUUUUUUAUCUUAGUAAGCUUAUUUACACUUUAAUGAAUAGAUUGAAAAUGAAUUUGUUACUUUCUUUCAUAAUGAUCAAAAACUACCUCAAUAGAUAUGGAAUUAAAUUACCUUGCAAUAGAGGAAGCUGACAUAUGCCUUCUUUCAUAUUCAUUAGCUAGGCAGGUAAAAAACUGCAAAAGAGUAAAUUUCUAGUGAGGGCCAUAAAUUCACAGUCAUGUGUACGUCAGGUGAUGUUAUAAGGUCUGACUUAGGUGAGAUGGCUCUUUCAAGCAUUUCGUCAAACAGUUGGAGUGCAUAGCUCCUCCCCUUUCUUUUUUGAUCUAUUUAUUGGAAUUAUCACCACUUUGAGAGCAUACAACUCCAUUCUUCUUUUCAAAACAUAUAAUUCAGCAAAUAAGUUAACAUAUAAGGGUAGGAAUACGAACUUAAGACUAAAACUGAAAACAAAAUGACAAACCCCAUCUCUCUUUGUAAUCUUGAAUUGGCUCAAUAGCUAGAAAAAAAAAGAAUUAAAAUUGAUCAAAAACUACCUCAAUAGCUUAUUUACAUCACAUAUAAGAGACUAUAUAACGUUAGUUUAAAUAGUUGGUUCUUGAUUUUAAGAAGUUAUUUUUGUAACCUAGUUGUAUAUAUUAAUAAUUGGAUACCUGUUACAUGUGGUUGAUAGAUAGCUUCCCAAACAGCAGCUAGUUCUAAGCCAAUAGCUAUAAGCUGAAACGUGAAAUAAAGUUGUUUACAGAGAUGAGAAGUAGAUACAGGAAAAAAUCAGAGGCAUAAAGUAGAAAUUGACAAUACUAGAUGAAAUCGCACAUUUAGGGAAAAAUCAUAAUCCUUUUUCUUGAUUGAGAAGAUGAAGUCGAGAUAUGAAUGAGAAAUUGCGUGCCCCCUUAUUUGUUGAAUGACUGAAGAAAUAGGGCAGGGUAGAAGCGUCCUUUUCAUACCUUAGUGCAAUCAAACCUUGGGCUUGUAAACCUGAGGAGUCUUAGUAAAUGUAUUAGGGUGGGGAAGAGGUGGAACGGUGAGCCUGAGGAGUUGAUAUCUAAUCUUAUGUACCAAUGGUGAUAUAUGUCAUUCUUCUAUGACGAGUAUGAGAGAUAUUAUUUGAUAGGUGUGUAGUCGCCGAUGUUCUAGCCUGAGGAGUCACAACACCAUUACUAUUUCAAAUGUGUUAUGUUUGAUUAGGGUUUGCACAUAGAAGGAAGUGAAAGUCGAUCGGAGAGGAAGGGGUUUGCAGAGAGAAAGAAGGGAGAGAAUGAAGUCGAUUUUGGAGGGUAGAGAGCAGAGAGGAAGAGGAAGCGGGUGUUCAAAAUUUUGGGGGAUUUAGUUUCCCCCCUUACCUAUCAAGGAGGCGCGUUUAUUAAAAUUAUAAAGCGACAUUUGUAGAGGACGCUCUUUUUAUUAUAGGUGCCCUCCGUGUUUUUAAUAUUUUUACACCAGACACUAAUUUAAGGGCACUCAGUAAUGCGCGACCUAAAUCCUUAAAAUUUUUGAAGAGAUGACACUUUUUUAAUGUCGCUCUCUAAUGCGUAACAUAAAUCAAAGAGCGUCGUGUUUUGCGCGUCGUAAAAGGCCUUUUUUCUUGUAGUGAUUGUAAACCUUCUUCAUCCUUACCAAACAAUCCACAAUGUAAUCGCACCAGUCAAUGCUACUUAAAUUAGUAUCUCUUCUGAUUAAAUACAAUGGAUUCAGAUUACAUUUACCCAUGCUUGUAGACUCACCGAAAGUAUUAAUAAAAAGAACCAAAAAAUUGAUUAUGUAGUUGUUAUCUGUAGCCCUAGUUUGAACAAGUUGAUUCUUUAGUUGUUUCAAUCUCAAUUUAUCAAUAUUCUCAUAUUGUUUCUUCCACUCAAUCACACAACUCUCUUCAUUAUUCUCCGAAAUGUAAUCCAUGUUUGAAAGUAAUGAGCCACCAGAUGGUAAUCCUAGCAUCUCUUGAAUAGACUUACUAUCAACACUAUCUUCACAAUUAUCAAACUCCACCUUCAAAGAUUCAAAAUUAAAACGGUCAAGAACAUAAUAAACAAUCUUCAACGGUACGUCAAUCAUCUCCAUACCUAAGAUACUCCCAAUCCCAUAGCCCUAACACAAUCCUUCUGCUCUCUAUUUAAACCUUGAAUAACACCCAACAAUGACCCGAGUGAACAUCUAUUCUUUAGUGAAGGAAAUUCUUUUAUAACAGCAACUUUUUUUAUCUUUCUUCAAAACUUUAGUUUCUCUAUUUGGUUUCUUUGAAGAUCCAGGACGACUCUGAAAAUCUAAAUCAUCUUUAUCGGAUAGUUCACGUUUCUUACUUACAGGUUUGACCUUAACCCCCAGUUCACUUUUAGUUGUUCAAUAACUGUUUUUUUGGAUGUCUUUGAACGUGUUUGCAACACCUCAUUCGCUUUUUCUCUUUUGGAAGAUGAUCGUGUCUUCCUUGAGAUAUCUACAUUCCCUUUUUAACUACAAUUUUCAUUACAAACAUAGUGUUAGUAAAAAAUAAUACAUACAUUUAUCAUUACUAUUCACUAAUGAUUAUAAACAGACAUAUAAAAUCAUUUAUGAUUAGAGCAAUAAAUAAAAAUACAACUAAAUGUUAUAUACAAUCCACUUAAAAUAACCACAAAAUCAGUUAUGAUUACAAAAAUAAUUUUAUAUUCAUGUUUGAUACAUAAAAAUACAUUUAUCAUUACUAUUUAACAAUGAUUAUAAACAAACGUAUAAAAUCAUCUAUGAUUAGAAAUAAAAAUAAACAUAUAACUACAUGUUAUGUUCAAUACACUAAAAAAAUCAAAAAAUCAGUUAUGAUUACAACAAAUAACUUCCAACAUUAAGUUAUAUGUUUAUUUAUACUUCUAAUCAUAGAUGAUUUUUUUUUGAACUGUACCUUCGGAAAUAACAGCACUUCUACCGCAUUCGAUAUUUUUUUGAUUUUUGAAUUUUUUUCGAUCGUAGUUUCUUUUGAAAUCCUUAUAUGUGAAAAAUAAACAAAAGCUUACAUCAGAAAACACCACAAACAAACAUAAUAAAAAACAAUACGAGACAAUAAUCAAAAUCAAGUUAAAAUGACGAAAAACCUACUGAAUCAAAAAAAAAACACCAUUAUCAACAUAAAACGACAUUUAACUAGUUAAUAAAAACAUGCAUAGUUUGUAAAAUUCAUAGCCUUCAAAAUCCAUAUCAAUUUUUAUAAAAUUACAACAAUAGUCCCACAAUUGUAAAUUAACGGCGUUAGUUUCAUAAGUUACCAAUAUAAUUAUGAAUAUGUCAUCACAUAGUUUUAGAAACAAACAUAAGCACAUCAAACGGUUAUACAUAUAUCUCACAUUCUCUAAAUUUUUUUUUAUCUCAAGGGAACCACCAUAUAUAUAUGUAUAUAUAUAUAUAUAUAUAUAUAUAGAGAGAGAGAGAGAGAGUGAUAGGUUUAAAUGUGUAUAGCAACUAUUGUGUGCAUGAAUGCACCAAUAGGAAUUUAGGAAAAAAUAAAUAAUUAAAUAAAUAGUAAUAAAUAGUAAAAUGGUAUGAUAGUAAUCUAACACAAUUUAAUUAUAGUAGGAAUUUUAAAACAUUUAAUAUCUCCUAAAAAUAGGGAAAUCGGUAUUAAAAGCCUUUUAAACGUCUUUUUCAUCUUUGUAACCCUACACCACUUGUUUUUCCUUAGCCGUACAUCACCAACACCUUUGGCCAUAUGCUCAUUCAAUCGUCGUCCAAAGAAACUCGAUGACCCUCUUCACCGCCAGUGCUACACCACCCGCUGCCAUUCCCAUGUUAUUACGGUGUGGAUCUUGUUCAAAAAUUAAUCAUCUUAUUUCUACUGGUGCGAUUAACUUUCGAUCUUCAUUUUUUGAUUUUAUAAAACUGGUUUUGGAUGAUUAGCUGUCACCAAUACCAUUGAGGGUUUAUCGAUCAAUACAAUAACUUUCAUGGUUUUUCCCUUUCAUCUUUUUUUUGGUUUUGCUUCCCUUUUCUGAUCCGGAAUUGUUCACCUUGGUGGCAGGGCCAUCGUAUCCCUCAAUCAGGUAAUCGUCUCAUUUCUUUUAAUUUUAAAAUAUCCUUCAGUUGCACCCCAUUCCUACUUCUCCUUUAAUUUGGGAUUCCUUUGUUUUUAGGUGGGGCCAAUUGGAAUUAUACAACAGAUGAAUGAGGCUACAUGGGAUUGUAAGUUUCAGUUAAUCCAUUUUUUAAUGUAUUUCUUGAUAUGUGAAUUGGAACUUGAAUAUCUUGGAACAUACACGACAUAUAUAACAUAUUGCUCACCAUUCUUUAAAAAUUUCGUUAUAUUGUUCAAAAAAUAAUGUGUCGAUUGCACUGUUUAAGAAUUAUACUGUAGUGGUACAUGUCAUUUGUCUUUGAUGAAAAGGGUUAAGCUAGCAUUCUGUCAAAAUUUGCAAACACAUGGACCACUUUUCUAUUGCUAUAAUUUACACAAGUUGUAGGUGCAAACAAAGGUGGUUUUUUACACCUGGUGGAAUAGAUACUAUCUAUUUGGACUUUUUUACCCUUGGAGGGCCUUCUUCCUACUUAUUGCCCCCUUAUUGUGUUCCAUGUGGUUUGGAUACUUGUUUUUUUUCUUGUUACAAGAUUUAUUAUACGUAAAGAGAAACUGAAUAGGAAUAUAAUGCAUUUGGAAUACAUACAGGGAGUCUUCAUCCUAGUGCUUUCACAGAUCAUCGUUUUUCACAACAAAAAACUUGUGAGCCGAAGAUGCUUUAUAUAUUCUAAUUGUUUUUUUUCUUAGUCACCUUUUGUCUUAACAUGAUCUUUUCAUGCAUUUAUAUUUCAAAUGCUUUUGUUCGUUAGAUCUAUUCUUGAUAAUACAAAUUCUUUUAAUAAUAUUCAAAACCACUCUGCAAGAAUAGUUUAUUGUGUAAGAAUAUUAUUGUUGUAUUCUAAUAGAAUAAUAGUUAAUUAUUUAUAUGUUUAAUGUGCAGUUGUUACAAGUGUAUCACCACAAAAUAUUUAGCAAUGAAUUUGUGACAGAAAUGGUUUGAAGAAUGGCUUAAAGACCUGAUGGGAAAGGCUUGAAGAAUGAAUUAAAAAAUGAUCACACUCAUUGUUUAAUAAUGUUGUUACUUAUAAAAUUACACUUGUUAUUCUUUUAGAAUGUUUUUAUUAUUCAAUGAAUCACAAUCAUACAAUGUAAUUAUUUGGUAUAUUAUUAGUUCAAGAAUCGAUUUUGUGUAUUCUUUCAGAAUGCAUUUACUAGUUUAUGGUUGGGAUUCUGUCAUUCUGACAGAAUAAAAUCGAAAAUAUAUUUACUAGUUUAUAGUUGGCAUUCUGUCAUUUUGACAGAAUAAAAUCGGAUUUUUAAAUUUGAAUUAGUUUAAAAUAUUCAGAUUUUUAAAAAUAAAGGAAUUAAUUAUCCAAAAAAUCCGAAAAUUUCCUUUUUUAAUAUAACUUAAUUGACUAAAAUGCCCUUAUGCUGAAAUUUGUUUGAUUAUAUGGUACAUGUUAUCAUAUUCUAAUGUUAUAGACCGUCAGAUCAUGGUAUUUGAUUAUAUUCCAUCCGGUGGUCCAGAUCUGUGCAUUCUGGAACACAAUAGUUAAUAAANGAUUUUUAACAAAUAAUAAGAUUUUUAUGUUAAAAAAACAUUAGGACCCUAUAAAAAAAAUAAGAUUUUUCUUAGAUAUCAUUUGCAUAGAAAAGUAGGAUGUUACAGUUUUAACGGUACAUCUUAUCAUUUUUUUUAAUCAAAUUGGUUAUCCCUUGGUUUAAAAAUAAGGAACUUUUGAGUUGAUACAUGGUUUAAUAUAUAAAUAUCUUUGAAAAAGUGGGAGUUUUAGGUACGUCAUGACAUUUUUUUAAUGGUUCUCCCUUAGUUUAGAAAAAAGAAAUGAAAAUAUUGAGUUGGUACAUGUUUUAAUAUAUAAAAAUCUUUGAGUUAUGUAAAACGAGCUUAAAGAUAGUCUAAUAAAUAUAUCUUUGAGUUGUGGUCUACUAAGCCUAACAUCUAUAUUAUAACCGUGUAAUAUCGCUAUAUAAAGGGACAAUGAUUUAUAUGGGUAACUAUGUUUCAAAAUUGUUCACAAAAUACCAUUCAAGUUUGAUGUAUCCAAAAAACACCAUCCAAGUAAAGCAUUUGUACAAAAAACACCAACAAAGUACAUUUUUUGUUCAAAUUUGACCUUGUGGUAACCGGAUAUUACCGGUAAAAAAUAACUAAAGGAAAAAAAGCAAGAGGAAAUGACUCAAAGGGGUAACUAUGUUUUAAAAUCGUUCAAAAAACACCAUCUAAGUAUACUUUUGUACAAAAAAACACCAAUAAACUAUAUGUUUUGUUCAAAUAUUACCUACCGGUAACUAACUCUUACAGGUUAAAUGAUGACUUGGCUUUAACUAUUAUGACAUGACAUAAUAAUUGUCACAACUAGCAAUUUAGGGUUGAGAUUGUGAUUCAUGUACAAAAUAAUUUCCUCUAUGUAACCUUACAACAUCAAAUUAAUGAAAUUCAAACUACAAUGUUAUUUGAAUUCAUGUGAGCGUACAUAUAAAAUCCAGUAGAAAUAGCCUAUUACAAGCCCAAAAAUCGAUCCAAUAGCUAAGCCCAAUCGAUUUUGGGCCUUGGCCCAAGAAUUCUAAACCCAACACCCUAUUGGACCGAAAACCUUUCUUUGGGCCUUAUUGGGUUGGAAACUUUUCUUUGGGCCUUAUUGGGCUAAAAAAGUUUCUUUGGGCCAUAUUGGGCCGAUAACCCUUUUAUUGGACCCAAUUAAACCCAAAAAGCCCAUACGUACUCCAAAACGAAAACCCUUCUAUCUUUGGGCUUUAAUGGACCGAAAACCUCUUAAUGGGCCAAGCCAAAACCAAAAACCCAUUUAAGAAUCCCAUGAAAUCCGAAAACCCAAAAAGCCCUCUUUGUCUCACUAGUGUAGCCGAUUUUGGUUGCUCUAAGUAUGCUUAUAUAGUAUGUUGCAUUAGGGUUACACCAUGUAAACCCUAAUGAAACAUGGCUCUUCAUUUCCAUGACCCAUGAGUUUGUAACUCCCAUGGAGCAUCCUAUGGACCUUAGCCCAACUAGAUAAUCCACGGAGCAUCUAGCCCCUACGAUGCUUGGAAACGCCAUACGAAUAGCCGCUCCCGCAUCUGGAACGCCUAGGAAACGGAAAUGCCAGUGAAACGGUCAGGAAACGUUUCCGGCAAAUAUCAGUAAUCCCUGAAAUGUUUCUCGCACGUUUCGUUCAUGUUUCCUUUUUUUAUUUUUAUUUCCAUGGGAUUUUAAUAUGCAGAAAUAGAGUAAUGGGCUUUGUCCUAUGUCAGUUGCCAAUGCUAUUACCCUACAAUUAGUCAAUUAGUCGAUUAGAAUUUAGAAGUUUGUAAACAUAAGGCUGCUGCGUACUCUUUUCAUUGUUGCUCAUCGACUUUUAUAGUUUUUUUUAUUGCCUCUCUGUGUCGUCGAUCAAGAAGACAAGAACAAGAAAAAAAAUUCAAAACUCAUUCACACAUUCACCACUCACCAAUUCGAUUAUUAUGGCUUCUUCUCAAGAACAAGAAACACAAGGAUCAUCUACAUCAGUAGACCAACCUCCAUUGUGGGACUUUGUGACUAAACUCAAUAAACUUGUUGGAGCAGGAGGAUGUUGGAAGUUCAAGUGUAACCUUUGCAGUGAUACCAGACAAGGAUCAUAUUCUAGAGUUAGAGCACAUUUACUUGGCAUAAAAGGUAAUCUAUUAUUCAAAUUAGUGUGUGUGUCUAUGUAAUUUUCGAUUUUUGAUUUAUGUUAUUGACUUGUUGUAUUGAUUCAUGAAAAUUUGUAAAGAAAAAAGAAUAGAGGCAACGAUUUUUGUUUCGAUUCAUCAUUCAUGUAUUUGUUAUAAUUUUUUAUUCAUGUUAUUGUAUUAAAGUAUUAAACUAUUGAUUCAUUAAAAAUGUAAUGAAAUAAGAGGCUGUGAUUUUUGUUUUGAUUCAUGUAUUUGUUGCACUUUUGAUCCAUGUUAUUCAAUAGAACUAUUUAUUCAUGAACAAUGGUAAAGUCAAAUAAAUAAGAGGUUUUUGAUUCACUUUCUUAUUUUGAUUAAUGUAAUGUAAUUGAAUUUAUAAUGUCAAUGAUGACCUUAUUUUUUUCAUGUUGUGUAAUUGAGAAUGUCAAUGUUAUUAUGUUGUUUAAUAUAGGUACCGGGAUUUCUAUUUGCAAGAAAGCAACAACAGCUGACAAACUUAACAUCACACAAUUAGAAGAUGCAUAUGAAAAGAAGAAAACUGAGUCACAAGCGAAAGAAGUCCGGUUGCGAUGUGAAGCUAGUGUUGGAUUUAAAAAAAGAAAAGGUAUUUCAAGACCUAUUGAAAGAGCUUUUGGUGUUGAAAUUAGGGACCAACUGGAUCAAGAAAUAGCUAGAAUGUUUUAUACCGGAGGUUUACCUUUUAAUCUUGCAAGAAAUCCACACUAUGUCAGGGCUUUUCAGUUUGCUGCUAACAACAAAAUUGAUGGUUAUGUACCUCCUGGUUAUAAUAAGCUAAGAACAACAUUACUACAAAAAGAAAAAGAUAUUGUUCAAAAGCUAUUGGAGCCACUUAGGUCUACAUGGAAAGAAAAAAGUGUGACUAUUGUGAGUGAUGGUUGGAGUGAUCCUACAAGAAAACCUCUAAUCAACUUCAUGGUUACCUCGGGUAAUGGUCCUUUGUUUCUAAAGGCAGUAAAUUGUUUUGGGGAAGUGAAAGAUAGAUUUUUUAUUGUCGAAGAGAUGAAGGAAGUCAUACAUUGAAUUGGUCAUGAAAAUGUUGUGCAAAUAAUUACUAACAAUGCAACAAAUUGUAAGGCGGCUGGAGAGAUUAUAGAGAGUCAAUUUCCUCACAUUUAUUGGACACCAUGUGUUGUUCAUAAGCAUAAUCUUGCUUUAAAGAACUGUAACAUCCCGGAAAUUUAGAAGUAAAGUUGAAGGGCUAAAAGUGUAAAUAAGAAGGUCGACUCGGCGAAUCGAGUGGUGUUUCAGGUCGCGUGAUAAGUGACCAACUCGGCGAGUCGCAUGGGUAGACUCGGCGAGUUGGUGUUGUAUGGAGAAAACCCUAAUCCAGGGGGUUGAGCCCUAUAUAAAGAAAAUAAUACCCCCUCCCUAGCCUCUUUACCUUCCCUUUGAGUUCCAGAGGCCCUAAAUUCGUGUGAGCUUUCCUUUGUGAGUAAUUAGAGCCUUGGAGGAGGAUUUCUUGGAAGGGAAUUGAAGAGAUAGAAGAUUUGGAGCAAGGGUCUUUGUAGAGAUUUGGUUCAUUCUCCAGUAGGAGCUUGCAUUGGAGGUAAGAGAUCUGUUCUUGAGCUUUUGUGCAUCUAGAUCUAUCAAUUGUGGGGUUUUUGGAGCAUAAAUGAGGUUUAUCUCGAGUUUGGUGUAAGAUCUGAGGUUGCUACCUCAGAUCUAGGAUUGUAGUCGUCCAGGAAGCCAUAAAGUUCAUUCCCAAGAGUUUUUAGUGAAGCCUUCUUGUCCCAAACCCUAUCCCAAGAGUUUUCUAUGCUUAGAUCUCUUUGGAUUCACGUAAAGUUUGCAACUUUACGUGAGGAAUAGCUUGUGGAAGGGUAGAUUUAUGGAUUCGAGCCCCUGCAUGGCUUGGAAAGCCACUGAAUGGAUUAAGAGCUAAUGGUACUCAACGAGUCACAUGAGUGUACUCGGCGAGUCGCAUGAAGAUAGGCAGAAACUCGGCGAGUUGGUUGAAGAUAGCCUUGGACUCGGCGAGUAUGUUCUUGGACUCGGUGAGUCUGGUCGUGAGGUCCUAACCUUUCCUGGUUGAGCUGUGAAUCGGUGAGUCAAGGGAUGACUCAGUGAGUUGAGCAGGAAGUGACUCAGAGUUCUUGGGACUCAGCGAGUCUUCGGGCGACUCGGCGAGUUGGGUCGCGAUAUGGGAGUUUUCAGAGUUGAGGGACUCGACGAGUCAGAGGGCUGACUCGGCGAGUAGGGUCAAUCAGGAAGUUUGACUUUGACUGAGGACUUUGACUUUGACCAAGAGUUGACUAGUUGUCUUCCAAGGGUAAUUUGGUAAUUUUUGGUAUUUAUUGAGUUCGGUCUUUUGGUAUUGUCAGUGGUGGAGUUUGUGUCAGAGGUUGGAGUAGCGUGAUCUUAUCUUUUCAGUCAGCAGUUGCAUGGUGAGUUAUCCUCACUAUAUUGAUAGGCUCUAAGGCACCAAGGUCGGCCCUUUAUCGGAUUGUAAUCUGGGUAUCGUUGUUAUGUUGUUGCUUUGCUAUGUUUGCAUCUUGGUAAUUACGUUGGUAUAUGUUAGAGACCUGGUUAAGGUUGGUAUCCUAGUAUAUAGGAUGAUGCUAUGCUAGUGACCAGUUAGGUCGGUAUCCUGUUUGGAGUAUGUUAUGUUAUGUUAUCUGCUAGAUCGGUUUGAUUAGAUGUGAAUUGUUAUAUGAUUGUUUGUUUAUGUGCACAUGGUUGUCGGACUAGGGUUAGGUUGAGGUGGGUCCUGCUUUGUGCUGUAGGCCAACACACCCAGGGCGGACCGGUUAUCCCGAAGGCCAGUGAGUGGCCGGAUAGGCUGUAGGCCCUAUGAGGGCGGACCAGACGUGUCGCGACUCGGAGAGUGGACCAGGCCGACUAAAGGCCCGGUGCGGGAGGACCAGUCAUACUGUAGACUCAGAGAGUGGACCAGCUAGGUUGAAGGCCCAGUGUGGGUGGACCAACCACACUGCAGACUCGAUGGAUAUCGAUAGACUCGGAGGGUGGACCAGGUGGAUUGAAGGCCCGAUAGGGCAGACCAAUCACACAGUAGACCCGAAGUGCAUGGCUAUUCUGUUCGGUUAUGUAAUGUUAUGCGUGGUAUAUGUGGUUGGUGUUUUGGGGGUAUCUCACUAAGCUUUCGGGCUUACAGUUGUGGUUUAAUGUUUUUCAGGUACUUCAGGAGACCGUGGCAAGGAGAAGGCGUGAUCAUACAGUUCCUCAUGUUUAUGUUUUACGAUAGGGUUCUGGGAAGACUCUGAUAAUAAUUGUAUUGAAAACCUUUUUGUAAUGACUUAACGAAACUGGGUUGUUUUUUGAAAAUUUUAAAUUGGCUUCAAUUUUUAGAGUGUUACCAGUUGGUAUCAGAGCCUUGGUUUGAGUGAAUUGGAGGAACAUUCAUUUGAAUAUAGUCUCAAAUCAAGGAGAGUUUUCAAAGGAGAAAUUAAAAUGGUUUUCAAAAUGAGUAAAAGAGGACGCGGAGGUACGAUCAGCCGAAGCUAGUAAGUAGCCCCUAAAUACCAUGCAAGUUAUUUGUUUAUGUAAUAUGAUAGAACAACAUGCUAGUACUAGGCUAGGGAUCUUCAAGAAUUUCAUGAUAGUGUUGCCUGAUUUGUGAUGCCUGCUAGCCUAGGGUUUCUUUCUGUAUGAGAUAUCCAGUGUUCCUCUAGGAGUGAGGGUUGAGUGCUUGGUAUGCCUGUUCUUCACUAGGAUGUUGUCGUGAUACUUGGUAUAAAUAUGGGUAGGUGAGGAAGGUAGUAUGGGCCCGUACUACUGAAAGCACAUGACCCAUACGCGUAUCAAGGAAGUCACAACCCUAGGGCGGUGUUGAGAGUCGGCUCCCGGGUUAGUGGGAGGUAUCUGAUGUUGCGGUAUUUUCUUUCAGUAUGGUGGUUGCAAGGCAUGCUGGGAGCGGAUCCGGAUUAGGAUCGGGAGCAAGAAAGGGCGGUCAGGGUGGGUCAGCACCACCCGAGGUUAUCGGUCAGACGAGCACAAAUGAGUUGAAUGCUAGGAUUCGUGAGAUCCUACAUGAUGAGGUUGUUGCGAUGUUACGGGCUGAGUUGCCGGAACUGUUUGGGUCGAUCAAGACUGCUAUGGUUAAGUAUUUUGAUGACCGUUAUGCAUCUCUUACAGAGACGGCUACCGCGGCAGCUACAGCGGCUGUAGCAGCGGCAGGGGGAGGAGCUGGUAGAGGUUUUCAGUAUCGGGACUUCGAUAAUACGAAGCCCUUACCUUCGAUGGAGUUCAGGACCUGAUUGUUGCUAUGAGAUGGUUGUCAGACAUUGACGGGUGUUUCUUCACGUGCUCAUGCCCUGAUGAUCAGAGGGUGAGUGUGAUCUGAACCUUUUGAGGCUCGAGGUGAAGGAUUGGUCGAGGUUGACCACGGGAUCGUAUUCGGAUGUGCAGCGAGUUGCGGUUUCUUGGGAUCAGUUCAGUGAGAUGUUCAGUACCCGCUAUGUUCCACGAGUUGAGAGGGAGAGAUUAGCUCAGAAGUUCCUGGAGCUGAAGCAGGAUUCCGAGUUGGUGACGGAGAUCACAAGGAUGUUCACUAAGAGGGCGAUGUUUUGCCCUGAGUUUGCUUCUGAACAAGCCCAGAUGUCCCGAUAUUUGAGUAUGCUGAAGAGGGAUAUCAGGCAGUUUGUGUCUAUGAAUAGGUGCGAGACAUUUUUGGAGUUGCAGGAAGCCGCUAGGCGGUGGGAGUUGGAGAUCGAGUUACAGUUGAGAGAGCAGAGGCAGGCUCCGGUAUAGUCGCAACCGGCGCCGAACAGUCUAAGACCGUUGAUGUCAGUUCGAGCAGUCAGAGCAGACGCACUUGUGAGAAGUGCGGGAAGGGUCAUGUCGGAGCUUGUAGGUCCGAUGGUGCGUGCCACAAGUGCGGCAGAGAGGGGCACUACGCGAGGGAUUGUCGUCAGUCAGCCCCAGUCCAAGAUAUGAGGAUUUGCUAUCAGUGUCAUCAGGUUGGCCACAUGAGGGCCAACUGUCCACAGCUAGUUGGGAGGUUGGUGUAGGCUCCAACACCGGCCACAUUAAGGAUUACGGGUGGAGGUCAAGGUGGAGCAGAGCCCCUGAGGGCUUAGGGUCGUGCUUUUCAUCUUACAAUAGAGGAGGUCAAGGCAGUUCCGGAUGUAACUACGGGUACGUUUCCUUUUUGAUAUUUUGUUAUCCUGUGAUUAUUAUGGAGUAUUGUAUAUCUGCUAGUUUCGUUGUGUGAUUUUUGGUAUUGUAUCUGUUGCUCCUUGAGGAUUAUGGUAUGGUUAAGGGUUUGGCAUUGGGAGUGUUGUUGGUUAUCAUCCAUGGGGAUUAUUAGUGGGAAAUCAGGCUUUUGGUCUGAAUCUCGGGUAGCAUCUGCAGUUUGAAGAGUGGUUAGCUGAAGGUCGGGCUUCUUUCAAGUCCGAGAUGAUCAGUGUUGAUAUGUGAUUUUGUGAAGGUUGUUUGUUCUAGUGGGAAUCAGUUCGCGUGUAAAGGAAUGUGCUGUGCAGGGAUGUUAAGGGAGGUCGGUUAUGGCGACUGGUGGUUGAUAGUCAGAGCUCUAAGUGGGGAGAAUUGGAAAAUUCUCUGGAAGAUCGACAAGCAUGAGAGGUUGAUUAGCUGUCUGGGAUUCAACAGCGGUUCUAUCAACCAAGAGCGUAGGCUGGUAUGAGCAAGUGACAGGCAAGCGGGGCAGGUUACAGACCAAGGGUUUUGUAAAAAGGGUGAUUUAGUGUGGAAGGCCUAGGAUUAGGCCGGAAUUGAGUAUGUAGGAUGGAGUUAGAGUUCGGAACCCCCGAGAGGGCUAGACCUGUAUGCAUGGAAGAGUUUUCCAAAGGGAUAAUUUGGGAUGAUAAAUGUUGGAAUAGUGUCUAAGGCUGCAACUAUAUUAGGCAAGUAUUUGACUCGAUUGUACAUGGUCCUUUUAGGUUGCCUUCACCAUAGCAACUUGACAGGAUGAUUUAUUAUGAGAGAAUAGAUAUUAUUAAUAUAUUAUGAGAAUAAUAUAAGGAAUAAUAAUAUUGUUAUUUGAUUAAUAUAAGUCAUAGAUUAAUUAGUAUUAAUUUGGUGACUUAAAGAGAUUAAUUAAAUAAGAGGGUAUAAAUUGUCAAUUGUUUGAUAGUUACACUUUGGGCUAUGAAUCCUUAAGAGAUAGGGUAUGGCCGAUUUCUAGGGCUAGGAUAAGCCUCAAAUCGUCCAAGGAUUAUCUAAGGAAAGGAUUAGGAUUGCUUAGAGUCUAAGUUAUCCAAUUAGGGUUUAAGGGUGAAACCCUAGGAGCCUUACAAGUAUAAAUAGACCCCUUGGGAUAGGGAAAUCGACAUCUCUUCUACAGCAAGAAAACCCUGGCCGAUUUCCUCCUCUCUCCUCUCUCUCAAAUCAUUCUCUUUGCUAGUUGGUGUUUGUAAGCCAUUAGAGGAGUGACAAUUGUGACUCUAAAGCUCCAAGAAAACAAGAUCAAACAAGAGAUUCAAAGGUAAACUUCUAGAUCUGAUUUUGUAUUGUUCUUAUACCUAAUUAGUCNNNNNNNNNNNNNNNNNNNNNNNNNNNNNNNNNNNNNNNNNNNNNNNNNNNNNNNNNNNNNNNNNNNNNNNNNNNNNNNNNNNNNNNNNNNNNNNNNNNNNNNNNNNNNNNNNNNNNNNNNNNNNNNNNNNNNNNNNNNNNNNNNNNNNNNNNNNNNNNNNNNNNNNNNNNNNNNNUUUCAUAUUUAUCUUAUGGAAACUUACCUUUAUCAUAUUAGAUCAACCCAAAUCCGAUUUUAUGAUAUAUAUGACUAUAUUUUUGAUCUAAUUGAAGAUAUUUAUCAAUUAAUAAAAUAUUUAAUUUCCUUAUAUGAUAAUUAUUAAUUAUUUUGAUUAAAUUGGUAAAUUGUUUUUUCAAGAAAUCAUAAAUAAAUCAAAUAUGGAUAAUUAUGUGAUUAAUUGUUAAUUUGAAUUAUUUGUUGUUUGAUCCUUUAUGUUUUAAAUGUUUAAAAAACUUGCCCUCAAGUUUUGAAAUUUAUGUUUUGUGAUUAAAAGUUUAAUUUAGACAAUUUAAAUUUCAAACCCUAGAAUUUUACAAGUUUAAAAUCCAACCCUAUACUAAUAUAAUAUUACAAGAUUAAUAUCUAUAUAUGUAUAACUUAAAUGCUAGUCUUACCGUUAGUAGGCCUCAUUCACGAAGUCGCUCUAUAAGGUGGGUAUAAGGUUGUGGCGUAUAAAAUGGCGCUUAAUGGAUGUACACUCACACCCACCGCUUGAUUGAUCGGUGGAGGGUUGUUAGUCGAACAGGUAGGAUAGGGCAACCUCAUCCUCUCAUUAAAAUUUCCCAAUCUUAGUUACUUUAGGAAAAGUGAAUUGAUGCAAUCCCAUGAAAUUACACUUUGCACCUUGCUAAGAAGUUAGUGGAGCGUGUGUGGUUUACCGGCACACUAAUUGGUUCUAAGCGAAGGUGGCAAAGGGUGAUUCAUUGUUUAUCAUAGUUCGAAGGAGCGUGUGUGGUUUACCGGCACAUCGAAUAUGUGAUCGUUGCAAUGAAGGCACCAUGUGAAUUUGCAUGGUAGUUCACCCCCGCUUUGUGAUCCUCGGUAUCCCAGUCACAAACAAGAGGGGCAUAUCGAGAUUUAAACAUGCCAUUGAAAAGUUCAAUGAAUCUCAUCCAAAACUAGGAAUUCUCAAUACAUUUAGGACUUAAAGUUAUGUUUUUCAUGGUGGAGAAUUAGUGAAUCAUCAUUCACUUACCUUCAAAUUGUUUGCAUGUUAGAUUACGGCAUCCCUUUUCUAAUAUGUAAAUAUUGUUGUUGGAUCCUAGCCCUAAUUUUUCUUAUUGGGUGAUAAUUAGGGAUUCAUAUUCUAAUCUAUCUUUGUCCUUUCUAUUUGUAGAUGUCGAACGCAAACAACGCUGCUGCUAGUUCUUUCACAUUGAUGAGCCUUUGUCAAAAGGUCACUUUCGAUGGGACGAACUUUAGCGAAUGGAUAAGAUACAUUCGCACCAUUGCUCGCUAUGAGGACAAGGAGUAUGUCCUUGAUGAGAAGCUCGAGAAAAUCAACCCUGAAAUCGCUACUCCGGCUGAAAUGACCGCUUUUGAAACUCACGAGCGUGAUGCAACGAAGGUACAUUGCAUCAUGAUAGCCACUAUGAACUCCGAAUUCCAAAAGUCCUAUGAGGACAUGUACCCGUACGAGAUGCAUCAAGACUUAUUGGAGAGAUACCACCAAAACGCGAGACAAGAGCGUUAUGAGAUUUUCACUAACAUGAUUUCCGCUAAGAUGGGUCAUGGAGAGUCUCUUACCGUGCACCUGCAAAAGAUGCAAAGGUAUGUCGACCGCCUUCGCAAGUUAAAUGUUGACUUUGGGGAAGACUUGGCGAUCGACAUGGUGCUUCACUCUUUGCCUCCGAGGUACAAUCAAUUUAGGAUGACCUACCACAUGAACAAAGAGGAGGUCACCCUAAGCAAACUCCAAGGUCUCUUGAGGGUCGCUGAGAGCAACUUCAAGGACAAGUCUGUUGCACCAACUCCCAAUCCACCCGCUGCUCCUGUCUUGGCUAUUGGACAAGGAAAGGGAAAGAAGAGGAAGGCUUCGUCUAAGAACUAUCGCAAGGUUAAAGCCCGAGAUGGUGCCUCUUCUAGUGGGACCAAAGUUGAUCCUGCUAAGCCCUGCCCUAACCCAAAGGAGGCAGAGUGCCACCACUGCCACAAGAUAGGACAUUGGAAGAGAAGCUGCCCAGAGUACCUGCAAGCCAUCAAGGAAGGAAAGAUCAAGCCAUCUUUCGCAGGUAUAUACACAAUUAAAUCUAACGAUUCUAAUCAUGCUAUUUCUUGGGUUCUUGAUACCGGUUGUGGUUACCACAUUUGUUCUAAUGUGCAGGGACUAAGAAGAAGUAGGGAUGUGGAGCAAGGAAGGAUCAAUCUAAUCAUGGGGAACAGAAGAUCGUCGCCUGUGACCAAGAUUGGAGUGUAUUCUUUAGUGCUUAGGAAUAGUUUAUGUUUAGAUUUGAACAAUUGUUGCUAUUCGCCAGAAAUGGCUAGAAACAUCAUUUCAUUUCAUGGUUUAUUUAGACAAGGUUUUAGAUUUUCUUUUAAUAAUGAGAAUGGUUCUAUUUUGGCUUAUCUAAAUGGUGUCUUUUACUUUGAAGCUAUACCAUGUAAUGGAAUUUAUGAAACUGUUAUGAUUGUUGAUAACUUAGGAAAUGAUGUUUUGAACAUAGAUUCUUCCACUAGUAUGGAUAAAGCAUCCUUGUGGCAUUGUCGUCUUGGACAUGUCAACAAGAAACGCAUAGCCCAACUCCAAAAGGAUGGAGUGUUGGAGUCAUUCGACCUUAGGGAAGAUGACACAUGCGAGUCUUUAUUACUUGGAAAGAUGACUAAGUCACCAUUCGCUGGAACGUGCGAAAGGGGCGAGGGUCUGUUGGACCUCAUACAUACCGAUGUGUGCGGAUCGUUUAGAUCUACCACGAAGGAUGGAAACCGCUUCUACGUGACUUUUACCGAUGAUUAUAGUAGAUAUGGGUAUAUCUANUAACAUAAAUUGGAGACUUUUGAAAAGUUUAAAGAGUUUAAAGAUGAAGUCAAGAAUCAAUUAGGCAUGAAGAAAAAGAUGCUCCAACCAGAUAGAGGCGAGGAGUAUCUUAGUAUUGAGUUCCACGACUACCUCAAGGAAUGUGGAAUAGUUUCACAAUUGACCCCUCCUAGGACACCACAACCUAAUGGUAUGGCUAAGAGGAGCAAUCGAACCUUGUUAGACAUGGUUCGUUCCAUGAUGAGUCGAGCUUCUCUUCCAAUUUUGUUCUCGAGGUAUGCCUUAGAUACUGCCGCCCAUAUCCUUAACCGAGUCCCUACUAAGAAGGUUUCCAAUACACCUCACGAGAUGUGGAUGGGGAAAGCUCCUUCGUUGGCACAUAUCAAGGUUUGGGGUUGCGAGGCUUUCGUAAGACGAGAUACUCACGACAAGCUCGAACCUCGAAGUGAGCGAUGUAUUUUCAUCGGCUACCCGCAGACAUCCUUUGGAUAUCUCUUCUAUAGACCGAAGGACAAUGUUGUCUUCGUUGCGAGGAGAGGAGUUUUCCGAGAGCGAGAACUCAUAAGCCAAGGAGACAGUGGGAGGCAAAUCGAGCUUGAAGAGAUUCAAGAGUCGAUAGAUGAAGGAACCUCUACCGCUGGCACUCAACCCGAGGAGGAAACUCCGGUUGAACCGAUUGACGAAUCCUUACCUCUUAGACGUUCCGAUAGAGUUAGAGUUCAACCCCAGUUUUAUGGUUUUCAUAUUACUACCGAAGGGGACACGUAUAUUAGUGAUGGUACACUAAUAAAUCUUGAUGAACCUAAUAGCUAUAAGGAAGCCAUGGCAGGCCCGGAGUCUGCAAAAUGGAAAGAGGCAAUGGAUAGCGAGAUCCAAUCCAUGUAUGAUAACCAAGUUUGGAAUUUGGUUGAUUAUGUGCCCGGACGUAAGACCGUUGGGUGCAAAUGGAUCUUCAAGAAGAAGACCGACGUGGAUGGAAACGUACACACAUAUAAAGCGCGAUUGGUUGCGAAGGGCUUUACUCAAACUCCCGGAGUUGACUAUGAUGAGACCUUCUCACCAGUUGCGAAGAUUAAAUCUAUUAGAGUGAUGCUAGCAAUUGCCGCAUUUCAUGAUUAUGAGAUUUGGCAAAUGGAUGUCAAGACCGCUUUCCUUAACGGAAAGUUGGCUGAGGAUGUUUACAUGGCUCAGCCAGAGGGGUUUGUGGAUCCGAAGCAUCCGAAUAGAGUGUGUAAGCUUGAGAAGUCCAUUUAUGGACUUAAGCAAGCGUCUCGCAGAUGGAAUCUUUGCUUCGAUGAGAAAGUCAAAGAGUUUGGAUUUGUACGAAGCGAAGACGAAUCUUGUGUAUAUGUCAAAGCCAGUGGGAGUAUAGUAAGCUUCCUCGUUCUAUAUGUCGAUGACAUAUUACUCAUAGGAAACGACAUCCCGACUCUGCAGGAGGUUAAGUCCUGGCUCGGGAAGUGCUUCGCUAUGAAGGACCUCGGAGAGGCUUCUUACAUUUUGGGAAUAAGGAUAGUAAGAGAAAGAAGUAAGAGACUAAUUGGACUUAGUCAGAAUACUUACUUAGAGAAGGUACUAAAACGUUUUAGUAUGGAAAACUCAAAGAAGGGAGAACUACCGAUACAAAGUAAUGCCAAAUUGAGUAAGACUCAAAGUCCGAGUACCGAAGCUGAGAUAGCAGAAAUGAGCCGAGUACCAUACGCUUCCGCAGUUGGCUCAAUCAUGUACGCUAUGACUUGUACUCGCCCUGAUGUAGCCUUCGCUUUGAGCAUGGUUAGCAGAUAUCAAGGGAAUCCUGGCAGAGCACAUUGGAUUGCGGUGAAGAAUAUCCUUAAGUACCUUCGGAGGACGAAGGAAUGGUUCUUAGUCCUCGGAGGGAGUGAUGACUUGAAGGUGCGAGGGUAUAGUGACGCCAGUUUUCAGACCGACAGGGACAACUACCGUUCGCAGUCGGGCUGGGUCUUUACCCUAAAUGGAGGAGCAGUGACAUGGAAGAGUUCCAAGCAGGAAACCGUAGCUGAUUCAACGUGCGAAUCAGAGUACAUUGCAGCGAGCGAAGCGUCGAAGGAGGCAAUAUGGCUAAAGAACUUCAUCGGUGAUCUUGGAGUUGUACCUGCCAUAAAGGAGCCCAUGGAGAUUUUCUGUGAUAACGAAGGAGCGGUUGCCUUGACCAAGGAACCGAGGGAUCAUGGUAGAUCAAGACAUAUCGACAGAAAAUAUCACUUCAUUAGACAUCGUGUAGAAGAAGGACAACUCGUAGUGAAGAGGAUAUCAUCAGAAGAUAACCCAGCAGAUCCGCUUACGAAGGGACUGAGUAGGGUUAAGCACUUGCAGCAUGCUAGGAGUAUUGGGCUGAAGGAUGAUAUUAGCAUAGAUUAGAUAGUAUUAGAAACGUGUAAUAGAUAAAUGUAAUUAACAUUUGAUGAUUAAAUAAAGGAGUUUUAUUUAUGAGUAAUGUUACUGUCUUAUGUUAAUUGUUUAACUAUUGUUUCACUUUGCAUGUUUUGACUUCCAGAAUAAUUGAGUUUAUUAAGAAUAAUCGAAUUAUUCAAAUUGUCCACAAUCGUUCAUAUGUUGGAAGUAGAUAUGAAUGAAGAUUGUCAUGAAUUGGUGUGUAGAUUGUCUAAAUGGUGUUAGACAUAGCAAAAGAUUGCUGCAACGUUCAUGAGUGCUUAUGAACUAGUUUUGAGCAUUGGAACAAACCCGCGCUUGCUGGAAUCACCUUAUGGAAUAUGAUAUAAAAGGGUGAUCGCAAGACGAUAAUAUCAUAUAGUCUUAAAACCUAGAUAUAUGGUUUGUUAUUUGUUAAUUGAUUGUACAUUGAUAAUGCGAAAACGCAUCAGUAACUCGGUGUUAUAAAACGCAUUGUUGUGUAUAGUUGAUUAAUGAAUAAGUAAAUGCAUAUAAGUCGAAGUUUAUCUGUAACUUUUAUCCUAAGAAGGUAAAAGCGAUAUCUCGGCCGCUCGAUGAUUUGAUUUGACUUAUGUGUUGGGCCCGGUCAGAACUGAAUUGAUGUGUUCGAUUAAGUUCUAUGUCAAAUAAAUCGGCGAUCGAGAAACCAAAUGCUAGACUAAUCAUUCCAUAGAAUUGUCAGCAUGAUAUCUAACAGAGGACUGUACGAUCCCUUAUCUAAAGGACAAGAUUGAUUAGAUCAGAUUUGGACAGCGUCUUUGAGAGCUACGAUUGCAAAUUGGAUUGUACUUGUGCAUAUAGUUACUAGACUUAUCCAAGUGGGAGACUGUUGGAAUAGUGUCUAAGGUUGCAACUAUAUUAGGCAAGUAUUUGACCCGAUUGUUCAUGGUCCUUUUGGGUUGCCUUCACCAUAGCAACUUGACAGGAUGAUUUAUUAUGAGAGAAUAUAUAUUAUUAAUAUAUUAUGAGAAUAAUAUAAGAAAUAAUAAUAUUGUUAUUUGAUUAAUAUAAGUCAUAGAUUAAUUAGUAUUAAUUUGGUGACUUAAAGAGAUUAAUUAAAUAAGAGGGUAUAAACUAUGAAUUGUUUGAUAGUUACACUUUGGGCUAUGAAUCCUUAAGAGAUAGGGUAUGGACGAUUUCUAGGGCUACGAUAAGCCUCAAAUCAUCCAAGGAUUAUCUAAGGUAAGGAUUAGGAUUGCUUAGAGUCUAAGUUAUCCAAUUAGGGUUUAAGGGUGAAACCCUAGGAGCCUUACAAGUAUAAAUAGACCCCUUGGGAUAGGGAAAUCGGCAUCUCUUCUACAGCAAGGAAAACUUGGCCGAUUUCCUCCUCUCUCCUCUCUCUCAAAUCAUUCACUUUGCUAGUUGGUGUUUGUAAGCCAUUAGAGGGGUGACAAUUGUGACUCUAAAGCUCCAAGAACAAGAAGAUCAAACAAGUGCUUCAAGGUAAGCUUCUAAUUCUGGUUUUGUAUUGUUCUUAUACCUAAUUAGCCAUUAGAAGUCUUGGAUUCAGUGCAUGUUUAAUUAGAGAAACUUAGAUCCAAACAUUAGGGUUUGUAUGUGCACAUAGGAAUGUUCAUAUGUCUAAAACCCAUCAAUAAAUGCUAGUCGAGAGGUCCGGAUAGACUGAAGGCCGGUGGGCAUACCAGUCAGGCUGAAGGCCCUGGAGGGCGGUCCAGACAUGCUGAAGGUUCUGAGAGUGGUCUAGAUUGGCUGAAGGCUUGGUAAGGCGGUCCAGUCAUGUUGAAGACUUCGCAUGUGUCAAUAGAUAUGUAUGAAGAGAUGGAAUGAGCAUGUUGCGAUAUGAUAGCAUCAGAAGGUCUGGCCCCGGGCAUUGAUCAUGAUUAGUGGAAGGUAGUGCAUGGACUUGAGAGUACUGGCGAGCAGAUUUAGAGCAUGUGUGGUGCAUGGGAUAGCAGUUAUGCUAUAAGGGAAUGGUGUAGCGUUGGGCGAGCACCAUGGCACUUGUUGUAGUGACAAGGCGGCCAAGUAGAUUUCCUUGGAUAAGGAAAGGGAAAGGUAUGUAGCUCUGAGAGGGAGUGUAAGUUAAUGGAAGCGAAAGCAGUAGCGCAGAGGUAUGAUUGAGGUGUUUGAAUCAUGGUUAUUGAGCAGAGUGUUUGCGGCAGUGUUAUGGAAUCACAUACGGGUUGGAUGGCUGCGUAGGUCACGGAAGGAGUUCCGCGGGUGUAGAGCCAAAGAGGCUUUGAAGGGAUGCAAGGAUGGAGCCUUAGAUUCCCAGUUUGGUGUGAACAAGGAAUUAUGCUUGUAGCGGUAAUUCAUCCUAGGGGGGAUGUUUGGAGGUGUCAUCAGUGCGUCGGGUUUUCCCAACCCGAGAAUGCUAGAGCUAGUUCAACAUGUGUAUGUGAUGACAGAGAAGAACUCAUGGGAGUUGCUCUAAAGCUGAAGGAAGUGUUGUCAUGUCAGCAUGGAAGGGAUAGAGUUGGACUCAGUAAAGGAUCAAGUUAAGUCUUAGUAGUGAAUUCGGUGAAGGAUAUGUCUGACGAGGAAAAUGAUAGCAGUGCGGUACUGGGUCGGGAUCCCGGUGGUUCAAGGUUAUAUCUAGCUCGUAAGAGUCAAGUGAUUAUUGUGAUCUGGAACGAGUAAAGUACCAUGAAGUGGUACUCGGUUGAUAGGUGUGGUUAUCAAAGGAUGAAACCGGUGGCCGGCUUGAGGCGGUGGUCAGGACACUGCAGGGGAAGAGUUGGGUUUCGGGUUUCGAUGGUAGUGUUUUGAGGAACCUGGUUUGGUUAAUGCUAGGUUGUGCAUUGCAAGAAUAGUUAUUGGAAUUGUGUGUUGCAGCAGGCUUCGGGGACGAAGCCUAAUUUAAGUGGGGGAGAAUUGUAACAUCCCGGAAAUUCAUAAGUAAAGUUGAAGGGCUAAAAGUGUAAAUAAGAAGGUCGACUUAGCGAGCCUAUGGAUAGACUUGGCGAGUCGAGUCACGUUUCAGGUCGCGUGAUAAGUGACCAACUCGGCGAGUCACAUGGGUAGACUCGGCGAGUUGGUGUUGUAUGGAGAAAACCCUAAUCCCGGGGGUUGAGCCCUAUAUAAAGAACAUAAUACCCCCUCCCCAGCCUUUUUACCUUCCCUUUGAGUUCCAGAGGCCUAAAUUCGUGUGAGCUUUCCUUUGUGAGUAAUUAGAGCCUUGGAGGAAAUCUUGGAAGGGAAUUAAAGAGCAAGAAGAUUUGGAACAAGGGGCUUUGCAGAGAUUUAGUUCAUUCUCCAGUGGAAGCUUGCAUUGGAGGUAAGAGAUCUGCUCUUGAGCUUUUGUGCAUCUAGAUCUAUCAAUUGUGGGGUUUUUGGAGCAUAAAUGAGGUUCAUCUCGAGUUUGGUGUAAGAUCUGAGGUUGCUACCUCAGAUCUAGGAUUGUAGUGAUCCAGGAAGCCAUAAAGUUCAUGCCCAAGAGUUGUUAGUGAAGCCUUCUUGUCCCAAACCUUAUCCCAAGAGUGUUCUAUUCUUAGAUCUCUUUGGAUUCACGUAAAGUUUGCAACUUUACGUGAGGAAUAGCUUGUGGAAGGGUAGAUCUAUGAAUUGGAGCCCCUGCAUGGCUUGGAAAGCCACUCAAUGGAUUAAGAGCUAGUGGUACUCAGCGAGUUGCAUGAAGAUAGGCAGAAACUCGGCGAGUUUGAAGAACAACUCGACAAGUUGGAAGAACAACUCAGCGAGUUGGUUGAAGAUAGCCUUGGACUCGGUGAGUCUAUUCGUGAGGUCCUAACCUUUCCUGGUUGAGCUGUGAAUCGGUGAGUCAAGGGACGACUCGGUGAGUUUGAGCGGGAAGUGACUCAGAGUUCUUGGGACUCAGCGAGUCUUCGGGCGACUCGACGAGUUGGGUCGCGAUAUGGGAGUUUUCAGAGUUGAGGGACUCGACGAGUCAGAGGGCUGACUCGGCGAGUAGGGUCAAUCAGGAAGUUUGACUUUGACUGAGGACUUUGACUUUGACCAAGAGUUGACUAGUUGUCUUCCAAGGGUAAUUUGGUAAUUUUUGGUAUUUAUUGAGUUCGGUCUUUUGGUAUUGUCAGUGGUGGAGUUUGUGUCAGAGGUUGGAGUAGCGUGAUCUUAUCUUUUCAGUCAGCAGUUGCAAGGUGAGUUAUCCUCACUAUAUCGACAGGGUCUAAGGCACCAAUGCCGGCCCUUUAUUGGAUUGUAAUCUGGGUAUCGUUGUUAUGUUGUUGCUUUGCUAUGUUUGCAUCAUGGUAGUUAGGAUGGUAUAUGUUAGAGACCUGGUUAAGGUCAAUAGCUUGGUAUAUAGGAUGAUGCUAUGCUAGUGACCGGUUAGGUCAGUAUCAUGUUUGGAGUAUGUUAUGUUAUUUGAUCUGCUAGAUCGGUUUGAUUGGAUGUGAAUUGUUAUAUGAUUGUAUGUUUAUGUGCACAUGGUUAUCGGACUGGAGUUGGGUUGAGGCGGGUCCUGCUUUGCGUUGUAGGCCAACACACCCAAGGAGGACCGGUUAUCCCGAAGGCCAACGAGCGGUCCGAAUAGGCUGUAGGCCCCACGAGGGCAGACCAGACGUGCCGAGGCUCGGAGAGUGGACCAGGCCGACUGAAGGCCCGGUGCAGGCGGACCAGUCAUACUGUAGACUUAGAGAGUGGACCAGGUGGGUUGAAGGCCCGGUGUGGGCGGAUCAACCACACUGCAUACUCGAUGGAUAUCGAUAGACUCAUAGGGUGGACCAGGUGGAUUGAAGGCCCGGUAGGGCGGACCAGUCACACAGUAGACCCGAAGUGCAUAGAUAUUCUGUUCGGUUAUGUUAUGUUAUGCGUGGUAUAUGUGGUUGGUAUUUUGGGGGUAUCUCACUAAGCUUUCGGGGGCUUACAGUUGUGGUUUAUAUUUUUCAAGUACUUCAGGAGACUGUGGCAAGGCGAAGGCGUGAUCGUACCGCUCCUCAUGUUUUUGUUUUACGAUAUGGUUCUGGGAAGACUCUGAUAAUAAUUGUAUUGAAAACCUUUUUGUAAUGACUUAAUGAAAGUGGGUUGUUUUUGAAAUAUUUAAAUUGGCUUGAACUUUUAGAGUGUUACAAGAACAUUUGUUCACCAAGGAAUGUAAAAACAAAUGAACUAACAUAUGAACAGUGCCGCUGAAUAAAAGAAGUUCACGAAGAGGCAUUUGCAAUAUUAAAUUUCAUCAUGAACCAUAACAUGAGGCUCUCGAUUUUCACCAAGUUUACUCCUCUUAGGCUGCUUUGUGUUGCUGACACUCGCUUUGCCUCCAUUAUUGUGAUGCUUAAGAGAUUGAAACUUAUCAAAAAGGGUCUUCAAGCUAUGGUCAUAAGCGAAGAAUAGUGUUCUUAUAGAUUAGAUGACACUGAGAAAGCAAACGCUGUGAAAGAGUAUAUUUUGAAUGAUGAUUGGUGGGAUAAAGUAACAUAUAUUCUUAGUUUCACUGGAGCUAUAUAUGAGAUGAUUAGAGCUUGUGACACUGAAAAGCCAUGUUUACACUUGGUCUAUGAGAUGUGGGAUUCUAAGAUUGAGAAAGUGAAGAUUGAGAUCUACAAGAAAGAAAAACGUCCGAAAUCUCAAAUAAGUUGUUUUUACAAUGUUGUGCAUCGUAUUUUAAUUGCUCGAUGGGCGAAGAAUAACACUCCCCUACAUUGUUUAGCUCACUCUUUACAUCCAAUGUAUAAGAUUUUAAAUUAUACACUUGAUUUGUAUUAUAUAUUUAUGUUUUAACUUUUGGAUGUUUGUAGAUAUUAUAGUGAUGCAUGGUUAAUGGAGGAUUCUACAAGAUGCGCUCCACAUAGGGAUGAAGAUGGGAUAAGGGAGAUGUGGGGCCAAUAAGAGCUUCUUCUAAUGCUCAUUUCUUUUGAAUUUGGGCAUUUAUCGAUUUUCAAAGAAAAAAGUGAAGGAAACACCUUUUCUGGUAGAUGUAACGUUUUUGGGCAGUUGGAAACAGAGAGAUGCUGGAGAGAGGUGAGGUGUUGGAGUCUCCCAUUGAAACUGAUUCCGGUUUCCCAAAUUCCAGUUUCCCAAAUUCCUUUUUUCCUUUAUGGAAACAGAAGCAAGAGAUGAAGGAAGAAGAUGUGACAAUUGAUUACAGUUUUUCACAUCAUUAUAUAGUCCGCGAUAUAAUAUUAAGUUAUCUAGUGUAGGAGUGUUCAAAACCGGAUAUCCGAAAAUUUGGAUAUCCGAAUUUCGGAUAUCCCAAAAUUCAGAUAGUGUAUUAUUGGUAUCUAAAUCCGUAUCCGAAAUUUCAGAUAUCCGAAUUUUCGGAUACGAAUUCGGAUAUCAAUAUCGGAUAUCCAAAUUUUUUGGCUUUUUUGUUAUUAUCAAAUAUCGAUUAACUUAAAAUAACCUAUUUUAAAAUAUAUUAAGUUGUUAAUUGUCUAUAAGAUGCAACUCAACCCAACAGUUACAAACCACUUGCAAUUCAAAACAAAAAAGACGUUGAGCCAUCAUGUAUUAAAUGUUAAAACAUUUGUAACCACAAUUAGACUCAUUGUUCGGAUAGACCUAAAAAGAUAAAAACAUUUCGCUCUUAAUGUCCUAAUAAAUAAAACAUAACCACCUUAAAAAAAACUAUAAUUUCAGUUUUAGUUGCAAGUCAUCAUAUGUAUCGAUUUUGAAAGUAAUCCUAUAAGCUCCUUUAUAUUUGUUUUAUGUGGAAAAAGAAAAGACACUUCCAUUUGUCAUGAAGAUUAUGUUCAUCUGUUUCAAGUUAAUAAUAUUAUUAGUUAACAGAUUCGUACUUAACAUUUUGCCUUUUCAAAAUGUUCAUAACCAUCUUAUAACAAAAAUAUAAAUCAUACAUUCCAUAUUAAAAGUAAACCUAUUUAUUAUAUAAAAGCAUUUAGUUUACCUUGUGAAUAAUAAAUAAAAUAUGAUAAAAAUAAUAAAAAAUAAAUUUUUGGAUAUCGGAUAUCCGAAAUAUUCAAAAUUUUAGAAAACGAGUAUUUGUAUCCGAAAGUGAUAGCAGUACAAAGAGGUGCAACAUGUGCAGAGAGAGAAUUGCUAAUGCUAUCAUGUCACAUGGAUACGUAACAAUGUAAGUAUUUGUAUGACUUUUCGUACAAACAUCUCCAAAACACUUCUGAUUAGAGCAUUUUAAAACUAUUUCUACUGUCAAAGCAGUACUAAUUUUCUCACAAGCAAAGCCACAAACACCUUGUGUGCAAACUUAUCAACCACUUUCCAUAGUCUUCAAAGUCCCUCUGUUUGAACCAGCAGUUGGCAACUCACAGACAGGUCGAGGUGGAAAUGGAGGCGGAGGCUAGUUUCUAUGUUUUAUCAUAAGCCCACUGUUAAAAGAUCCAUGUUAAUAAUAAUUUUAUAACAGGAAUGAUACUGAGUAAAUUGGCACAUAGUAGUAGAGAGCUUACCCUUUGCAAUUUUUCCCCCAUUGUUUCUGUUGUUCGAUCAUUACAGAUUGUCCAAAAAGAUCAAGCUGAUAAAUUUAUAAUCCAUCUCCAAGAUUUGAUCCCACAUAAAUUACAAACUCCUACAUCUCCAAAUUUAUGAAAAACAUACAAAAGUCAGAAAGUCUAUAAAGAGAAGUUGUUCAUUCGGAAAUGACUACCGGAUACAUUAUGACAAAUUAAUUAUACGAGUACAAUUCAGCAAUUAUUCACCAAAUAACAAAAGAAAAAAUAAUUGAAAAAUGAAUCAUAAACAAUAAAACACAUAUCAUGGUCCCUCCAAAGAAGUACACUAAAUAGAAAUACCAAAUAUGCUCUGAAAGGAAAAAACAUGGAGCUAAUAAAUAUAUGGCAGUGAAAGAUAAAUAGCAUUUCUGUUCACGAUAAUUCACAAAUAUAGAAUCAUAUUUAGCCGUGUUAAUAUCGAUCUACUUAAUGAAAAUUACAUCAACAUAAUCUUAAUGGGUUUAAUUAGUAUUAAAGCGGGUCAGAAGUCAUGCAUAAGACUACAUUAAAUUAGGCGGUAUAUUAUCAAAAUGACUCAUGAUUUGAAAGUAUUUAACUUGUUUGUUUGUACUACAUUAAGUUAUUAUUAUUCUUAUCCUUGUGAUUUCUUCUACAACUUUAAAAGACAAUGAUAACUUUAGUCUUCACAACCAAUCCUAGUCCACCAUACACCAACUUAAUUCCUUUUGCAAUCCAUUGUGGUACUCUCACGUUUUACAGCCCUAAUCAUAUUAAAUCAGUAAACAUACCAUGUUAACAAACGAAUAUCUAGACGUAAAUAGAACUUUUAUCGAAAUACAUCCUUGGAUAUCUAAAAUGUUGGUUGAAUGGCAGUAAUUUAAUUUAUACGUUAUGGAAGUAAAAGAAGUCAAAAGGCAUAGAUAAUGGCGCACCUUCACAAAAAAAUAUAGUCAUCCUCGUGGAGGCGUGGGAUUAGAGAGACGACGGGCCAAUAGGAGCCUCCUAUACUAGUCUUUUUUUUCAAAUUUGGGCAUUCAAUAAUUCCCAAACUCAAAAGUGAAGACAACUUUUCAGGUAGAUCCAUCAUCUUUGGGCACUUGACAAUGGUGAGAUGUUGGAGGGAGGUGAGGUGUUGGAGUCCCGUUGAAACUGAUUCCAGUUUCUCAAAUCUUUCUAUGCAAAGCUUAGUAAGAGAUGAAGGAAAAAGACCGGACAACCGACUAAAAUCAGUCACAUCUUCAUAUGGUCCGCCAUAUAGAUGUAGGUAACCAAGUGAGGUUGGAAAACUCUGUGGGCCCCACUCUGACAUGGGCUUCUUCAACCCUCCUAUGGUAAGGUGACACAGUUUUGGUGGCCAAAGCCCACCAGGAAAGGAAGCAUCCAUACUUGUACAGUUUUGUAUUUGCAAAUGUGUUAACGAGGCAAGAUUCGGCAACUCAUGGUCAGGAAAUGGAAAUGACUCCAGACUUGGACACUCUUCUAUUCUGAAUGUGGUCAGAUGGAUGAAGUACUUCAAUUCAUUCAUCGAUUUAAGUUUCUUGCAGUUCCAGAUGGAAAGUGACUUGAGCUUCUGCCCUCCUCCUGUUGGGAAAGACACAGAUGUAAUUGAAUCACAGGUAAAAAUAAACAAUGACUGAAGACUAUCUGGACAGCUGCAAUGCUGUAAGCUGUCACAAUCAGAUACCCACAACCACCUAAGAGAUUUUAGGUUGCUCCCACAAUUAUCCUCCUCUUUCUCUCCUAAACUCACCAAAUUUGAACAAUAAAGUACCUUCAACCUCCUUAAAUUCGCAAGAAGCUUACCUGCCUCUGCUUCAGAUUCCCACAGGUAUCUUAUUUCACUACAGCAUUCUAUUCUUACUUCUUCAACUUCCCUAAGAUACUUCAUAACACCUCCCCACACCUCAUGAGUAAGACCUGAAAUAUCAUAUAAUAUCAACUUGGUGACUGAUGAAGCGACAUGAACCAGGCUUGUC
rnacentral:lncRNA from 1 species